GAAUGAAAGACCAAAAAUCCAUUCAAGAUCCUCAGCAUUCAAAGAAUUGCUAUGGUCGUAAUAAGAAUUCCCAACGUCGAGAUAAUGCAACUUGGAUAAAUUUCCAAGUUGAUGAGGAAUAACACCACCAAAACCUGCAGUAGAGAGGUUAAGAUAUCUUAAAUUGGAUAAGGAACCAAGGAAUUUUGGAAUAUUAAGACUCCCAAAGUCAUUGCAGCUCAGGUCCAAGUAUUGAAGGUGCUUCAAGUCCAACAAAGAACUACUUAUCUCACCACCCAAAGAACCAUGAUCUUGAUAAAGAUCCCGUCGGAGGUUGAGCUUGAGAGCAUGUCCUGUUGUGUUGUGACAACGAACUCCUUCCCAAUUACAACACUCUUCAUUGGCCCAAGAAGAGAGUCUGUUUGAAGGAUCAUGAAUGCCUCUUUUGAAGCUCAAAAGAGCUUCUCUUUCUUCUUCUCUGCAAAGAGCCUUCGAACCAUGUCCAUCACAACAACCGAACUUUGUGGCUAGAGUGAAAAGAAAAUAGAGCGAGAGAACCACCAAACCUCUCAUGUACAACUCCAUUAGGCUAUAUGAUUUUAGAGCACACAAUGUGAAAGGUUUCAAGAAUUAUUUAAUAUUUAUAGUCAUUAGAGGCAUGACCCACAAGACUAUAGUGUUGUCUUAUUUCUAAAAAUUUCUAACAUUGAGCGCUCAUAAUUAAUUACAUAUGUAAAAUGAAUCCUAUUAGUAUUUUUUUUAUUCUUAUCAUUUUCCAUGUUAUUUAAAUAUGUGAAAAUCAUUUUUUUUUUCUCAUUUAUUUAACUAGUAUUUUUUAGGAACCAAACAUGGUAUUAAACUUAUAUAGAAUAAGUUUGUUACAAAUCAUCUAUAAAAAAAAAAAUUCAUACAAAUUAUGGCUAAUAAUAUAUAUAUUAUUGAAUUAUUGUCCAUAGAAGGAUGACUCAACUCUCCUGCCGUGUUUGACUUGCAAGGAAUAUUGAGAGUGACCGUGACAAAAUUUUCCACAAAAAGAAGAAAAAAUGACAAUAUAAUCUUGUCCUCUUUUGUGUUUGCAGUUAGGCUGGGCCAUGCUAUUCAACACCAAUUAAUCACCCAAUCUAUUUAUAUAUUCAUAUUUGCAUAAAAUUAAACUUCACAUAUACAUCUAAUUAAAGGACAUUUAUUCCUCUAUUUGCAUACAUAAUAAUCCAAAUUAUAUAUUUUAGUUAUUUGGGUGAAUUUUCCAUAUAGUUGGGAACAAGUAAUAAAAAAUAAUGAAAAAAAAAGUCAACUAUUUAUCUUCCUUCAUGAUCAUGGAUAGAGCAAAAUAAAACUAGGAAAGAAUUCAAAUUCUUUUAUUUGGUUGGGAGGAAGAAUAUUAAAGGAAAAGUUAAAUUUGAUCAUAAUUAUGUAAAACAAUAUAUGUAUUUUAAAAUUCUUUAUUAUUUAUAUGACAACAAAAAAAACAAAUUUUAAAAUCAUGUGGAAAAAAGUUAUUAAUAUAUAAACAUAUUUAUAAAUAAAUAUUUAUUUAUUUAUUUUCUUUAUUUCUUUAAUUUUUUUAUUUCAUUUUUUCCACUGUGUAUACCUUCAUCUAAAAUAAGUAAAUAUACCUUUCAACCCUUUUAUAUAAGAAAAAUUCAAUCGUUACUAUGUAUUGAUAUAAUCCACUUCUAAAAUUAGGUUAUAUGAAAACAUUUUAAUUGAGUACUUAAAAUAAAAACUCUUCAUCCAUCCUCGGUAUUUCUUUUUCUUUUUCUUAUUUUAAUAAAUUUUCAAUUAAUUCAAAUCAUUAAAAAAAAUCCUUAAUAAAUAAAUUUAUAACAUUUCAUAUAACUUAUUACUAAAAGUCAUGUUAAAAAAGUUAUUAAAAUAAGGAAAGAAGAAGAUUAAAAAAAAAUUAAACUUUUUAUUUUAUAAUAGUAAAAAAAACUUUAAAAUACUUUUUAGUAUAAAAAAUUUAAAAUAGUGAAUAUAUUUAUUUUAAAUGGUAUUUUAAUCAUUAAAUUAUUUACUUCUAAAAUGUAAAAGAUAAAAAUAAAUGUAAAAGAUAAUUUUUAUUUAUUUAAAUUAAUAUUUUUUUAGAAAGCAUUUUCUCUUUGGAUCAUUAAUAUAAUUUUUGUUUAUUUAUAAUUUAAAAAUAAAAAAUAGUGUUAAAUUUUCAAUUAUAUCAAUUAUCCCAUUUCUAAAAUUCUUUACUCAAUUAUUGAAUUCAAAAAGGACGGCUGUGGAAGAAAUAACAUUGAUUUCACAGAGAGAGAGAGAGAGAGUUUAAAAUAUCAAGAAUUAUUUGUGGUUUUACAAGCUUCUCCAAUUUUGUUGAGCAUUAAAAUUUUUGAAAUUGAAUUAUUGUCCUUAGAAGGAUGACUCAACUCUUUGACAAAAUUUUCCAUGAAAAAUGCAACAAGACAGUCUAACACGUCUUUAUGCUGGGCUGGGCUGGGCUGGAGGGGGGUCAUCAUAGAAACAGUACACUCACUAUUUAUUAUAUUAAAGUAAAUAUAUUUGAUAAAUAAUUAAAAUAUUAUAAUUUUUUUUUUAAAAUAGAAAAAUAUAGGAUAAGACAAAAUAAUAUCUAAACCCACCCGAAUCCAACCCGAGUAUUAAAAAAUUUUCAAACCCACCGCAAACGUGUAUUCAAAUUUCAAAUUUGUCCUACAGGGUGGAAAAAACCCGCCCAGGACAGUUGCCAAAUCUGACUAGCAAAGAGUGUGGAAAGAUUUUCAGUGGUUCGAUUUGGCUUUUUAGGUGUUAGGUUUAGUGGUUGACUUGGAAAUGUGAUGCACAUUUUUGAGGAUGUGUCUUUAUAAUAUUAUUAUAUCUAUAGAAACUUAGCCCAAUCAACAAGAUGGGGCUGUGAGUGGAGAAAAAAGCUAUGAAUUCUACUCAUAUUGUCGAUGAAAAGUUUGAGAAGAAACAUGAUGAUGUUUUUGGUAUAGUUGAUAAAAAAUUUAUUGACUAUUAAAUUUUACAUUUUAAAUGUUUUUUUUUUCAUGUGUCGGUAGUUUGAUAUCUAUAGGAAUGUAAUGCUAAUACCAUUUAAGGGGGCAAUGAUUCAAAAUUUAAAUUCAUAAUGAUUGAUACCAUAAAAGUGAGAGUGUUUAAUGGUGUUGUAAGGACAUCGAGUAAUUUUUUUUGGGAGCUUUGGAAACAUUAGGCUAUGAUUUUUCUCGGUGAAAAAUGAUAUUAUAAAUUUCAACAAAAGUGCUUUGAUAGCUAUGAAAGGGGAAAAGAUGAAAAAAUUAUGUACUUUAAUUGGAAAGAUAAUUUAAGGUAGAGCUCUUAAGGUGGAGUCAUGCCAUGAAGAGUCUUUUACUGGUGUUAAAGAUAUUAUCGAGAGUAGAUGAACAUGAUAAGAUGAUUAGAACUCUAUUUUUCGGCUAAAAGUACCCAUUAACAUAAGGAUGAAAGCAAUUUCAAAAUAAAUAAAAUUAUGAAUAAAACAAAGAUGAUUUCAAUGAGAGUUUGAACUUGACGUAUGUUUAUUCUCAUUAAAUGUAUAGGAUUAAGAAAACUUAAGUCGAGAUGGAGAUUGUUGGUAUUUAACUCAAACUAUUUAUUUUUAAUUUUUAAGAAAGUUAAUAUUUAUAGAAGUUGCAUUUUUGUAAAUUAUUUAUUAACAAAAAGUAAUUGGAGCCGUUUGGAGCAAUAAGAAAAUUGUUUGCUAAGUUUGUAACUAGAUGCAUAAAAAUUCACGCAUAUUUCAAUAUCAUUAAAAUUAGUUAAAAACUUUUGCAUUUUCCAAUUAUUUCAUGGUUAUAUAAAAGAAUUGAAACAUAUGAGAUGAGUUUAAAGUGACAUACAAAAUAAAUAAUUAAAUUUAAAUUUAUUGUUUUCUUUUUUAUUUUAUUUUUUCUACUUUUGCCUUUAUUUUUUUCUCUCACAUUUUCCUCACAUUUUUUGAAGAAUCAAACAUGAACUUUAUAUGAAGUUCCCCAUAAAAAUAAAAAAUAAAAAAAGUAAAAAAUCGUAAGUUGAUGAAUCACAAUACUAAAAGUGCGUUUAACAGUGAUUACAUGAAACGUUUUUAAUAUUUUUAACACUUGAAAAUUUUUAUCUUUUUAAGUGUUAGAAGGAUAAAAAACGCUUUCGACAAUCAUUGUUAAACAGGUUUUAAAGAUCUAUCUUAACUAACCAUUCCCUUUCAUAAUUAUCAUAUUUUUCAUAAGUAAGAUGAAUUUAACAAAUACACAAUGUUAUUCACAAUGGAAGAAAUAUCAAAUAUAAAAACUCAUUUUUCUUCAAAUUAGGAUAUCAUUUCAAAGUUUUAGUGAUGAGGCUUUGGUAAAGUAGAUUGGGGCUGUGUGAGGGAGAGUAGAGACGAAGUGACUCGAUUUGGGUCUUUGACACGUUUUUAUUCCAUGCCAUGUCAUCCUCCGGCUUGGCAUCCAAUUGAGAUACUCAUUGAAGCUUGGGCGUGAAACUCUUCAAAGGGGAUUGUUCUUCGGACUUUUCUCAAUAGUGCAGUAAUUUAAAAAAGUUAUUCUUAAAUUACUAUAGUGGAAGAAGUUAUUACAAAUAUAGGGUAGUUUUUGCCACAUAGGAGAGAGGAGAGAGGAGAGAGGGUGAGAGAGAGGAGAGAGGAGAGAGGAGAGAGGAGAUAGGAGAUAGGAGAGAGGAGAGAGGAGAUAGGAGAUAGGAGAUAGGAGAGAGGAGAGAGGGUGAACGAUAAAAUUUUUUAAAAAAGCGAACUCGUCUCUUGAAGAGACGAGUUCCAUGAAAGAUAAUUAUUCAAGGAAACUCAUCUCUUCAAGAGACGAGUUCCCAUUAAAAAAAAAUAUAUAUAUUUUUAAAAAAUUCACAAAUUAAAAAAAAUAAAAUAAAAUUUGGAACUAAAGGGAACUCGUGUGAAGAGACGAGUUCCCAUGGGAAAAAAAAUAUAUUAUUUUUUAAAAAUAUAUUUUUCAUUUAAAAAAAAUCCCAAAAAAAAAAAAAAUCCUAAAGGAACUCGUCUCUUGAAGAGACGAGUUCCUUGGGAAAAAAAAUAUUUUUUUUUAAAAAUAUAUUUUUUAUUUUAAAAAAUCCCAAAUUUAAAAAAAAAAAAAAAAAAAAAAAAACACAAUUCCAAAGGGAACUCGUCUCUUCAAGAGACGAGUUCCCAUGUAAAAAAAAAAUAUUUUUUUAAAUAUAUAUUAAAAAAAAAAAAAAAAACAAUUCCUAAAGGGAACUCGUCUCUUCAAGAGACGAGUUCCCAUGUAAAAAAAAAAUAUUUUNNNNNNNNNNNNNNNNNNNNNNNNNNNNNNNNNNNNNNNNNNNNNNNNNNNNNNNNNNNNNNNNNNNNNNNNNNNNNNNNNNNNNNNNNNNNNNNNNNNNAAAAAAAAAAUUUUUUUUUUAAUAUUUUUUUAAAAAAAAAAAAAAAACAAUUUUUAAUAGGAACUUGUUUUUUCAAGAGAGGGGUUUCCCUGUAAAAAAAAAAAAUUUUUUUUUAAAAUUUUUUUUUUUAAAAAAAAAAAUUCCAGGGGGGGGUUCAAAAAAAAAAUAUUUUUUUUAAAAUUUUUUUUUUUUUUUAAAAAAUCCCCAAUUUAAAAAAAAAAAAAAAAAAAAAAAACAAUUCCUCAAAAUUCCUAAAGAAGAGACGAGUUCCCAUGUAAAAAAAAUAUUUUUUUUUAAAUAUAUAUAUAUAUAUAUAUAUAUAUAUAUAUAUAUAUAUAUAUAUAUAUAUAUAUAUAUAUAUAUAAAAAAAAAUUUCAAGAGAUGAGUUCAAAAAAAAUAUUCUUUUUUUAAAAAAUAUAUUUUUUAUUUUAAAAAAUCCCAAAUUAAAAAAAAAAAAAAAAAACACAAUUCCAAAGGAAGAGACGAGUUCCCAUGUAAAAAAAAUAUUUUUUUAAAUAUAUAUUAAAAUAAAAAAAAAUUAAAAAAAAAAAAAAAAACAAUUCCUAAAGGGAACUCGUCUCUUCAAGAGUCGAGUUCCCAUGUAAAAAAAAAUAUUUUUUUUAAAAAUAUAUAUAUAUAAAAAAAAAUUUCAAGAGACGAGUUCAAAAAAAAUAUAUUUUUUUUAAAAAUAUAUUUUUUAUUUUAAAAAAUCCCAAAAUUAAAAAAAAAAAAAAAAAAAAAAACCAUUCCUCAAAAUUCCUAAAGAAAAAAGGUUUCCCCGUGAAAAAAAAAAAUUAUUUUUUUAAAAAANNNNNNNNNNNNNNNNNNNNNNNNNNNNNNNNNNNNNNNNNNNNNNNNNNNNNNNNNNNNNNNNNNNNNNNNNNNNNNNNNNNNNNNNNNNNNNNNNNNNGUUCCCCUGUAAAAAAAAAUAUUUUUUUUAAAAAUUUUUUUUUUUAAAAAAAAAUUUCCAGGGGGGGGUUCAAAAAAAAUUUUUUUUUUUUAAAAAUAUGUUUUUUUUUUUAAAAAAUCCCAAAACUAAAAAAAAAAAAAAAAAAAAAAACCGUUCCUCAAAAUUCCUAAAGAAGAAAUGAGUUCCCAUGUAAAAAAAAAUAUUUUUUUUAAAAAAUAUAUAUAUAUGUAAAAAAAAAAAAUUUCAAGAGGCGAGUUCAAAAAAAAUAUAUUUUUAAAAAAAUAUAUAUUUUUUAUUUUAAAAAAUUCCAAAUUUAAAAAAAAAAAAAAAAAAAAAACACAAUUCCAAAGGGAACUCGUCUCUUGAAGAGACGAGUUCCCAUGUAAAAAAAUAUAUAUAUAUAUAUUUUAAAUAUAUAUAUUAAAAAAAAAAAAAAACAAUUCCUCAAAAUUCNNNNNNNNNNNNNNNNNNNNNNNNNNNNNNNNNNNNNNNNNNNNNNNNNNNNNNNNNNNNNNNNNNNNNNNNNNNNNNNNNNNNNNNNNNNNNNNNNNNNCAAAUUUGGGGUUUUUUAAAAAAAAAAAAAUAUUUUUUAAAAAAAUUUUUUUUUUUCCUAAAAGGAACUUUGAAAUUUUUUUUUUUUUUUUUUUCAUGGGAACUUGUUUUUUCAAGAGGCGAGUUCCCCUUUGGAGGAAAUGUUUUUUUUUUUUUUUUUUUAAUAAAUAUAUUUAAAAAAAAAGUAUUUUUUUUUUUUACAUGGGAACUCGUCUUUUCAAGAGACGAGUUCCCUUUGGAAUUGUUUUUUUUUUUUUUUUAAUUUAGGAUUUUUAAAAUUUAAAAAUAUAUUUAAAAAAAAAUAUUUUUUUCCUAAAGGAACUCGUCUCUUGAAUAGACGAGUUCCCUUUAGGAAAUUUUUUUUUUCAAAUAUAUAUAUAUAUUUUUAAAAAAAAUAUUUUUUUUACAUGGGAACUCGUCUCUUGAAAAGACGAGUUCCCUUUGGAAUUGUGUUUUUUUUUUUUUUUUUUUUUUUUUUAAUUUGGGAUUUUUUAAAAUAAAAAAUAUAUUUAAAAAAAAUAUUUUAAAAAAAAAUAUUUUUUUUUCCAAGGAACUCGUCUCCCUUUAGGAAUUUUUUUUUUUAAAUAAAAAAUAUAUUUUAAAUAAAUAAUAUAUAUUUUUUCCUAUGGGAACUCAUCUCUUCAGACGAGUUCCCUUUAGUUCCAAAUUUUUUUUUUAAUUUGUGAAUUUUUUAAAAAUAUAUAUAUAUAUAUUUUUUUAAUUGGAACUCGUCUCUUGAAGAGACGAGUUUCCUUGAAUAAUUCUCUUUCAUGGAACUCGUCUCUUCAAGAGACGAGUUCAAGAGACGAGUUCGCUUUUUUAAAAAUUUUUAUUCCUUCACCCUCUCUCCUCUCUCCUAUCUCCUCUCUCCUCUCUCCUCUCUCUCACCCUCUCUCCUCUCUACUAUGUGGCAAAAACUACCCUAUAUUUGUAAUAACUUCUUCCACUACAGUAAUUUAAGAAUAACUUUUUUAAAUUAAUGCACUAUUGAGAAAAGUCCAUUGUUCUUCAACUUUAGCCUUUUUUUGUAUUGCCACUAACCACUAAAUAGGCGGAUUUUAGAAAAUGAAUACAGUAUUUUUAAAAAUAUGAUAAUUAAAAAAUUAUUUCCAAUUCCAUGACAAUUUGUAUGAUUUUUUUUUUUAAAUACAUCAUUGGAAAACACAAGAUAACGACGUCGUUCGAAGCAGAACUGUAAGGCGCCCUUCGGCCGAGCAUCGACUCUCUUCACUGCAAUCGGUGGCUUUUGCGGUCUCUCUCUAGCUCUAGGUAUCAGAUCUCUUCGUUUAUUAGAAUUUUUCUUUGUUUGUUUGAUGAGAAACUGAAAGAAAAUGAGAUGGAUGGAAUGUUCUGAAUCUUAAAGUUUUCAUCAUUUACACCUGGUGGAAACAGAAUCUUCCCCUAAAUUAGCGUUGUAUACGUAUUUAGCUGAAUUUAGAAUUUUCAAUUUCUUUUCUUUUCCUUAAUUUUAUCAGCAUCCAAGCAGUCAUUUAGGGUUUUUCUGGCUUGAGAUAUUGGCAUUUGAUCUAUUUGAUUUUUAUUCUUGUUCAGAAAAAUGUAAAUAUAUUUGCUAAAGAAUUAGAAUAACCAAAAAUUGAUCGUCUUAAUUCACAUCCAUAUUUAGCGUUGUUGGGUGAAUUCAUCAAUAAGGAAAAAUGCAGUUCUUUGGAGGGUCGGAGAUCAGCCCAUUGCCGCCGCUGCCAACAGCAUCGGGAAACAAUGGCCACAUGAUGUAUGUGUUUAACAGGAAUGGGGUGUGCUUGCUUCACAGGAAUGGAAUCGCCCUCUUAGGACUCUGAAUGCCCAGCAAGACCAUAAGCUCAUGUUUGGUCUGCUUUUCUCUCUUAAGUCCUUAACAGCUGAGAUGGAUCCCACUGAGUAUAUCUUCUUCCUAGUCUUUGAUUCGAAUUGGAACUGUUUUCGGGGAAAUGGAAUUACUUGAUUUUGUAUUUGGAUAACUUUUGAAAGCAUAAAUUCAUUGUUUGGAAUAGAAUUAUGACAUAUAUGUAAGAAGAAAGAAAUCAGGAUGAGCAAAAGGACAUAAUUUGAACUGAUAAAUUCAAACUCGGGAUGAUUAAAAAAAACAUGGAAAACAAGGUUGCCAAAUUUAUUUGCAAUUACAAACACCAUCCGAGUAGUUUAUACUUCACGUCAUCCAGCAACCGAAAAUAAGCAUGUCUCCAAGCUCUGUUGAAUGCUAAUGGAGCCAAAAUGGCCCAAAAGCCAACCACGAAACCCCAUGGCAUACCCAAAUAGAACCAUUUCAUAUCAAUCCAUCCAUUGUCCGGAAUUGGACCUUUUGGUUUACCAUCUUCACCACAAUCAUCAGUCAGUGGAGCUCCACAAAGCUCCGGGUUGCCAAUGAAACUGAGGGCACUAAAGCCUUGGAUCUGGGUGCCUGAUGGAAUUUUGCCAGACAAGUUGUUGUAUGACAAAUUUAAACUGCUCAAAAAUGAUAUAUUUGCCAUACCUUGAGGAAUAACACCAGAGAGUCCAUUCAUGGAGAGAUCAAGAGACUCCAGUGAUGUCAUGGCCCCAAUCUUCACAGGAAUCUUCCCUUGGAGAUGGUUAUUAGACAGGUUCAAGAAUAUCAAACCAUGGAGAUCUGUGAGUUCUUCUGGGAUCUCACCAGAUAACUUAUUGCUUGAGAGGUCCAUGCCAGCUAGGAGGCCAAGUGUUUUGUCGUACUCAUACUCUAUUCCUUUCAUAACCAGUGUUGCUGUGUCGGUUGAUCCCGAUUCAAAAUGUUCAUUAUGAAAACGAAAGGGGGAACUUGAAUUCAAUUCUUUGAUCAUGCUGCUGAAAUUACCAAAGCAUCUAGGAAUGGUUCCCGAGAGAUUGUUGUUUCCCAAGUCCAAGAUUUGAAGGGAAUGAAGGUGGCAGAGUUCAAGAGGAAUACUUCCAGUGAACUUAUUUGAAUGCAGGACAAGAACCAUUAGACCCGGUGUAUAUCCAAUCUCACCAACCCCUGGAAAUAUUUCAAUGAAGUUCCCCAUCCAUGCUGGUAUCGUCCCAGUGAAUUCAUUCUUACUAAGGUCUAGAACCAGUAGACUAGAGCAAUUUUUCAAUGGAAGUGGAAAAUUUCCGGAGAGAUGGUUGUUGCGCAAGUGCAAUGAACCGAGCCAAAUUAGAGAACCCAUGGAGCUAGGUAUAUGUCCCGUCAGAUUAUUAUUUCCCAAUUUUAACAUCAUCAAUUCUCUCCAAUACAUCCAACAAUUGGGAAGUUCUCCUGACAGAAGAUUUCCUGAGAUGUCUAGAUACCACAAUAAAUUUACUUUUUUAGUUCUCCGACACAACAUAGGUGAAAGAGAUCCACGGAAUAAAUUAUUGGAGAGGUCUAGUUCUUCUACAUCAGAAGAGAUUGGGGGCAGUGGACCAGUGAAAUUGUUUGAGCUGAGAUAGAUACAGGAUGAAUGUAAACUUGGAAUACUACCAAUGAUUUGGUUGUGAGAUAGAUCUACAAAAUAAUAGGGUCGUGUCCAAAACCAAGCUGGGAUGACACUGGAGAUUCCUGCAUAGGACAUGUUUAGAUAGUCCAAAUACUUCUGUGUUUGAAGCCAUGCAGGAAAUUGAGGCCCUAGAAGGCAAGAACCCAAGUCUAAGUCUGUGAGUUGAAAAGGAGGAGUCCAGUUGGAGCUGACUUGCAAAGUUAACAAGUUUGAAGAUGCAUCCAAUUGUUUUAAACUUGUUAGAUUGGCAAGGUGCUUUUCAGAUAUAAUACCCUCGAAGAAGUUUUCCCUAAUCUUUAGAUAACGCAAGGAUGAAAUUCCUCCUAAUGAGAUAGGAAUAUGACCAGAAAACGAGUUUCCAUCAAUAGAAAGAGAGGACAAACUUUUGAAUUGGCCAAGUUCAUUGGGCAAAUGACCUGAAAGCCGAUUUUUUGCCAGGUUUAAAUGUUCUAAACUUUUACAUUCUCCAAGAGUAUCUGGAAAAGAACCUGAAAGCUUAUUUCCUCUCAAGCUUAAAAACUCUAGACCUUUUCGAGGCCUAUCAUAUGAAGAAUUCGAAAGUUGAAAACUACAAAGAUUUCCAAGAGAUCUCAGCACGUCUCCUUCAAGAGCAUUGUUUGAUAGGUAAAGAUAUGUGAUAGAAGUGAGAUUUCCAAUAUCAUUUGGAAGCAUACCAUGAAAAUAGUUAUGUGUAAGAUCGAGGUAUUCAAGGCUAGUUAUAUGAUAUAACCAAUCAGGAAUAGGAGAAGCAAAAUUGUUAUAGGAAAGAUCUAGGAAUUUAAGAGAAGUCAUGUUACGAAGACCUGAUGGAAUUGGACCAUGAAUAUUACUGUAUGCUAGAUUAAGAGUAACAAGAGAAUUAAGAUUAGCAAACCAAUCAAAUGAUGAAGACAUAAAAUAAUUACUUGAAAGGUCAAGGAUGACUAAGGAUGAAAAAUUGACAUGCGGGAGAGGGUCAAAAGUAUCAAGCUCACAAUAAGACAAGCGUAGCACAGAUAAAGAAUGAAACUUAUUCAUUACCUGUAGCCAAUUUGAUGCCUUGCUUAGGUUCACAUUUGCCAUGUCAAGGAAUUUUAGGAAGGUAAGACCAGAAAUCCACUCAAGAUCCUCAACAUUCAAAGAAUCAGAAUUCCCAAUGUCAAGAUAAUGCAACUUGGAUAAAUUUCCAAGUUGAUGAGGAAUAACACCACCAAAACCUGCACUAGAGAGGUUAAGAUAUCUUAAAUUGGAUAGGGAACCAAGGAAUUUUGGAAUAUGAAGGCUCCCAAAGUCAUUGCAGCUCAGGUCCAAGUAUUGAAGAUGCUUCAAGUCCAACAAAGAACUACUUAUUUCACCACCCAGAGAACCAUGAUCUUGAUAAAGAUCCCAUCGGAGGUUGAGCUUGAGAACAUGUCCUGUUGUGUUGUGACAACAAACUCCUUCCCAAUUACAACACUCUUCAUUGGCCCAAGAAGAGAGUCUGUUUGAAGGAUCAUGAAUGCCUCUUUUGAAGCUCAAAAGAGCUUCUCUUUCUUCUUCUCUGCAAAGAGCCUUCGAACCAUGUCCAUCACAACAACCGAACUUUGUGGCUAGAGUGAAAAGAAAAUAGAGCGAGAGAACCACCAAACCUCUCAUGUACAACUCCAUUAGGCUAGAUGAUUUUAGAGCACACAAUGUGAAAGGUUUCAAGGAUUAUUUAAUAUUUAUAGUCAUUAGAGGCAUGACCCACAAGACUAUAGUGUUGUCUUAUUUCUAAAAAUUUCUAACAUUGAGCGCUCAAUUAUUGUAUUAAAAAAGGAUGGUUGUGGAGUGUGGACUAGUUGUGUGCAUGGAUAAAUUUCAUGUAAAAGAAAAUACAUGAAAUGACAUAAUUAAUUACAUAUGUAAAAUGAAUCCUAUUAGUAUUUUUUUAUUCUUAUCAUUUUCCAUGUUAUUUAAAUAUGUGAAAAUCAUUUUUUUUUAUAUUUUUCUCAUUUAUUUAACUAGUAUUUUUUAGGAACCAAACAUGGUAUUAAACUUAUAUAGAAUAAGUUUAUUACAUAAAUCAUCUAUAAAAAAAAUUCAUACAAAUGAUGGCUAAUAAUAUAUAUAUUAUUGAAUUAUUGUCCAUAGAAGGAUGACUCAACUCUCCUGCCGUGUUUGACUUGCAAGGAAUAUUGAGAGUGACCGUGACAAAAUUUUCCACAAAAAGAAGAAAAAAUGACAAUAUAAUCUUGUCCUCUUUUGUGUUUGCAAUUAGGCUGGGCCAUGCUAUUCAACACCAAUUAAUCACCCAAUCUAUUUAUAUAUUCAUAUCUGCAUAAAAUUAAACUUCACAUAUACAUCUAAUUAAAGGACAUUUAUUCCUCUAUUUGCAUACAUAAUAAUCCAAAUUAUAUAUUUUAGUUAUUUGGGUGAAUUUUCCAUAUAGUUGGGAACAAGUAAUAAAAAAUAAUGAAAAAAAAAGUCAACUAUUUAUCUUCCUUCAUGAUCAUGGAUAGCACUAGAGGAAAAAUAAAACUAGGAAAGAAUUCAAAUUCUUUUAUUUGGUUGGGAGGAAGAAUAUUAAAGGAAAAGUUAAAUUUGAUCAGAAUUAUGUAAAACAAUAUAUGUAUUUUAAAAUUCUUUAUUAUUUAUAUGACAACAAAAAAAACAAAUUUUAAAAUCACGUGGAAAAAAAUUAUUAAUAUAUAAACAUAUUUAUAAAUAAAUAAAUAUUUAUUUAUUUUCUUUAUUUCUUUAAUUUUUUAUUUCAUUUUUUCCACUGUGUAUACCUUCUCUUUCACUACCAUAAAUGAUUUCUCCUUCCUUAAGGCAAGAUCUAUUCCACUCUUCAUUAUUCCACACUUUUUUCUUUCCUUCAUUAAUGCAAGACUAAUCCUACUCUUAAUUAUUCCACACUUUUUUCCAAAUUCCAUGGUUGAUGAUCUCCCUUAACUUCCCUCCACACUUUCGUUAUCCUACUUUAUCCCAAACCAACCAGAUUUCAUAUGGGAAUGCGAGCAUGGUCCUCAAAUUUGAAAAUGCAAUAACACAAUCUGAAUCGUCAUUAUGUUGGUGAUCAUAAAAGCAUUAGACUCCUUAUUUUACGCCAAAAUAUUUUUCUUCAUAUACAUUUCGACCAAACUUCCCUUGUUACAUCAAUGCGAAUAGAAGUUUUUGCAUUAAAAAACCGAUAGCUCAUGUUUCGUGUAAGUCCUCCAUGAUAAGAUACCAAAACAGACAGUUGAAUAUUCUCAUCACCAUCACAAUUAUUCACCCCAUCACUACAAGAAUGAUCACCUUUGAACAAAGCCUUAACCGAUAUUUUUAUAAUUUUAUUUGCAAGUUUAAAACACUUCGAUUAAGUCGAUAAUGUUUUUAGGAAAUCUUUAAAAGAUUUUCAUGCCUGAAAAGCUUGAGGUUCAAGGUAGUCUCCUAGACUAGGUUGGUAUUUCCAUCUUCAAAUUGAUUUUCAUCAAAAUUAUAAAAGUAUAAAAUUAAUUAAAAACUAUAUAUAUAUAUAUAUAUAUAUAUAUAUAUAUAUAUAUAUAUAUAUAUUUGUUUUUUUUGUUUUUGUUUUUUCCCUUGUAUGUACUUUCUCUUUCACUAUAAUAAAUUAUUUCUUCUUUCUCAAGUCAAGACUUGUCCCAUUCUUAAUUAUUCCACACUUUUUUUCCAAAUUCCAUGGUUGACAAUCUCCCUUAACUUCCCUCCACACUUUUGUUAUCCUACUUUAUCCCAAACCAACUAGAUUUCAAAUGGGAAUGCGAGCAUGAUCCUCAAAUUUGAAAAUGCAAUAACACAGUUUGAAUAGUCAUCAUGUUGGUGAUCACAGAAGCAGCAGACUCCUUAUUUUACGCCAAAAUAUUUUUCUUCAUAUACAUUUCAACCAAACUUCCCUUGUUACAUCAGUGCGAAUAAAAGUUUUUGCAUUAAAAAACCGAUAGCUCAUGUUCCGUGUAAGUCCUCCAUGAUAAGAUACCAAAACAGAAUGUUGAAUAUUCUCAUCACCAUCAAAAUUAUUCAUCCCAUCACUAGUAGAAUGAUUUACUACAAGAAUGAUCACCUUUGAACAAAGCUUUAACCGAUAUUUUGAGAAUUUUAUUUGCAAGUUUAAAACACUUCGGUUAGGUCGAUAAUGUUUUUAGGAAUCUUUAAAAGAUUUUCAUGCUUGAAAAGCUUGAGGUUCAAGGUAGUCUCCUAGACUAGGUUGGUCUUUCCAUCUUCAAAUUGAUUUUCAUCAAAAUUAUAAAAGUAUAAAAUUAAUUAAAAACUAUAUAUAUAUAUAUAUAUAUAUUCUUUUUUUUAAUUUUUUUUUCUUUUUAUUUUUUUCCCUGUAUAUACCUUCUCUUUCACUAUAAUAAAUUAUUCUUUCUUCCUUAAGGCAAGACUUGUCCCACUCUUAAUUAUUCCACAUUUUUUUCCAAAUUCCACAGUUGACAAUCUCCCUUAACUUCCCUUCACACUUUCGUUAUCCUACUUUAUCCCAAACCAACUAGAUUUCAAAUGGGAAUGUUAGCAUGGUCCUCAAAUUUGAAAAUGUAAUAACACAGUCUGAAUCGUCAUUAUGUUGGUGAUCACAGAAACAGUAGACUCCUUAUUUUACGCCAAAGUAUUUUUCUUCAUAUACAUUUCGACCAAACUUCCCUUGUUACAUCAGUGCGAAUAAAAUUUUUUGCAUUAAAAAACCGAUAGCUCAUAUUCCGUGUAAGUCCUCCAUGAUAAGAUACCAAAACAGAAUGUUGAAUAUUCUCAUCACCAUCAAAAUUAUUCAUCCCAUCACUACUAGAAUGAUUUACUACAAGAAUGAUCACCUUUGAACAAAGCCUUAACCGAUAUUUUUAUAAUUUUAUUUGCAAGUGUAAAACACUUCGGUUAAGUCGAUAAUGUUUUUAGGAAUCUUUAAAAGAUUUUCAUGCCUUAAAAGCUUGAGGUUCAAGGUAGUCUCCUAGAUUAGGUUGGUCUUUCCAUCUUCAAAUUGAUUUUCAUCAAAAUUAUAAAAGUAUAAAAUUAAUUAAAAACUUAUGGAUGAAAGUUUUGGUUUUUUAACAAAAAAAAAAAAAAUGCAAUCCUAGCUUAGUACAUCCUUCAUCUUACAUAAAUUAUCAAAUUGAUAAAUUUGAUAAAUCUUUCUUUGAUUCUUCUUGAUUCUCUAUUUUACUCUAUGUAGCCUCUUAUUUAAUGACUCUAAGGAGAUCUUCUUUCCUAUUAUGCUUAAAUGCAAUCAUUAAUUAAAUUCAAAUCUUAUUUUGUUAUCAUCAAAAUUGAAAUUAACAAAACCUUGGUUUGAUAAUUGUGAGUCAUAUCCAAAAGGCAUUAGCUCAUAGUAAUAAAAUCCUUCUUUUGUCACAAAGAUUGUCUUCUUCUCAUUUGGUUCAUAUAGGAGAAUCUUAUUGUAGACCUACAUAGACAUCCACCAAGGUAAAGAAUGCAGGAUUGGCUAUAUAUAUAUAUAUCCCCACGGAUUGGGUCACUAUUGAUAAAGGAUAGUGGCGACAAGUAUUCUUAAUAGAGACACCAAGAUAUUUCAUGAGGUUAAGAGAAUCUGUCCUCUUAGGUGAUUCAAAUGACAUUUGAUAAAAAAAAAAUGAUGGUCAUAACAAUUACUUAAAUGGAGUUUGUCAUAUGCUCCUUGGAGUUAGAAUAUGUCAAUUGAUCACAUAAUAGGUGGAUUUGUAAUGAUAGAUUAAUAACACUACCUUGUUAGAUUAUGGACACCUUUUCAUGGGAGGUACAUGCAGUGAAUAGUAGGUCCCAAACUCGAGUUUCACCUUAUUGUAAUUACAUAGGAUAUUGGAAUGCAGUUUAUUCUUUUUUGUGAAGUGUUAAGACAACUUUAAAAUUGGAUUUUGAGGCAACCAAUAUUUUCCUAUGGGUCCUAAUGGUUUCUACUCAAACUCCUAUUUCAUGGCAACACAUUUUAUUUGAGGAAUUUGGAUUUCUGGUUCAUAAGUAUGCAUAAGGGCAUUUUGGUAAAACAUAAGAUUGCAUUAGAUCUUAUGAAUGAACUUUUUGGAUUGGACUAAUUAGUUAAUUGAAACUCAAUAAAACUAUUUAAUUAAUUAAGACUCAAAUGAGUUAGAUUAUGUGAUCCAAGCCCAAAUUGGACUCAAUUUACUUAAGCACAUAAGGAAGCUUAUAAAUACUUCCUAAGGGGUUAAAGCUUCAAACUUUUGCCUCUUAUCUUCCGAAGACAUUUUUGUAGAGAGAAACCCUAGCCACCCUUAAUGAGGAAGAGAAGCUCACACUUCUCUUACAUGUCUUGAUUUGUGUAAAGAGAGAUUGGGUGAAAGAACAUCGGGUAGACAAGAUCUAUGGCUUCUUCAAUGAGUUUAGCAAACUAGAAUUGAUAUACCAUUAAGUUCGUGUUCAACAUCCCAAUAAAAUACUUAAUUGACCUAAUUUCAUUAAUACACAUCACUACCAUGCACAAAAGAGAAAUUAUUAAAUCACUCUACUUUAACAACAUCCUACUUUUUUAAACAAACCAUUCCUCAAAUAAGAUCAAUUAAGAGUGAAUUUGAAGAACUACCAUUCCUCUAAACAUAUCCAAAUAGCACUCAAACCCUAAAUGGAGGUUAAUCAACUCAAAAAAAAAAAAAAAAAAAAAAAAAAAAACGUAAGUUGAUGAAUCACAACACUAAGGUUCUAUCUCUGCUAACCGUUGCCUUUCUUAAUUACCUUAUUUUCAUAAGUUAGAUGAAAUUUAAAAAUACACAAUAUUAUUCACAAUGGAAGAAAAAUCAAAUCUAGAAACACAUUUUUCUUCAAAUUAGGAUAUCAUUUCAACCCAUUUAAGAUCUUAGCUCUAUAAUUUUUGCAACUAAAUAAGAAAAUAGGAUCGUAGAUACGAGAAAGACAAAUAUUAUCUAAAUAAGAUUAAGCAUUAUACUUAGAAAUGCCUUUUUCAUUAAAGAAAUAUAUUCAAUCUAAAGAUUUCAACAUUUAACUAUGAUGGAAAAUAACCCAUGUUCAAUGUCGAAGUUUUAGUGACGAGGCUUUGGUAAAGUAGAUUGGGGCUCUAUGAGGGUUUAACAUGUGAGGGAGAGUAGAGACAAAGUGUCUCAAUUUGGGUCUUUGACACAUUUUUAUUCAAUGCCAUGUCAUCCUCCAACUUGGCAUCAAAUUGAGAUACCCAUUAAAGCUUGGUUGGGAAACUCUUAAAAGGGGAUUUGAUCUUCAACUUUAGCUUUUUCUUGUAUUACCACAAAGGAGGAAAAUGUUGGGAUAUAUCGGCGAUAUAUCGCCGAUAUAUCAUGUAUCGGGAGGGGUCGACACGAUAUUUCGUGGAGAAAAAUCGGAGGAGAAAUAUUUCCACAAAAUAGCCAAAAUAUCAGCGAUAUAUCGGCUUGGGGAGAUAAAUCGGCGAUUUUGUGAAAAAAUUGCCUCUAGUGGCAAAAUAUCGGCGGUUAAUCGGAGAUAAAUCACCGAUUUUUUGGUGAUAUUUCCCCUCCUUCAUGCAGCGUGAUCUGACGGCCCAAAUCACGCCCGUGUUGAUCCGAUGGCCUAGAUGUGAUUCCAAUGGUAAUAUGGUGAUCCAACGGCCAGAUUGCUCCCAAUUUUUUAUCCAACAGCCAAAAUUGAUUUUCAAUGGUAAAUUAAUGUUCCAACGGCUAUUUUGACCCAAAUUUUUUCUAUAAAUAGCCCAAAUUUCAUUAAUUUCAUCUAUUUUUGCUUCCAUUCUUCAUUUGCUCUCUCAUUACUCCAAUUUUUAUUAAGGUUGCUCAAUUAUUCAAUCAUUCUAAGGUAUGUUUGUUUUAAAUUGUAAUUAAUUUUGUUUGCAAUUGUAAUUAAUUCAUGUAUUUUCAAUUAAUUAGUAUGUUUGCAAUAUGAAUGAUUUAAUGCUAUUUUUACAUUCAAUUGUAAUUAAUUUUUAUAUUUUUAUUGAAUUAACUUAGGUUAAUUUGAUUAUUUAAUUAUAAAUUGAUAUGUUUAUUUUAGAUGAUUAUUUGUGAUUUAUUUUCACAUUUAUAAUUAAAUUAAACUAGUUAACUUAGCUAAAUUAUUUAAUUAAUUUAGUUAACAGGCCAAAUUAUUUAAUUAAUUUAAUUAACAUGAACUAGUAUAUUUUGAAUAUGAAAUAUGUUUAUUUAAUGUGUACAAAUUAUUGAUAUUUAAUGAAAUGAAGUAUUUUAUGUGACUUUAUAAUGGGAACAAUUAAAAAAUUAACAUUUCUCAUAGAUCGACAUGAUAUAAUUACAUCUAAUAUCGCAAAUUAUAUUAUAUGUAUAUCAAAUUUUUCAAUAAAACAACUUUAAAAUGUCUAUUAUACUUUUAAUUAUAUUAUUAUGAGGUUUUUCUAUCAUUUCCAUAAGUUUUUAACAAUUUUAAGUCGAUAUUUUUUUCCAAAAUAUCCGCCGAUAUAUCUCCGAUAUAUCCGUAAAAUCAAAAUACCGAUAUAUCUGUAAUUAUCGAUAUUUUUAUCAUUGAUUACCAUUAAUCACUAAAUAAGGGGAUUUUAAAAAUAUGACAAUUAAAAAACUAUUUCCAAUUCCAUGACAAUUUGUAAAACACAAGAAAACGACGUCGUUCGAAGCAGAACCGGAAAGCGUCCUUCGGCUUAGCAUCGACAAUCUUCACUGCAUUCGGUGGCUUUUGCGGUCUCUCUCUAGCUCUAGGUAUCAGAUCUCUUCGUUUAUUAAAAUUUUUCUUUGUUUGUUUGAUGAGAAACUAAAAGAAAAUGAGAUAGAUUAAAGUUCCGAAUCUUAAAAUUUUCAUCAUUUACACCUGGUGGAAACAGAAUCUUCCCCUAAAUUAGCGUUGUAUAAGUAUUUGGCUGAAUUUAGAAUUUUCAAUUUCUUUUCUUUUCCUUAAUUGUAUCAGCACCCAAGCAGUCAUUUAGGGUUUUUCUGGCUUGAGAUAUUGGCAUUUGAUCUAUUUGAUUUUAUUCUUAUUCAGAAAAAUGUAAAUAUAUUUGUUAAAGAAUUAGAAUAACCAAAAAUUGAUCGUGGAAUUGACCUAAAAUUUUUCCUAUGCUGCAGAAACUUCAAAAACAAAAAAGUUUGUGUCUCAUCUUAAUUCACAUCUAUAUUUAGCCGUUGUUGGGUGAAUUCAUCAAUAAGGAAAAAUGCAGUUCUUUGGAGGGUCGGAGAUCAGCCCAUUGCCGCCGCUGCCAACAGCAUCGGGAAACAAUGCCCACAUGAUGUAUGUGUUUAACAGGAAUGGGGUGUGCUUGCUUUACAGGGAAUGGAAUCGCCCUCUUAGGACUCUGAAUGCCCAGCAAGACCAUAAGCUCAUGUUUGGUCUGCUUUUCUCUCUUAAGUCCUUAACAGCUAAGAUGGAUCCCACUAGGUAUAUCUUCUUCCUAGUCUUUGAUUCGAAUUGGAACUGUUUUCGGGGUGUUUAGGUGUUUUGUGGAAAUGGAAUUACUUAGAUUUUGUAUUUGGAUAACUUUUGAAAGCAUAAAUUCAUUGUUUGGAAUAUAAUUAUAACACAUAUGUAAAUUUAUGCAUGUGUACCCUGCUCAAGUCAAUAAAUCCCUAUUCCCUACUACCUGGUUUGGGUUAUUUCCUUUUCAUCAUUCACAUUGGGACACUGUCCAUAAGGUGUGACUACACAUAUACAAACAAUCAGAAGAUCACAUAAUGAAUUAUACACUCAAUCCUUGUUCAACCCUGAGAUGGGUGGCUUGAAAUCCUUAUCUGUAGCUUCUGAGGUUGCAAGCUAGGACUACUUUCCAUGAAAUGCGUGAGAUAUAGCUUUGCAGUAUUUCUAGGCAUGAUGUGUAAAGGUGUACAUAAUUUCAUUUUUUGAAUCUUUGAAGUGGUUCUACACCAAAGGGGCUUAGUUUAAAAUUUAAAUGUGAGGAAGAACAUGAUAAAGUCAGUUUAGGUGCUAUUUGUGUAAAUUUGAAUAUUUCUUCUUUACUGGAACAGGAAGUAUAAGGGCUUCCUUAAUUAAUAAACUGCUGAUUAGUAAUGCAAAUUUUAGUUACUCUUCUAGAUUGAACAAUAUUGAUCAAUUGACUUCAGUAUAUAGUUUCUAUUUGUAGAUAGGUUAAUUAUUACAGUACCCAAACUCUUGUAGAGGUGAACAUUCUUCUGAUUUUAAGCAUACUAAACCUCAGGUUUUAGGCACAGGCACUUCACUUUUCGGCACAAAAAAUUAUUCCAUUGUUGUUGAUGUAUAAAUUACUGAUGCAUAUAUAAUGUUGUGAUAUGCUUCUAAUUUUAGUUUCUUUAUCAUCAUUUCUGGCAGUGUGGAGAAGGGAAACCUUGGGGUACCUCAGUUACCUGGCCAGGGAUGUUCAUUUCAUAGCUUUCGUACUAAUACGUACAAACUAAGUUUCAUGGAAAGUCCAUCUGGCAUAAAGGUUACUAGAAAUGUUCAUAUUGAUUUAUUUAUUAUUUUAUUUUAUUAUAUUUAUUUUCUUUAUUCCUCUCAAGCUCACAGACAUGUGUAGAAUUCCUAAUUGUGAACUUCAGUUUCUGCUUUAAUUUAGGUGAUUCAGUUAUGCAGUACUUACCGACAAAUUAUGGCCAUUUAGCAAUAGCAUUUAUGAAUAUAUUUAUUGUCAAAUUCAUUUGGAGCAAAUUAGAUCCUUAGUUGAUAAUCAUAAGCGAUAAGGUUGGUCCCAUUGUUUGAGUGGUUUUCUUUGUAGCUGUUCAAAUAUAAUUAAUCAAUUAUCUUUAUAGGGAAAAUAGGAAUUGUUGAAUCGUUAUCCGUAAAAUGCAUGAGCUCCCUAUAUACAUGAGGAAACUUUCUGAAUAGCUAUAAAUCAACUCCUGGAUUCUGUUAUUAGAUGAAUAAAAACUAAUGCUAGUAAUAAUUGUAAAAGUACAUUGUAGAUGGGAAUCCUCUAGGUAUCUUAAACAAUACUGGAUAUGAUCUGUUUCUGGUGGGAUUAUCCCUCAACCUUAAACAGUGCUCUAUCCUCUCAACCUGCUGAUAUGGUUUUAUUAAAAGCUGACUGAAGAUCAGCUCCUUUGAGUGUUGUAUGAUAUUUUCUGUUGUUGGGUUAUAGCAUCAUGUACUCCUGUUGAUAAGUUGACGGACCUACAGUUCAUGCUCUUGCAUUGCAAAAUUUUUGCAGUAUUUACUGACCUUUUGGCUCAUGAAAUUUCAUUUUAUCAGUUAAUGCAUUUGAAUAUCUGUGUUGAGUUAAUUAUUUUGAUGGUGUAGAAAACCAUAAUAUGCUUUCUUCUGACAUAAUUCUGAGUGUCACUGUAUAAUAUAUGUAUAUAUAUUUUGUGCAGAUUAUCUUGGUCACUCAUCCUGGAACUGGUGAUCUACGGGAAUCCCUGAAGUAUAUCUAUAACUUGUAUGUUGAAUAUGUUGUCAAGAAUCCGCUCUAUUCUCCGGGAACUCCAUUCAGGUGCCAAAUAAACUUUUAUUGUUUUUGAACUCUUAAUAAAUCUAUCAGUUGAGGAUUUGAGUGUCUGGUUAUUGGAAGUAGAAACCGUGUUUUUGCAAUGCCACAUUGGAGAUUUCCUUUAGGAUAUAUCCAAGGCAAGUCCCACAUGUACCUAGGUAUGUUAGGACUCAAAUAUUUGAAGCUUUCAUGCACAUAGUUGGACAUUGACUAGACACCUUUAUUGACCAUAGUUAUAUCACAUAUCAAUUUUGGAGAUAGUCCUUAUAUGCCCUGUCACAGCCUGGUUUUUUUUUUUUUCAAAUGGAACAAUUGAUACUCAAAUAUAGUAUAAGUGCUCUCAAAGAUAUGGGGAUAUAAGAAUUUAAAUGUUGAGUUCCUACUUGAUUUUGUGCAAAAAGAGAAUAUACAAAACCUGUUAUAAAGAGUGCAUCUUGUAUUAAACUUUGUAACUAUUAGUUAACAAAAUAUGUUUCGUUUCACAAAAGAAACUUGUACUACAUUAAUUUACAUAUACCAAAACCCCAUGGUUCACUACGGGUAGCCCAUACUACAAGUGUACCUAACAAAUAUAUAUAUCACAUCAUUCCUACAAAAAGAUUCAGUCUUUAAUACAAAGGCAAAGCCUCAAAACACUAUCAAUGCGAGCAAACAACAUCCAAUCACAGUAAAGCAAUGCUUAAACAUUAUUUCCUGCAUAGGUCUUCUGACCUGCAUCUAAAGGUGGAAGGGAUAGGGUGAGUUCACAACUCAGUAGGAAAGUUUAUAACCAUCCUAAGCAUAUCCUUAAAAACUUUGAAUUAAACAUGUAAUUGCAUGCAUGAUAAACAUUUUAUAACCAUUAACAAAUAUGCAAUCAUGUCAAACAUGUAUGCAUGUGUUUGCUGGUUUCAUCUUUGCUUUUCCUUGUCCAUCCUUUCACAACUGAUAAAUUGUUCACCCCCACCAAUCUAUUAUUAGAUAUCAAUGCUCUACAAGAUACACGGUCAAUAUAAUAAUGACUAUUCUAGGACAUCACCCAAGGGCAAGUCAUAUCCCGUGUCUUUUGGGACUCAUACCUAAGGGCAGAACCAACCCCGUGUCUUUAGGGAUUAAAACUUAGGGGCAGGACCAACCCUAUACACCCACAUCGGAGUGUCUUCCUCGAGGGCUUUAGGGACUUUCACCCAAGGACCCACGGUCCCACUUAAACAAUAUAUCAAAAGAUAAUGCCUGUAGCAUCACAUAAACACUUCUCACCAAUCAAUUCUCUUAAUAUCAUUUGUGAUUAUUCCAUAUCCUUCUUGCCAUGCAACCACACCCUGAACCAUUUCCACAACAUAGAACCAUGAAUCUUCAUACCAAUAUGCGUUCCAAUCUCAAUGUAACAUUUCAACACAAUAAAUUAAGAUGCAAUGACACAUUAAAACAUUUUACGAAAUCAUAGAAAUGACAUGAAAUUUCCAACAAAUGUUUCAAGGAAAGAAAUCAGAUACACUAUGGGAUAACAUAAAAUUCUUUACCUUACACGGACUUUCCCUCUGUGAUUCUUCUAUGUAGGCAAUCUUUAUCUAUUACAAGGAAUUGAAAUGAAACACAUAAUUUAUACUUCCUAAUGAUGAAAAUUUAUACAAUUUACUGUUGCUAAUUUUUAAAUUCUAAUAUUCUUUAAUCUACAUGCCUAUAGGUUUUCAAAUCAAAUUUGAAUUGAAUUAAACAAUAUUUACAAUGCAUAUUAAUAUUCCCUAAUUAACUACCAAACACUAAUUGCUUUGAUUUUCUUAAAGCCUAACCUAUUAACAAAUCCCAAGUGUCCAAAUAACCUAAUUAAUCAAAUGUUUACUAAUCUAUUUUUCAAUUAAACCAAAUUAAACAAAGAUUUAUGUUGAUCGUACCAUUAAUAAAAUACUUAAAGCUAAAUGCUUUAAUCCUUAAUUAGUUAUGAUUUUUAACUAAAACAUGUUUAUACCUAAUUACACUCAACUUUUACACAAAUUUUACCGUUAAUUUGUUUCAGCAUACCAUUAAGAACUAAAAUAAACCAGAAUUACUAAAUUAAACAACUUGCUUACCUCAAAUCUUCACUUUCUCUCUCAAGAUCCUCUCUCUAACCCAAGCUGCUGCAGCUAAAAUGGUGCAAAACGAGCUGCAGACCCUUAUAUAGGGCUCUCCAUGCAGCCAAGUAGGAGGUGGUAGGCCACAUGGCUGCUACCAACCCACUCAAGUAGGAGGUGGGAGGCCACUUGGCUACCACUAACUCCAACUUCCCAAAUUUGCACUUUAGUUCUUCUAGUUAUCAAAAAUUAAACCCACAAUUGCCUAUUAGUCCUUUAGGUUUUCAUAACUAUAAUCAGCCCCUAAGAACUUAAUAAACAGGCUUAAGUCAUUAACUAAUCUCACUUAACCUUAAUCAAAGUUUAAUUCAUAAUUAAAUAGGAUUAACACUAAACUAGUUUUAACAUCUAAUUAAGCACGUUUAAAGUUAAGUACUAAAAUAAUCAUUAUUGCCUAUUUAAUUCACUAGUGCUAGGUAUUACAUGCCCGGAUCAUUUAUGUGUUACUAAACGGGUCAAAAUAAACUGAAAUUUCUAUUACCUAGAUAGGCACAUGUCUUAUCUCGCACAUUCUACUAUGAGCAUGACUGGAAUUUACUUUAUGAAUUAGUUUCCUUCUAGUUCUACAGGAUAGUUCUUGGUUUUGACUACAAGCUUCAAUUAAGUUUUUUAACUGUGAAACAAUCAAAUUCUUACCAUAUAAACCUGUAAUUGGUUUGUGUAGGUCUGAGCUAUUCGAUAAAGCUCUUGAUCAAUAUGUGAGGGGUCUUGGAUAGCAUCUCAAGGUAGCACUUAACUGCCAUUAUCUGGUUUUGCACUCUGAAUUAUAUUUCCAUGACUCCGAGUCACUCAUCAGUACUUUUGCUGCCUCAUCUAGAGCAAUGAAAUGAACAUGAAUUUCCAUUUGGCAGAUUACAGUCAGUUUGGCUAUCAGCAUACCAGUAGAUUGGUUCAUGUGCAGGUCAGUGAAACUACCCAUUUUGUGGAUAUCAUGUCCCAGUUUUCAUUACGAGUAUGUAUUGUGGGAGAUAAGCCUAUAACUUUGAUAGAUGGACUUUGAGAACUGUUUUUUCCCAAGGCUCUGUCCAUUAGAAGGGGAUCUAUUAUUGAAAUAUAGUUUGUGUUUGGUGAUAAUUUUAUUGUAGAACUUCGUGAAUAUUGUUCCUUUGUUUCUUGUCCAUGCAAAAAGACACAUGAAUCCAUGGUGAAAAGAAUUGCAUGCAUCACUGCUGCUAUUAUUUAAUAUCGUUCUAAUUAUGCUUUUGCUCCCUUUUUGCAAAAAAAUAAUUUCCACAACAGAUUUCAAGUUUAACUUAUUGAAUGUGAAGAUCCAUGCUCUGCGUAUUUGGUGGAUCCUAUGGCAGUGGCAUGCAUCUGAGUUACUGGCAUGUUCAAUUCAUCUUUUGGGUUGCCACAUCUCUUUUUUCUUCAGAUUGAAGCCUAGGCAAAAUUUAGCAUGUUGGUUGGUUUCCAAAGCUAUGUAGAAUUUGUUGUAUACAAGAUUCUCUCGAUUCUUGCUUUCCACUUUUAUGGGUUCUCAGGUAUCUCGAGUGUGUGAGGAGUCUGACAAAAAGGCCUUCAUUUUGCUUUAAUUACAUUUGAUAGUCUUUUCAUGGUAUUUAUUUAUUUAUUGUGAAUAGACAUUUUUGGAACUACAUUGAUAAACAUCAUCUUUGUUAGUUUUUUCUACUGAUGAUUUUUCUACAAUUUUCUUUUAAUGGAUGGAAAGUACUAACAGAAAAGCCCAAUAAGGGGCAAACCUAGUAAAGGGGUAAUUUACAAGGAAACAUUUGAGCUCCCCUGUUUUGUCUAUAAGAAGAAAGAGGCAUGAAGCCAAGAUUGCAAGGAAUCAUCCAAGCUCCUCUGUUUAUUCUAAUAAAAAAAGAAAAAAGCCCAAGGUUUUUGUCAUGGAGACAAAUUAAUAGCAUUUAAUUUCUGCAGGAUUAUAAGUUUGAGUUCCUGCAAGUUUGGUCUUAUGUCUUUAGGUGGGAGCCCCUUUUUUUGUAAUUGAGGUGCAUCAUGUUCUUGAUUGGUGUUGCCAGGUUCUUGGAAUAGCACAAAUGACUUCAAGAAAGAGUAUCUUUACCUGAAACCAAUACUGUUGCAUAGGCUAAAUAACACCUUUAGGAUUGAACCUCCCUUUGGAACUUGAAGACAUUGCUGCAUAACACUUACAGAGAGUAGCUUAAUUUGAGUGUGUUUUUUUCUUAAUGAACAAUAUCCAAGCUUUGAUUAUUAAUUAAUUUCAAAGAAAUGAUAUUGAUUAUUUAUUUGGAAAGAUAAAAUUCCAUGACAGUUUCUUGUUUUUUUUAUUAUAUUUUAUUUCUUUCUAAGUAUUAGAUUUUGGUGGUUAGGUUGUUCUCGUUGGACGGAUAAUGGAAAACAUGAUGUGUGAAGUUUCAAACUGUCUUUCUGAUUGACUGGACAUUGUUUUGGGUAGUAUAGCGCCACAUUGGUUUUGCGGUAGUUCUAGCUACUGAACUGAUGUCCUUCAGUAUGUAUCCUAUGCAAGUUUUUACUGGUUCAUAAACAGAGAUGAUGGGCUAAUAUUCAGUUGUUGCGAGCCAUCCUCUAUCUCAGUCAAGGCUGAAUUUGGUCUAGAGAUUGACAUUUCAUUUUCGAAAUUGUAUCUCCUACACAUAGACACAGUGCUUUGCGCUUGGAAAUGCAACUCAUCAAGUAUAUGCCCGCUGAUUUUAUUUUUGUGUAGGGGCCUGGUGACACAAUUUUAUGGAGAUAUAUGAAUUUGGGAAGAGUUCUUUCAAGGUUUGUAGGUUGACAACCAUGGGGAAGAGGCUUUCUUGGUUGGCUGAAUGUCCAUGUAGUAAGUCGAAUGGGGUUCUGUUUAAUUUCCUUUUCCUUCUUCCCUUCAACUUCUUUACUGUUUGGUUGAACCAUCCACUGCUGCCAUGAUGGCUCAUUUUGGAGAUGUCCGUCACAUAUAAGCAUUUGCCCGAGCAAAGGUUUAAUGGGGUAGUGUUGGUGGAGGAAAUGAGGCUGGUGAUGCCAAUGUAGGAGUCAGAAGUAGGGGUUUGUGUUGGCCAUGGAGGUUGAGAAGCCAGUUAAACAGUUGGUUCAUGUUUGGAAUGUUGCAAUAGAGAAUGUGAACAAGAAAUUACUUUCAUUCUCAUUCAUUUUUUUUUCUUUUGAUAAUUGUGGAUGUUCAGCUCAAUUUACGUACACAUCGACUAAUUCCACGGGCCCUAAAGUUAAUGACCGGAUGAGCCUCCGGUGGCCCUUAGACUUUCAUUCUCAUUCAUUUAUGUCUUAAGACUUAAACAUCCACAACAUCAUUAUUGAAUCCGUCUUGCAUAGAUUAUAUUAUAUAAUUAAAUGUUUAGAAAAUUCUUAAAAAUUAAAUCUGGAUUUUAACUUUUCAUAUUAAAAACUUUUUAAAUUAAGUCUGUCUUAAGUUCAGUAACUUAAACAUUACCAUCCAAGUAGUCUUUAUUAAUUUUAGAAGACGGUAUCAAAGUUAAAUAUGUUAAUUUUUAUCAUAAGAAAUAAGCAAUGAAAAAUGAAUUAUUCUUUAAGUAUUUUUUAAUCUAAAAUAUGUUAGAUUUCCUAAUAUUAAAAUAUUUUACAAGCAUUAAUUAUUAAUCCAAUUAAAAUAUUAAAUUAUUUUUCAUAUUUUCAUAAGCAAUUUUUAUUCAAUGUUAUAAAAAUCGGAUGUCUCAUUGAAUAAAAAAAGUUAUUAUAGCAUGAUUUGAUAAUUGAAUUGUGAUAGAUCUCUAUAUAAUAUAAAUAUAUAAUUUAUAAUUUAUAUAUUAUUAAAAUUAUAAAAAAAUAUAAGAAUCUUGAAAUUAUAUAUAUAGAUUAUAGACACACUGACACUCACUGUAGCCCAUGUUCGGAACAUGAGUCAUGACAUGUGACAUAUAUAUAUAAACUGCGACCCAUAUUCGGCACAGUGACAUGUGAAAGGAUUAUGACAAAAAAGUUGCGUCAGACAUUUGAAACAAAGGUGGGCUAUUUGAAAGAGACAAAAAAAAUAAAAAAUAAAACAAAACAAAAACCAAAAAAUUAAAAAAAUAAUGUUUGUCCAUUAAACAUUAAAUACGAUUUUUUUUUUUAAGAAUGGGUUUAAUUUUCUUUUUAAAAUAAAACAUCUUUUAAAUUAAAAAUACUUUUAAAAAGACUCUAUGAACGUUUGAAACGAAAAUAGGUUGUUUGAAAGAGACAAAAAGAAAAAAAAACGAACAAAACAAAAAACAAAAGGAAAAAUAAAAAAAAGAAUCAUGUUUGUUUAUAAAACAUUAUAUAUGAUUUUUUAAUUUUUUUUAAGGAAUUUUUUUUUUUGACAUUUUAUUAAAUGUUUAUUUUAAAAAAAACACGUCUUUUAGAUUAAAAAUACUUAAAAAAAAGUUUAUUAAAAAGAAUAUAAGUUGCAUCAUACAUAUGAAAUAAAGGUAAAAAUAUUAUUAAAAAGAACGUAAGUUGCCUCGUACAUAUGAAAUGAAGGAAGGAAGCUAGGUUGUUUGGAAGAGAGAAAAACAAAACGAAAAACAAAAACAAAAAACAAAAAAAAAUAUUAUAUUAGUCCACGAAACAUUAUAUAUAUGAUUUUUCAAAUUUUUUAAGAAUGUUUUUUUUACCCUUUAUCAAAUGUCUAAUUUUUUCUAAGAAAAAAACUUUUAAAUUAGAAAUAUUUUUAAAAAAAAAACUUCAAAAAAAUUCUAAGAAUGUGCUUAAAUAAUGUUUUUUUUUAAAAUGCUUUUAAUAAAAAUAUUUUUGGAAUAAUUAUUUAUGAAAUAUUUUGUCAAGAACCAUUAUAAAUGGUUUUCAACGUGUAAAAAGUGUUUUAUAAAUAUUUCAACUAAAAUAUUUUUUUUUAAAACAUAGAAAAACGAACUCUCAAAAUUCCUUUGUAAUUUUUCUAAGAAGUGUAUGGGAUCCGAAAUCGUCCAUGUCGUCCUCCAUUUUGCUUGGGUUGCACACGGUUUGCUAUGCUUCUUUUUUUAUGCAUUCCAAACAUCCAUCGAUUGACCAUUAGAUGGGAAAUUAUUGAAGUCUAAAACUACCCGUCUUCCUCUCUCAAACCUGUCCUACCAUUCUCUUUCACAGUGGUGGUAACAGGUGAAAUCUCAACGUUAAAUCAUUAUAUAUACUUUGUUUGUUUCCAUGUUGUUGUCAAAUUCUUACCUUGGGAACACAUACUCCACUCUAUGUGGGGUGCACGUUUGAAAGAGUCAUCACUGACGUCUCCUCUGCAGUAUUUAACAAUGAAGAGACUGAUCCUGAAACAAUAAAACCUCUCAGAACCACUCUCCCUCUCAGUCUAAGCAAUGGAGAGUGUUGUCUUGUAUCCAUCACCAGGGAUGGGUCACCUCAUCUCAAUGGUGGAGCUUGGAAAGCUUAUACUGAAACACCAUCCUUCAUUCUCCAUCACCAUAUUCAUUGUCACUCCACCUUACAACACUGGCUCUACUGCUCCUUAUCUCGCCCGCGUCUCCUCCACCAUUCCUUCCAUCACUUUCCACCACCUCCCCACCAUUUCUCUCCCUCUCGAUUCUUUCUCCUCUCCCAACCAUGAAACCCUUGCUUUCGAGCUCCUCCGCCUCAACAACCCUAACAUCCACCAGGCCCUUGUGUCCAUCUCCAACAAUUCCUCCGUCCGUGCCCUUAUCGUUGAUUGCUUCUGUACAGCGGCGCUUUCUGUGGCUGCUCAACUCAACAUUCCAUUCUACUAUUUCUUCACUUCUGGCGCCUGCUGCCUCGCUUCCUUCCUUUACCUCCCUUUCAUUCACCAGCAGACUACCAAAAGCUUUAAAGACCUCAACACCCAUCUCCAUAUUCCGGGUUUACCGCCGGUACCGGCCUCUGACAUGGCGAAGCCGAUACUUGACAGGGAGGAUAAGGCUUAUGAGUUAUUCGUAAACAUGUCCAUACACUUGCCAAGAUCAGCUGGAAUCAUUGUGAACACCUUUGAAGCGCUGGAACCAAGAGCUGUCAAAACGAUUUUGGAUGGGCUCUGCGUCCUUGACGGUCCAACCUCACCAAUAUUCUGCAUAGGACCAUUAAUUGCAGCUGAUGAUCGAUCCGGUGGUGGUGGUGGUGGAGGGGGAGGUAGCGGCAUUCCUGAGUGUUUGACAUGGCUCGAAUCUCAACCAAAACGCAGCGUUUUGUUUUUGUGUUUUGGGAGCUUGGGUUUGUUCUCAGAAGAACAGUUGAAGGAGAUAGCGGUUGGGUUAGAGAGGAGUGGGCAGAGGUUCUUGUGGGUAGUGCGGAGCCCACCCUCCAAGGACCCGAGCAGGCGUUUUUUAGCACCACCGGAACCGGAUUUGAAUUCCCUUCUCCCAGAUGGGUUUUUGGAUCGAACCAAGGAGAGGGGCCUAAUGGUGAAGUCGUGGGCUCCUCAGGUGGCCGUCUUGAAUCACGCCUCUGUUGGAGGGUUUGUGACUCACUGUGGGUGGAACUCAGUGCUUGAAGCAGUGUGUGCAGGCGUGCCAAUGGUGGCAUGGCCACUAUAUGCCGAGCAAAGGUUUAACAGGGUGGUGCUGGUGGAGGAAAUGAAGCUAGCCUUUCCAAUGGAAGAGUCGGAAGAAGGGUUUGUUACUGCAACUGAGGUUGAGAAGCGAGUUAGAGAGUUGAUGGAGUCGGAGGAAGGAAACACCCUUCGUCUCCGGAUCAUGGCCAUGAAAGAAGCUGCUGAGACUGCAAUGAGCGACGGUGGAUCAUCCCGCACCGCAUUAACAAAACUGGUCAAGUCAUGGAGGCCAGGAUGAGAGAAAGAGAAGGCUGUUCGUCUUAGCUUUCAAUUUCUUCCAAAUCCCGAUUAUUCGGUACCACUUCAACCUAGCAAUUGUUUCAUUAGCAAAAUUUUGCAUUUCUUUUAGCAGUUCAAUUUUAUUGUGUUCUUGGGUAUUAAGUUUGUUAACCUAAUAGAAAAUAAAUAAAUAAAAAAAGACAAAUGAUUAAUAUCCCAUGAAGUGCACCAACAUUAAUAAUCUAAUAAUCAAAAUGAAUGAAAGGAAUUAUAGUGGUGAAGUUCUAAUAAAAAAACUCUUUCAAUUGAGGCUGCAUUUUAUAAAAAUAAAAAAUAAAACUUUAAACAUAAAAGGAUUAUAUAUAAUAGGGUAAAUUCAUCAAUUAUCACAUAAAAAAAUUAAAAAAAAAAAAUUGAAAAAGUGCUACCCCUUCCACCUUUACAAAUUGACCGGACAACUCAAUUCAUAUAAGCUUAUGGGGAACUCAACCCUUGCGAGCUGGUCGAACAACUUGAUCCUUGCGAGCUAUCCGAGCAGCUUGAUCCUUGGCAUUUGAACAAAAUACGAUAAUAUUGAUUCAAACUUCAUAAUCUAACAAGGUUUAAUUCCUUUCUUAACUAUUUCAUUUUUAUCACAAAUUUGGAUGAAUUUAAUUAUUCAAUACAAACACCUUUGGACCAUUUCUUGCAGUUUUCAAUGAUAAUCCAUAAAAACUUAGAUAUCAUGCUUGUAAAGUCAUGAACACGGAAGCAAAAAUAUCAUCUAUUAUUAGCAGAUAAAGUCCUAGGAGGGCCACACAUUCUUGAAAUCCAUACGUUUUUCCAAUGGAUACACCCUUCAGUGUACAGAUUUUUUUUUUGCAUGCGUGAAUAAAUGACAAUCCCGUUGUCACUUUGUUUUGAUCUAACAAUUUCAAAAUAUAUAUAUGUUCCUUUCUUUUACAUGUCAUUUUCCUUCUACCUUCUAAAAGUUGUCUUCUAGAGUCUCACUUAAAGUUGUUUUGGACUCUAUCGUGUGAUUGUUACAGCCAAUAUCUAGACAUUGAACAUCUUGUGAUUGAUUCUUCUCAAGUAUUCAUAUAAUAAAUACAAUUAGAAAUAUUAAUUCCCCCCUUUUCCAAUGUUGGGAUGGUACUCAUCUUUCACACCAUUAUUAGAACUGUCCCACCUUGAAGGUUUAUUAAAAAUAAAGCUUCCUAUUUGUGAUUAUCUUUAUUGAAAAUAUUAGAGUGACACCCCUAACCCAAGUAAUUAAGGCUAAGGGGACAAUGGUCAUUUCAUAGAUGGGCCCAAAGGUCUAACAUGUGAAUAAUGUCAGAAAUGUGAUAUAGUCAUUCAUUAAUGUUGGCCGGUUGCUUGUAACAUAUCAAAAUAGUAAUCAAAGAUUAUUAAAUCAACUUUGAAAAUGAAACAAAGUCCCACAUGCACGAGUAUUUAAAACAUUUUUCAAUUAGAUUUAAUUGAAAUAAAGUAAACUAACUAGCUAGUGGUAAAUAAUGGAGCAAAUUUUUUUUUUUGGUUUUUGCCUAUGAUGAGACGAGUUUGGAAGAAGUAUAAGUAGGUUAAGGAUGUGUUUGAGAUUUUUUUGAAACUUAAGACGGGUUGGACUAUUGCUUUGUCCCUCGCCACCAUAUCCCGAUUAUAUAUAGUUAUAAAAAUAAUUUAAUUUAAUUUAUUUUUUCAUUUUCCCCUUUUGUAACACAUAAAAUUUGCCAUAUUUUUUUGUUAAAAUUAAAAAAAAAAUUAUUUAUAAUUUUUUUUUAUAUAAUUAAAGUUUUUCAAAAAAUUAAAUUUUAAAAAUAAUAUAUAUAUAUAUAUAUAUAUAUAUAUGUGGUUUGAAAUUUCAUUGACUAUUUCCCUUAUUCCGAAUAAGAAAAAAGUGACUAAAAUUAAUAAAUGAAAAUAAUAUAAAAGAUAUUUAAUGAAAUUUCAAAUUUAUAAGAAUUACAUAUAUUUAAUCAAAAUUUCAAAGGAGAUGAAUAAAAUUAACUCAAUUAGAAAUCAAUUACUUAUAUCUAUUUACUUUAUUAUCUAAUUCAUUAAUCACCACUUAUGAAUAUAAUCAUCACUUAUAAUUACCAAAAUAUUAUGGUACUUAACUUCAUACCAAGGCCCAACAAAGUAAGGGGAACAUAAGUACCUAUAAUCCCUUAUGAAUUUCUAAUAGUAUAUAUUCUAGAGGUCCAAAAUUCCAACCAAAUUUAAUAGCAUUCAAUUUCCAUCUUAGAUUUUGGCAAGGCUUACAUCAAGAUUAAAACCAACAUCCAAUAUUUUUGAAUCAUGCAUUUUUUUAAAAAGAUUUAAGGCGUAUUUUUUAUCAUAAUUUUAGAAAGUAUUUCUAACAUUUUUAAUACUUAAAAAAUAAAAUUUUAUUUUCUAAAAUCACUAUCAAAUACACUUUUAAUUUAUGUUAUCACACAUAUCUCGGGUUAGGAUAGUAAUAAGCCCUGAUUUCAAAUUACCUCUUCGAGGGGCAUGGUUAUUUUUCAUUUUUCCAACUUUACCAUAUGACCAUACUAGUGUUUGAACCUCCUCUUCCACCAAAAAUUUAUUAGGGUAGUUGCCUUGUUCCUAUCGCUGCUUUAUAUUUUCGUCCUUUUAUGAUAGGUUUAACCUCCUCAAAAGUUUGUUCAAUCAUUUUCACAUGCUUCAAGCUAUCAAGCACUUGCGUUUUGUAUGGCAGCAGAAACAUGUUCACGUUUUGCAGGCAAAGUUCUUAAAACUUGCUUAUCAACAGUUUCUCUUCUUGAAUUGUGUGUCCACAACUUCAUAUUAACAAAAUCUCCAUAAAUUUUGAAGUUCUAUUGAAAUUAUUUUAUCACUUCUCAUGGGAUUCUUAAUUUUUAUAAUACUUGCUAUGCAACUUUAGCUUUCUAAUCCCCAAAAAAUUCUAGGAAGACUAACUUAAUUUGCUUAGCCUGUUGAAUAUAUAUACAAGUAUAAAGAGACAUAACAAGAGCAACUUUGCUUAUGCUUUGUUAAACAUAUAAUAAGCGUAAUAAAGAGAGACAAGAUUUUCUUGAGCAAGAAUCACAAGGCUUGCAAUGAAGAAGUCCAUCUUUUGACACUUGGUUUUCACAAGAUACCAAUGGGCCUUUGGUGUACACUUAAGGUGUCUCUCAACGACUCACGAUUACUUACUACUUACAGUUGGCCUAUAAUAAAUAUAUUUUCGAAAAGAGUAGAUAUAGAUUUAAUGAACAUUAGAUGAUAUUAAAAACUUGUGGAAUAAUAUUUCCAUGUGAUUAUCAAGUGUUAGGUACAUGAUAAAUAAGUUUUAAGAAGCCUGUUUUGGCAUUAAUCUUAUUAAUUUAAGAACUUAUUUGACAGUAAUUUUAAAAAAUAUUUUUUAACAUUUUUAACAAUUAAAUUUUUUUAAUAAUUCAAGUAUUAGAAAUGCUAAAAAUUAUUUUCUAAAUUUACUAUCAAAUGUGCUCUACAUUUGUUAUUAUGAUUAAGUACUAGUGGUUGUAAGUACAUAGUUAACUAUCCAUAUGUUAGUCCGAUCUACACUAAUUAAAGAGAAUCUAUAUGUUUUUUGAUUUGAAAGUUUAAAAUAAAAUAGAAAAUAAGAAUAAUUUAAUUAAAUUUUUAUUCACUUUCAAGAAAAAAAAAUAGUAUUUAUAUAUGUGAUUAAAAGGUAAUACUCUAAUAUUACUUUUGACUUAAAAAUGUAUUAAAUAAAAAAUAUUUUUAAUCGAAUGAUAUGAAUCGAGAUAUAGAAAAAUGAGUUCUCAUUCUACUUAUAUUUCUAAAUAAGACCAUGAAAACAUAUUUUUUCUAUCUUAAAUAGAAAAUAAGCGAAUUAUAAUUUUAAUAAACCAAUCUUUCUUUUAGGGUUCUAGGAUAUUUUGACGUAUGAUUAGGGAGAUAUUUUGUGUUUAAAUUAGGGGAGUUUAAACCAUGUUUUUAAAGUAAGGUUUUACUUUAAAAACAAAACAAAAAUCCCCCCCAAAAAAAAAUCAUGUUUGUCCAUCAAACAUUAUAUAUGAUUUUUAAUUUUUCUUUAAAAAACAUCUUUUAAAUUAUAAAUACUAUUAAAAAGACUCUAAAUUACGUGAGAUAUAGGCCAUUUGAAAGCGACAAGAAAAAAAAAACAAAAAACAAAAAACAAAAACCAAAUAAUAAUAAUGUUUGUCCAUAAAACAUUAUAUACGAUUUUUCGCCUUUUUAAGAAUAUUCUCUACAUUUUAUCAAAUGUUUAUUUAAUUUUUUUUAUAAAAAAUAUCUUUUAAAGUAGAUUUUCUUUUUUUUUUUAAAAAAAAAAAAACUAUUAAAAAGACUUUAAGUUGCAUCAGACGUUUAAAAUGAAGUUAGGUUGUUUGAAAGAGAAAAAUAAAACAAAAAAUCAAAAAGCAAAAGACAAAAAAUAAUAAUAAUAAUAAUGUUUGCCCAUAAAACAUUAUCUAUGAUUUUUCGAUUUUUUAAGAAUGUUCUUUACAUUUUAUCAAAUGUCUAAUUUUUAUUUUUUUAAAUUAGAAAUACUUUUAAAAAAAACACAGUUAAAAAUCUUCUAAAUUGUGUUAGACAUUUGAAACAAAGGCAGACAGUUUGAAAAAGACAAAGAAACAAAACAAAAACCGUGUUUGUGCAUAAAACAUUAUAUAUAAUUUUUCAAUUUUUUUAGAAUGUUCUCUACAUUUUAUCAAAUGUUUUUUUUUAAACAUCUUUUAAAUUAGAAAUACUUUAAAAAAAAAAAUACUAUUAAGAAGACUUUAAGUUGCUUUAGAAAUUUAAAAUGAAGAUAGGUUGUUUGAAAGAGAGAAAAAAAACAAAACAAAACAAAAAGCAAUAAUAAUAAUAAUAAUAAUAAUAAUAAUAAUGUUUGCCCAUAAAACAAUAUAUAUGAUUUUUCAAAUUUUUAAGAAUGUUUUCUACAUUUCGUCAAAUGUCUAAUUUUUUUUUUAUAAAAAAAACGUAUUUUAAAUUACAAAUACUUUAAAAAAAAUACUAUUAAAAAGAGUUUAAAUUGUGUUAGACAUUUGGAACAAAGGCACACCGGUUGAAAGAGACAACAAAACAAAACAUAAGACUAUGUUUGGUUCCCGGAAAGUACAAAGGAAAGAAAAAAAAUGCUAAGGAAAAUGAUUUUCUCAUGUUUGGUUGUCCUAUGAAAAAUAUCAAAGAAAAUCAAAUAUAAUUAAAACUAAUUAAAAACUUAUAUAUUUUUAAAUUAUUUAAUCUUUAUAUUGAUGAGUUAAAAUAAAUAAAAUGAGUUUGAAGUAACAAAAAAAAUAAUUUAUCAACUUUUAAUAUAUUUUUUUUAUUUUUCUUCACUUUUUCUUUCCUUCUACUUUUCCUUUGUAUUUUCUUUCCCUCGUAUUUUCCCUCAAAUUUUCCGGGAACCAAACAUAGCCUAAAGAAAACAAAAAUGAUGUUUGUCCAUAAAACAUUAUAUAUGAUUUUAAAAUCUUUUAAAAAUGUUCUCAACGUUUUAUCAAAUGUGUAUUUUCUUUUUUAAAAAACAUCUUUUAAAUUAGAAAUGCAUUUAAAAAAAAAAACUAUUAAAAAGACUUUAAGUUGCAUUGUACAUUUGAAAUGAAGGUAGGUUGUUUGAAAGAGAAAAAAACCAAGAAAGAAAAAAAAACCAAAAGAAAAAACAAAAAGCAAAAAAUAAAAAAAAAUAAAAUGUGUUUGUACAUAAAACAUUAUAUAUUAUUUUUCAAUUUUUAAGAAUGUUUUCUACAUUUGAUAAAAUGUCAACUUUUUUUUAAAUAUGUUUUAAAUUAUAAAUACUUUUAAAAAAAAUUAUUAAAAAGGCCCUAAGAAUGUGUUUAAAUAAUGUUUUUUGUGAAGUGUUUUUAAUAAAAAUAUAUUUUUUCAAGAACCAUUAUAAAUGGUUUUCCAACUUGUAAAAAGUGUUUUCUAAAUAUUUCAACUAAAACAUUUUUUUAAAACAUAGAAAAACGACCUCUCAAAAUUCCUUCGUAAUUAUUGGAAGAAGCCUAUAGGAUCCGAAAUUGUCCAUGUCGUCCUCCAUUUUGCUUGGGUUGCACAUGGUUUGCUCUGCAUCUUUUCUUAUGCAUUCCAAGCAUCCAUCGAUUGACCAUUAGAUGGGAAAUAAUUGAAGUCUAAAACUACCCGUCUUCCUUUUCCACCAUCCUCUCUCAAACCUGUCCUACCAUUCUCUUUCACAGUGGUGCUAACAGUUGAAAUCUCAACCUUAAAUCAUUAUAUAUUUUUUGAUGAUUGACUUCUCCCCCUUGUCCUUUUGCUUUCUGCACUAUUUAACAAUGAAGAGACUGAUCCUUAAACAGUUAAACCUCUCUCCCUCUCAGUCUAAGCAAUGGAGAGUGUUGUCUUGUAUCCAUCACCAGGGAUGGGUCACCUCAUCUCAAUGGUGGAGCUUGGAAAGCUUAUACUGAAACACCAUCCUUCAUUCUCCAUCACCAUAUUCAUUGUCACUCCACCUUACAACACUGGCUCUACUGCUCCUUAUCUCGCCCGCGUCUCCUCCACCAUUCCUUCCUUCACUUUCCACCACCUCCCCACCAUUUCUCUCCCUCUCGAUUCUUUUUCCUCUCCCAACCAUGAAACCCUUGCUUUCGAGCUCCUCCGCCUCAACAACCCUAACGUCCACCAGGCCCUUGUGUCCAUCUCCAACAAUUCCUCCGUCCGUGCCCUAAUCGUUGAUUCCUUCUGUACAACCGCGCUUUCUGUGGCUGCUCAACUCAACAUUCCAUGCUACUAUUUCUUCACUUCUGGCGCCUGCUGCCUCGCUUCCUACCUUUACCUCCCUUUCAUUCACCAGCAGACUACCAAAAGCUUUAAAGACCUCAACACCCAUCUGCAUAUUCCGGGUUUACCGCCGGUACCGGCCUCUGACAUGGCGAAACCGAUACUUGACAGAGAGGAUAAGGCUUAUGAGUUCUUCCUAAACAUGUUCAUACACUUGCCAAGAUCAGCUGGAAUCAUUGUGAACACCUUUGAAGCUCUGGAACCAAGAGCUGUCAAAACGAUUUUGGAUGGGCUCUGCGUCCUUGACGGUCCAACCUCACCAAUAUUCUGCAUAGGACCAUUAAUUGCAACUGAUGAUCGAUCCGGUGGCGGUGGAGGGGGAGGUGGCGGCAUUCCCGAGUGUUUGACAUGGCUCGAAUCUCAACCAAAACGCAGCGUUUUGUUUUUGUGUUUUGGGAGCUUGGGUUUGUUCUCAGAAGAACAGUUGAAGGAGAUAGCGGUUGGGUUAGAGAGGAGUGGGCAGAGGUUCUUGUGGGUAGUGCGGAGCCCACCCUCCAAGGACCCGAGCAGGCGUUUUUUAGCACCACCGGACCCAGAUUUGAAUUCCCUUCUCCCAGAUGGGUUUUUGGAUCGAACCAAGGAGAGGGGCCUAGUGGUGAAGUCGUGGGCGCCUCAGGUGGCCGUCUUGAAUCACGCCUCUGUUGGAGGGUUUGUGACUCACUGCGGGUGGAACUCAGUGCUUGAAGCUGUGUGCGCCGGCGUGCCAAUGGUGGCGUGGCCACUAUAUGCCGAGCAAAGGUUUAACAGGGUGGUGAUGGUGGAGGAACUGAAGCUAGCCUUGCCAAUGGAAGAGUCGGAAGAAGGUUUUAUUACUGCAACUGAGGUUGAGAAGCGAGGUAGAGAGUUGAUGGAGUCGGAGGAAGGGAACACCCUUCGUCUCCGGAUCAUGGCCAUGAAAAAAGCUGCUGAGACUGCAAUGAGCGACGGUGGAUCAUCCCGCAACGCAUUAACAAAACUGGUCGAGUCAUGGAGGCUAGGAUAGAGAGAGAAGGGUGCUCGUCUUAGCUUUCAAUUUUUUCCAAAUCUCGAUUAUUCCGUGCCACUUCAACCGUAUAUUAUCCUAAUCACACGCUACGGGGGAGAAAAUAAAGAAAGAGACAACAUUUUCAGCGUAGUUUGACAAUCAAAGAACUUGCAUUAACACUCCAUAAUCUACUUAUCAAAAUAAAUGAAAAGAGUUACGAUGGUGAAACUCUUGAAAAAAGACCUCUCAUUUACAUCACACUUUCCAAAAAAUAAAACCCUAAAUAUAAAAAGGUUAAAUAUAUAAUAUGAACAAACUUAUCAAUUAUCAUAUAAAAAAAUAAAAAUAAAAUAGUAAGACUACUCCUUUUAACCCUCGUAAGUUGAUCGGGCAGCUCGAUCCCCACGAGCUCAAUGGGGAAUUCUAUUCCCGUGAACAAAUUGGACAACUCAACCUCCGAUAUUCCAAGUAAAGUGCAAUAAUAUUGAUUUAAGCUUCACAAUCUAACAACAUAUAAUUCUUUUAUUAAUUAUCUCAUUUUUGUUACAAGUUUAUAUGAAUUUAAUUAUUCAAUACAAACACCUUAGGACCAUUUCUUGCGGUUGUCAAUGAUAAUCCAUAGAAAACUUAGAUAUCAUCCUCAUAAAAUCAUGGACAAAGAAGCAAAAAUAUCAUCUGUUAUUAGCAGAUAAAAGUCCAAGGAGAGCUACACAUGCUUGUAGUCUAUACGUUUUUCCAAUGGAUACACCCUUCAGUGUACACAUUUUUUUCUUGCGUGAAUAAAUGACAAUCCAGUCAUCACUUUCUUUUGAUCUAACAAUUCCAAAAUAUACAUAUAUGUUUCUAUCUUUUACAUGUCAUUUUCCUUUUACAUUCUAAAAGUUGUCCUCUAGAUUCUCGCUUGAAGUUGUUUUGGACUCUAUUGUAUGACUGUUACAGCCAAUAUCUAGAUAUUGGAUCUCUUGUGAUUCUUCUCUACUGUUCAUAUAAUUAAUACAAUUAGAAAUAUUAAUUCCCCCCUUUUCUAAUGUUGGGAUGGUAUUCAUUUUUCACACCAGUAUUAGAAUUGUCCCACCUUCAACAUUUGUUAAACAAAAAGGCUUCCUAUUUGUAUUAUCUUUAUUAAAAAAUGCUAGUGCAUGUAGCACUAACCCAAAUAAAGCUAAGGGGAUAAUGGUCAUUUCAUGGGUGGACCCAAAGAUCUAAGAUGUGAAUAAGUCUUUUAAAACUUGACAUAGUUAUUCAUGCAGGGCGGUUGCUCAUAACAUAUCAAAAUAGUAAGCAAAGAUUAUUAAAUCAACUUUCAAAAUGAAACAAGUCCCCAUGCAUGAGUAUUUAAAACAUUUUAUGAUUAGAUUUAAUUAAAAUAAGAUAAACUAACUAGUGGUAAAUAAUGAGGCGAAUUUUUCGAAUUUUUCCUAAUAUUCGCCUCUAAUUAGACGAGUUUAGAAGAAGCAUAAGUGGGUUAGGGGUGAGUUUGAUUUUUUUAAAAAAAAAAAAACUCAGAGGGUUGAACUAUUACUUUCUCCCUCCCCACCAUAUCCAAAUUACAUAUAUAGUUAUUAAAAUAAUUAAAUUAUUUUUUUCAUUUCCCUUUUUUUUAACACAUAAAAUUUACAAAUAAUUUUUUAUUAAAAUUAUAAAAAUUGUUUUUUAUUUAAUUUUUAAUAUAAUCAAAGUUUUUCAAAAAAUUGAAAUUUAAAGAUAAAAAAUAAUUAAAAAAAAUAAGGGAUAGGAAAUUUAUAUAUAUAUAUAAUAGAGAGGAGAAUAUCUUUUGUAUUUCGAAUAAGAAGAGAAUAACUAAAAAUAACAAAUAAAAAGAAUAUCAGAGAUAUUUAAUGAAAUUUCAAAUUGAUGAGAAUUAUAUGUAUUUAAUCAAAAUCUUAAGAGAGAUGAAUGAAAUUAACUGAAUUAGAAAUUAAUCAAUUACUUAUAUCUACUUUGCUAUCUAAUUCAUUAAUCAUCACUUACAAUUACCAAAAUACUAUGGUCCUUAAAUGCAGAAACUUCAGACCCAGGCCCAACAAGAUAAGGGGAGCAUCAGUACUUAUAAUCCCUUAAGAAUUUCUAAUCAUAUAUAUUCUAGAGAUCCAAAAUUUCAACCAAAUUUGAUAGCACCCGAUAUCCGUGUUAGAUUUUGACGAGCCUUUUGUCAAGAUUAAAACCAACGACCAAUAAUUUUGAAUCAUUAUUUCAUUUUUAUUGAUAUUAAUCAAUAAAAUUAAAGUGAACUUGUUAUCAAUAAGUUUAGUUUAGUUAUAUUGAUUGAUGUCGAUGAAUUAUUUUUAACUGAAUAAAAAAAGUCAAUUGUUUUGGUUUUGUCUAUUUAGUCAAAAAACAAAUACCACCUUAGAGUGUGUUUUUUAUAAUAAUUUUAAAAAAAAUUUUUAAUUUUUUCAAUACUUGAAAAUUUUUAUUUUUCAAAUAUUAGAAAAAAAAAAUACUUUGUAUCAUUAAUUUAUAUUAUUGGUAGGCUAAAAUAGGCUCAGUUUUCAAAUUACCUCUUCCAGGGCCAUGGUUAUUUUUCAUUUUUCCACCUUUACCGUAUGACCAUACUAGUGUUUGAAUUUUGAACCUCCACUUCAACCUAAAAUUUAUUAGGGUAGUUGCCUUGUUCUUUAUAUUUUCGUCCUUCUUUUAUGAUAGGUUUGACAGCCUCAAAAGCUUGUUCAAUCACUUUUCACAUGCUUCAAGCUAUUAACUAUUUACAUUUUGUAUGGCAGAAGAAACAUGUUCUUGUUUUUGCAGGCAAAGUCCUUAAAACUUGCUUAUCAACACCUUCUCUUCUUGAAUUGUGUGUCCACAACUCAUAUUAACAAAAUCUCCACAAAUUUUGAAGUUCUAUUGAAAUUAUUUUAUCACUUCUCUUGGGAUUCUUAAUUUUUAUAAUACUUCUUAUGCAACUUUAGCUUUCUAAUCCCCAAAAACUUCUAGGAAGAAUAACUUAAUUUGCUUAAGAGUUGUUUGGUUAAAUUUAAUGCUUAUUUGUUAAUGAUUUAAGUUAAAUUAUACUUAAAUUAUUGAUUAAAAACUUAUUGUUUAAUUAAUAUUAUUUGAUAAAAUUAAUUUAAAAUUAAUUUUAAAUUAUCAAAUUGACAUAUUUAUCAUCAUAAAUUAUAAUUAAGGUAAAGGAAGUCGAGUAACAAUAGAAGUUGUAAAGUAACAAAAGAGAUCGUUGAGGUAAUUAGAGUAAAUUAAAAUAAAAAUAAAUAAAAUAAAGAUAUGAAUUUAAAAAUAAGUUAAUUGUUUUUACUUAUUAUUUAAAGUUAUUUUUCACUUUAAAUCAUACUAUUAAAUUAUUUUACCAAAUAUACUUAAUUUACUUAAUAACUUAAAUUAAAUUAUUAUGUCACUUUAAGUUAUUAAAUUGGUUCACCAAACACCCCUAACCUUUCUUGAAUAUGUAUAGAAGUAUAAAGAGAUCUAACAAAAGUAACUUUGCUUAUUUUAUACUUUGUUAAACAUAUAAUAAGUUAAAUAAAGAGAGACAAGUUUUUCUUUAACAAGAAUCACUAAGUUUACAAUGAAAGAAGUCUAUCUUUUUGACACUUGGUUUUCACAAGAUACCAAUGGACCUUUGGUGUACACUUAAUGUUUCCAUGUGAUUUAAUGCACAUUAAAUGCUAUUAAAAACUUGUUGAAUAAUAUUUCCAUGUGAUUAUCAAGUGGUUGGUACAUGAUAGAUAAAUUUCAAGAAGUCUGUUUAGGCACUAAUCUUGUCAAUCUAAAUUUGCUAUUGCACUACAAGGAAAAUGUCAAAAGAUGACGCUUUUUAAGUGUCAAGAUAGAUAUAAGAUGACGCUUUUUAAAAGCGUCAUAUAUUAGACUGUCAUCUUUUUAAAUCACAUACGUUGACACUUUUAGAAGCGUCAUUUUCUUUGCACGUCAACCAUGACGCUCAUAGUAAGUGUCAUUAUUUGAAACAUUGACGCUUUAUAAGUGUCAUCAUAUGUUAAUAAUUUCAUUCAUGUCAAUAUUGACACUCAAUGAAGCGUCAUUGUAUAGGUAGAAGCAACAUUGACACUCAAUAUAAGUGUCAUCUUAUAACUUUUUAUUUGUAGGAGCAACUUUGACACUUAAUAAAGUGUCAUUGUAUAAGUAGAAGCAACAUUGACACUCAAUAUAAGUGUCAUCUUAUAGCUUUUUUUAUUUGUAGGAGCAACAUUGACACUCAUAAUAAGUGUCAUCGUAUAGCAUUUUAUACCUUGACACUAAAAAAAAAUGCCAUGUUUUUUUAACAUUAACCUUGACGCUUUUGAGAAGUGUCAUCUUCUGUUAUUCAAGUAAAGCAUGACGCUUUAAAAAAGCGUCAUCUUAUCUCAUAUAAAAUUUUAAUAGCCCAGAAAUUAAAAUGUCCUAAUUAUGCCCUGUUUUAUAAUUUUCUAUCAACAAUUAAAUUAAUAAUGAAAACUUAAUUUAAGAAUCUCCAUUGACAAAAAGUAUCAAAUAUGGUCUCCCUUUUUCACUAUUACAAUUUAUCCAUAAACAUCAUAUAUAAUCAACAACUAAAACCAACAAUUUUACAACUUCUUCUUCUCAACUUUAAAUUGUUCAUAACCUUCACUACAUCUAGUUUUACAUCAUUUUUCUUCCAAGUGCAAAAGGAUGGUUGUAACUCACUUUCUAGAUGCUCAAUCUGCAAAAUAAUUGAGAGGGUUACAUAUUUAUUAGUAUUAACAAAUAGUUAAGAAGCAACUUUGUAAAUGAAAUGUGUAUAUGCCAAUUUUUAAAUUUCCAAAAUAUCUUUCUUCCAUUGCAAUAAAUUUCAAAAUAUCAAAAGAACUCAACAAACUCCAAUAAUUUUAUUACACCAAAUUUCUAAAUAUUUUAGAACUCUUAUUCUAUUUUUUUUUUUUAAAAACAAAAAAAAAAAGUUUUUAUCUCAUUGACUAUUUUGGUAUGAUUUUUAUCUUAUUUAUGAAACUUCAACCAUUAACAUCUUCUCAUUCUUCUUAUAGGUUGUACAAGACAUUAGAUGUUUUGCAUGAGAAGGAACUAAGGAAUGAAAAAAAAAACAAAAAAAACUAGAAGUCCAAAAAAUUAUAAAAUUUUAAAUUAACAUAUUUAUGUAAAAUUAUAAAAUUGUGUUAAAAUAUCUAUGUUCUUCUUAUUGUAUUAGUAUAUCAACAUUUAAUAAUAUGAGGAUAUCUAUUAUCUAAAUAUGGAACUUGCAUGAAAUGAUCUCUAAACAUGGAAUUGAUUCAUAAAACUUACAAUAACCACAACAUGUUACCUCAAAAUUCUUUUGAUGAUAUAUUUUGAAUUGUUUGUAGGUGUCCUUCAUCAAGAGCAGUAGUGACGUUGUUAAUAGAAUGACCUAUGCCUUUUUGUACAACCUGAAGAAUAUAUAAUAAACAAUUUAACAACCAAUUAGUAAGAGGUGCUAUUUCCUUCCAUAGGCUUAUUUGUAAGAAGUCUUAAACUAACUUCCUAUUUUUGUAUGUAAAAGAAAAUGGAAGUACAAGAUAUUAUAGACUUUAAGCCCAUUAGUAUAGUAGGAGACCUUUAUAAAUUUAGAUUAAAGAAGUUUAUAAAGCUAGUAAUCUUAAAGACCAAAAAUGCUUUUGUAGAGAAUAGACAAAUUCCUAAUUCAUGCACAUGUAAUGAAACUAAAGGCUCUACGAAAAUGAGCUUGGACAUGCAGAAAUUUUUGUAGCUAUGCUAUUGUAGGAUUUCUCCAAAUCUAACUGAUAAUAAUUUGUAGAGGAAAUAUACAAAAGUUGUUACACCUACCAUGUCUACUUGGCUUCACCUCUCAAUAUGCCAACUAUACAUCAAUCAUAAUAGAGCAACCCCCAAAAUGAUCCAUAUUGAAAACACUGCCAACUAGGAGUACAAAGAUAUACAUUAACAAAUUAUCAUUGUGAAUAAAUCCAUUAUAAAAUUAACAUUAACAAAAUAUUGACUACAUCUUUAAAAGAAUAUGAAGUUGUAUUAGACUAUAAGUUAUAAGAGGUACUUUCAAACAUGAGUAAUGAUUAACUGAGUCACUAACAUAACCCAAUCUGAUCGAACUUCAUUAAUUUCCAUUUCACUAUAUGAUUUCUUCCCACAAAACUGAAUUGGAGUGACAUAUACAAUUCACUAAGUUCAAUUGACCAAAAAAAAAAAAAAUGCUAUAGUAAAAUGACCAACCAUAUGAAUUGAAUUGAGUGCAAACCUUUGAUGUUAGUUGGUUUGGAUUAGCAAUGAUUUCCUUCAUAUAUCUCAUCACGUAAUACCCACAUUCCACACUACCUGGUUGUCUUGGGCACUAUGGGAAAAGUAUCAACAAUUGCAAUAAACACUAGAAUGAUGUUCUUACUUCUUUAGCAUCUUAUUGAUGAUCAUAUUAAUAACCAUCCAUUUUCUAAUUUUUUCAUAAAUUAAGUGGUGAAGCAAUAUAUUUUAAUCUAAACAAAUAAGUACUUACAACCACUUUCACCCAAGUUGGCUCCCUCUUUGAUGUUUUCUGUUUUUCCGGUGGGUUGAUUCUCAUUACCCUACAAAAAGAAUUAAAAAGAUGUUAUUUAAACACUAUCAAUUGUAUUAAAAUAGGAGAAAAUAUAUACUUACAUGUUAACUAUGUCCUUAAGAUCAUCACAUGGUUGACAUGCCAUUGGAUCAAGGUAAUAUGCAAUCAUUUUCUUCAUCUCCAAUGCCACUAACACCCAAUGAAAACUAAAGAAAAGAAAUGAAAAUUGUAAUAUAGUAUCCACAAAUUCAAACAUCACAAACUAACUUACAAACACCAUAUUGAUAUUUAGGAUAAAAGGUUACUCUAGGUUGUAUGGAAUAAGCAUAUAUUCAGCAUGCUUUGUAUUCUUUAGUCGAUCUGCAAUAACCCUUGACCUGUUUUCCUUGCUUCCCUCUCCUAUUCCAGCUUUUGAGACCAAUGCUGGAUUGACAAAAACAUAUCGUUCGGCCUGCUUUGCAUCAAUCAACUUUCUAUGCAAAUGCCUGAUUAUAACCCAUAUGACAAGUUAUCAACAAUCAUUAUAGGUCAUUAGAAAAUAACCUUCUAUCUCAUAAUCUUGUAAAAAGUCAUUCAAAAAUUAUAAAAUCCCUUACCAGAUGUAGUAUAAAAUACAAUUGGAUGACACUUCUUUUGAUGAUAUUAUCAUUUCCAUAUCUUCUUUCAUCAUGAAGGUCUUGAAACUCUCACCAAAAACAUCCUCUGGGAAGUUUAUAGGGUAUGCUCUUGAUGUACUCAGCAUGAGGCCAACCAAUGUCUCAAAAUUUUUCAUAUCUUGUGGUUUUUCACCCUUGGAUUUGACUUCAACUUCAUUUACUUUUUGUUUCUUUGCUUUCUUAGAUGCCUGUACAAUUAAGAACCAUGGUACAAAUCAAAUUAACUAGUUAUAUAUAUAUAUAUAUAUAUAUAUAUAUAUAUAUAAAGUCACUAUAAAGUUUGGUAAUUAAAUUUACUUACUAAGAUGGGAGUACGGAUGAUGACCAAAUCAGUUGGCCACAAAACUUGGUAACCAAUUGCAGCCCCAACAGUAGUAGUUUGUCCAGGAAUAGGAAUGGGAAGGGGUGCACUUGAAUCAUAAGGAGCAUCAACAACUACUAAAUAGUUGGGACCACAUUCAAGUAUAAUUGUUCCACCUGCCACUAUAUUUUCCUUGGUGCCUAUGGCCAGCUCACAUUUUCUAACCUACAAAACUCAAUUCACAAUAAUCACUUCAAUAUUAGUGGGUUUAUACAAAACUAACAUAAAUGCAUUAUCAUCAUCAAUCACCUUAUAGCUCCUAUUACAAUGAUAAAUGCAAUUUCAUUUACAUUCAAUUGCAACAAACUUGCAUGAUAACAUUUCAGUCCAUUGCAUAUAACUCAACCCAUAAUUUAGACAUAUCCUAUUAUAUGUUGCCACAUCAAAGAAGACCAUAUAUGUUGCCACCAACAUUUGAAGUUAAUUCAAACAACAAAAUUAAAUUAAAUUAUUUCUCGUAUUAGAGGAAACUUUGUCAUCAAAUUAGCUUAAUUGAAUAAAUACCUUCUUCUGUGGUUCUAUUGCUUCUGGUGGGGUCACAUCUUCAACUUUACAGAUUGGCUUAUCCACUGCUUCUGGUAGGAGAAGUUGUUUUUGCUUCAUGUUUGAACUGCUAACAUCAGAUUGGGGAGUAACAACUCCUACUUGAGUCAGUUUUGCUAGCACUUCUGCCUGAAAUAUUCUUUGUUCUUCUUUAGAUGCUGCUAUGAAAUCCCUGACAGCACGAUCUGCAGCACUAUUGAAAUAUUGGCGAGGUGUGUAGUGCUUCCCUUUGGCCCUAACUCGACCACUAUACUCAGGAGUACCCAAUGCUUCCACAAGUAUAUCAUUACUUCCACUAACACUUCUACCAUUCUCUUGAGACUCUUUCAAUAGCUUGUCCUUAAAAAAUAUUAAUUAUAAAGUUAAAUUGCAAAUUUGUUAUUGUAAAUAACUUAUUAUAAAUAUAUGUAAUUAAAAUUGAAAAAUAUUCACUUACUAUUUUCUCAAUUACUGGUAUGGCCACUUCAUCAAAGGUGCCGUCCUUUUUUUCCCUUGCUUUCUUCCACAAUAUGCUUCGAUCAAUAGUUUUAAUUGAUCCACUUGCAACCAUCUUUCAAAAUAGGACAAUGUAUAAUAUAAUUAUCAUAUAACCCUAUUAUGUAUUAUGCAUAAAAUAAAUAAAAAACAAUUAAUAGGCUUACACUUACCAUCUCUUCCUUAAGACCGGCAUAUCCUUUCCUACUUAGAUGGUGAUUAUAAAUGUUUCUCUUUCUUCUUUCUUUUUGAAUUUCUCGAUAUUCCUAUAAAUUAAAAUUUUAUAAUUAAUGAAUGUGAAUAAGAGGUAUGUAAAGAGUCUUAAUUAUACCUUAAAGUUGUCAGACAAUCUAUCUUUGAAAAAUAUUGUCCAUCUUCAUCCUCAAUAAAAGUAUAUUGAAUUGGUGGUCUUUUGAGGAGCUCCGGUUGGUCUUCAAAAGGAAGAAUGUACUUCACUGUUAGCAAGUUCUUAAAGGACCGAAAGUAUUUUCCCAUUGUUAACAUACAAUUCCUCCUGCUUUUAUGAUUUAAUGAAAAAACAGUCUGCACAUUAAUACCAAACUUUAGUAAUUUCAAGAGGUUAAGAAUGAUAGACAUUUUGCAUCAAAGUGAUUUAAAUAAGAAAUGGUUACCUCAAUGCUGUCCCAUAACUUAUCCUUCAACUGUUUAGGUACAACAUGCCAAGUUUUAUAUCUUAUUGGCACCAUAGUGCGUGCUAACACGCCUAAGUAGCUUGUUAGAUGAACUGCUGAUUCUCCUAUGAAAAUGCCAUCAAGAUUGUACUUAACCGACAACUUAACCCCCUUGCUUCUGUUUUUUAUAAUCAUAUGCUUCCGUGUCAUCCCUCUGUACUUCCUUUUCAUGGGUUUUUCUCCUUCCUUUGUCUCCAUUCUUGUAACAAAAAAAAUAAAAAAUGAUAAAGAUUAGUUAAAAUUAUAUUGCAUAUAACCUAGUCAAAGAAUAAUUGUAAAACAUAACUUUUCAAAGAAACAAAUCCAUAAUCAUUGUACAAUGAAAUGCAAUAGAUCAUGAAUUCAAUAGAUCUUUUUAGAAUUGUUCAUCAUAUAACAAGGAUAACACUUCAUUUAAACUUUUUUUUGUCCCGCUUUGUUUAACAUUUCAUUUAUUUUAAGCAACCCAAGGGCCUUUGUAUAAGAAAGCUUAAUUUGCAGUAGGAAUUUCCUAUAAGAAUCAACAUGGAAGGAGCACGUGGUUUCAACAAGUUCAUCAAGUCCAUAAGAACUUAUGAAUGCUUUUGGACUAUCGGUUUGUGUUACAUUAAGUUUGGAAAACACAACAUGCAUAUUGAUAAUAAAAAAUUUCAUAAUUUUUUUACUCACAAACAUAACUAAUUUAGUAUCUUCCAUGCACAAUUUAGGGAAAAGGUUUUAGUAAAUAUGUUAUUGGGAGAUGUUAAAGAAUGAUCAAUAUUUUGUGCAAAAAAAUAAAGAAAGGAUAAAAAUUACCUAUUUUGUGGCUGUUGCAACCCAUUCCAUGGCCUUUAUUCAUACAUUAGCAUUAAAAUAUAGCUACAUAGAGGAUUUGUUCUCAAUCCAAAUCCCCUCACAAUCGCCUCGCAUACAUGUUGCAUCUGAGUCAUCCAUUACAUCAAACGCUUCAAUUUGUGGCAAUGCCCCUAUAAAGGGAUGGUGUUCAAUCGAAUUGUCAACAAAGUCUUCACCUCCUUCCAUAUCCAAGAAAUCUUUUUGAGGAGUUGACAAAACAACCGACCAUCUUGGAUCAAGUUGGUCUUGCACAUAAAAUACUUGCUUAGCUUGGGAUGCCAAAAUGAAAGGAUCUGAUUUAUGAGCAAUUUUGCUAAAGUCAACUAAUGUAAAGCCAAGAUCAUCAACUUUUAUGCCAUUUUUAUUAUCAACCCAAUCACACUUGAAAACCGGUAUCCUAAACAUGGUAUAAUCAAGGUCCCAGAUCUCGGUAAUAAUGCCAUAGAAACAAAGCUCACCAAACACUGGAUUUUGAUCCUUUGCACUUGCGAUUUGCAUUGUUGAAGCUACAAUACUAACUCCACUAUUUUGGGUAGUUCGUAAGUCAUCUCGUUCCUUGGUAUGGUAUCGACACCCAUUAAUGACAUAUCCAUGAUAUUUAGAGACAUAAUGGCUAGGACCAUGAGCUAUCCACUUAAGGGUUUCAGAUAUAGGUUCAUUAUUACCAAUUGCAGCUUCAAUCUGUAAUUAUAAAUAAUAGUUAUUAUGUAUGUUAAACAUUAGUAAAAAGAAUACUUCACAUUAUAACACCAUUCCAAUACCUUUUUUCUCAACCAAUAAGUAAAAGUCUGCAGGUGUUCAUCCUGGAGCCACUUUUGUCUUUUUGAUUGACGAGGAUUUUUCAAUUUCAACCAUUCCAUGUGCUCUCUAUGUAAUUAUUUAUAAGAAAUUCAAAGUUAAUGUCUUAAAGUUAUUUUAAGUAUCAGACACAAAUAUUAAGUGUUAGUGGUUCUUACUCAAUAUAAGGUUGAACAAUAGUUGUAUUCUCUAAAACAUAAUGAUGUGCAUGUAACCACAAAUUGGAAUCAAUUGUCACAACUUGACCUCCAGGUAUUGGUGCCCAACUUUUUGGUCAAUGUUUGCACUAAUAGGAAUCCCAAUCGCAUCUACAUUUGAUAAAUACUCUGUACAAAAUUCAAUAGCUUCCUCUGCAAUAUAGCAUUCAGCGAUACAACCUUCGGGCCGAUUACGGUUUCGUACAUACCCUUUCAAAACUUUCAUGAAUCUUUCAAAUGGGUACAUCCACCUUAGGUAAACUGGUCCACAAAGUCUCACCUCCCUUACAAGAUGUACAGUAAGAUGAAACAUGAUAUCAAAGAAAGAAGGUGGAAAGUACUUCUCAAGCAAGCAUAAUGUCACCACCAAAUCAUUUUGUAACUUAUCCAGUGCAGACACAUCAACCACUUUGCUACACAGAGCAUUGAAAAAAAAACUCAAUCUGCAAAUAGCAUGUCUUACAUGCUUUGGCAAAAGGGAUCGUAAUGACAUUGGCAAUAACUGUUGCAUUAAUGUAUGAUAGUCAUGCGAUUUAAGACCAUAAAGCUUCAAGUCUUCCAUUGACACAAGGUUUCUCAUGUUAGAGCAAUAACCUUCAGGAACCUUUAAUUGUGAUAAAGUUUGGCAAAAAACCUUUUUCUCCACUUUAGAUAACGUAUAACAUGCAGGUGGGAGAUAAGUUCGAUUUGAUUCAAACCUUGGCCCCAAUUCACACCUUAAGCCCAUCUCUAGCAAGUCUAGGCGAGAAUUAAGUCCAUCUUUCGUCUUACCUGGAAUGUUGAGUAAGGUACCAAUGAUGCUUUCACAAACAUUCUUCUCUAUGUGCAUUACAUCCAAGCUAUGACGAACAUGUAGGUACUUCCAAUGCUCAAGAUCAAAGAAUAUGGACUUCUUUUUCCAACAAUUUGUAGUAUUGACAUUCAACUUGCCUCGGGAGUUUUUAUUUUUUCCCCAUGAAUUAGAAAUGACACCAAUUUUCCUUAGGAUUUCUUCUCCACUCAAUGGUUGCGGAGGUGAGCUAAACUCUUGUUUACCAUUAAAUGUCUUCUUUUGUUUCCUAAAAGGAUGGUUGCAAGGAAGAAAUCUUCUAUGACCUGUAUAUGAGUUCUUUUUCCCAUGCUUCAAUCUGUGAGAGAAUGUAUCUUCCCCACAUAUGGGACAUGCAAAAUAUCCUUUAACUACACAACCAGAUAAGUUUCCAUAUGCAGGAAAAUCAUUGAUUGUCCAUAGUAGAACAGCUCUUAAUGUAAAGACCUCUUGCUGAUGCACAUCAUAACAUUCAACCCCUACAUCCCACAACAUUUUUAAGUCAUCCAAUAAUGGUGCCAAAUAAAUAUCAAUGUCAUUUCCAGGUUGUCGUGGACCUGAUAUUAAUAAAGAUAGCAUCAUAAACUUCCUUUUCAUGCACAACCAAGGAGGAAGGUUGUAAAUAACCAUUAUAAUAGGCCAACAACUAUGUUUACUGCUCAUUGAACUAUGAGGAUUUAUACCAGCUGCUGAAAUGGCAAGUCUAAGAUUUCUAGGUUCUGAAGCAAAAUCAGGCCAUCUGUGAUCAACUAGCUUCCAUGAUGGGGAGUCAGAUGGAUGACGCAUUUUACCAUCAAAUUCUCUUUCUUGAGCAUGCCAUAUGAGGUCUUUUGCAAUUUUUGGGGACUGAAACAAUCUUCUAAAUCUUGGAAUAGGAGGAAAAUACCACAUUACUUUUGCAGGGACUCCCUUCCUCUUUUUAGUACCUGUUCCAUCUAACUUCCACCUUGAAGUUCCACAAGUAGGACAAGAAGUUGCAUCCUUCAACCCAUUUCUAUACAAUAUGCAAUCAUUGGGACAUGCAUGUAUUUUCUCAUAUUCCAUUCCCAAUGUAUUCAAUGUUUUUUUUGCUUCAUACAUAGACAGAGGCAACUCAUUGUUUAGAGGCAACAUAUCUCCAAGAAUACUUAAAAGCUCUGAAAAGCUUUUAUCAGACCAUCCAUAUCGUGCUUUCAGGUUGUAUAAUUUGACCAAUGCAGAUAACUUUGUAAAGUUUCUACAACCAGGAUAUAAAGGUUUUUUAGCAUCUUCAAGUAAUGUUUCAAACAAUUUUGGGUCAUUCUUACGAUCAUCAUAUGCAACUUGAACCAUUUCUAUUGUACUAUCCACAUCGUUAAAUUCAACUGUAUGAUGCCAUUCUACCCUACUAGUUGGUGGUCCACUUGGAGCAGCGUCUCCAUGCCAAUACCAUGUAUGGUAACUCUGAUCAAUUCCAUAGAAGAAUAAAUGUUCUCUAAUUUUUUGAGGAGUGUGGAAUAUCAUAUUACCACACUGAAGGCAUGGACAUUUCAUGGAGUUUUUAUAUGUGGAAUAUUGUAAUGCAAAUGCGAUAAAGCUUUCUACCCCAUCUGCAUAAUCCUUUGAUCUCCUAUCCUUUGACAUCCAAGAACGAUCCAUUUGAUGUACAAGAGAUAAACACAACUCCUAGAUACCACCAACAACUAAAGUUAUUAAUAAAAUCCUAUUAAUAGGCUUAAAAUAUAUAAUCUACCAAAUUAAAAUUUCCCACAUUGUCACUAAACUUAGACCAAUCCAAAAAAGGACAAUGUGCAAGUCAUCUAACAAUAAGCAAUAUGACAAGAAACAUAAUUAGUAUAUUAGGUUAUUCAAUAUUGGCAUAAAAAAUGGAUCUUAGUUCAUUCAUGAUGUUUGCUUUAUUCAUGAAUAGGAAUGAAAAGCAAGAUCUAACUUUUAGUCUUCUCUUAUAUUAUUGAAUACACCAAGUUUGAAAAUUUUAAAACACAUAACCACAUGAGACAAUGAUACCAUGAACUAAAACAAUUAACGAAUGGAACUAAGAUUCGAAUGAAUAGAAGCAAGUGAUUUAUACAUGAUUUAGGCAUUCUAACAUCUCUAACAUCCUUAAUUAGGUGGUGGUUCCUAUCCCAUAUAGGAAUACAUAAUCCCUAUGUGUCAAUUGGCAAUAUACUUAAAUUCAUUUUAAAGAAAUUUCGGCAGCAUUUCCCUAUAGUUCUCCAAGUACACAAAAUGGAUAAGGCACAAUAUGUGACCUUGUCCAAAUAUGCACCUAGAGAACAAGAAGAAAGACUACCAAAUUUUCUCAAAAUUGAAUUAAGAACAAGCAAUUAACUUCAUAGAUAUCAUGUUUUCCUAUACUGUCCAGCUGGACAAUUCAAACAUCAUUUGCAGAGAAAAGAUUUUAUCACAUGGAAGACAAAUUUAGUAAUUGUCAACUUGAAACUGGCUUAAAUAUACCCACAUUUCACAUUUUGACAACUUAUUGUCUUAGUAUGUAAUAAGAGAAACUUCUGUCUCACAAUGAUACUUGAAUGGGAAUUCUAAGGUUUCAUGCAUGCAUAGUUGAUUAAAACUAAAACAUAAAUACUUAUUAAAAUAUUACAUCUAGUUAUGUAUUAUAAAUUAUUCAUAUCAAUUGAAAUGGUGAGAAUAGGAAAAUAUUGUUUGUAAGCAUCACAUUUUAGACCUAAGUUCACAAACUUUGCUAAAUCCAUUAAAGACCCACUACAUAAAGUUCAUGUUAAAAUUGGUUCAUCUCCAACCCCCAAAAUGAUUUAUCAAAGUUACUCAUUUUUUAGAGUCUUGAUUAAUUAGAUAAUCAAUAUAGAUACAUAUAAUUUGUAUUAAUAUAAUAUCAUGAUAUUUUUUUCAUUUUGUUUUUAGGCUUAGACUUGGGUAGAUUUCCCAAGUAAGGCUAAAGUAGAGCUAAGCCGCACCUUGACAUGUGUUCUACUUAUGUUGGGGGUGACCAUUCUAGUUUAUGGUCAUAAGUGGGGUGUCAAAUCUCAAUUAGUUUAUUGAAUAGAUGAACCAAACAUGACGUUAUUAUUAAUUAGAUAACAUGUUGUGUAACCCAUUUAAAAAUGAAGUUGAAUAACAUCUUUUGUAACAUAAGCAAUGAAGCCUAUGUCAGAUUGUGAAGCUUAAAUUAGUAGUAAAUGUUGCACUUCGCUCGGGAUGUCGGGGGUCGAGCUGCCCGGUCAGCUCGCGGGGGUUGAAGGGGGCAGCGCCCCCUGAAGAAAUUUUUUUUAUUUAAUUUGAAAGCCGUAUGAUUCUGCUCAUAGGCAGUAGUUAUUGAGUUCCAUGGCACUACAUCCCUUAAUAAAAAUUGUUGAAAAACUUUCUAUGCAUUCCAAGAGCCCAUAUCUCGAAAUGACAUUUCAUCAAACAAGUUAUAGGCAGUACCUACAACUCCAUGGAAAGCAAGCUCAUUUCGGCAUGAACCAUUGUACACAAAUGGAACAACACCAGAACCAUUUCCAAAUCUUCCAGAGAACAUAAGAACCAGAGAACAAAAACAGAGGAGAGACACAACUGAGCCUAAAAACAGAGGUAUAGUAUCUUUUUAUCGAAAAUGCAAACCAAGAAAAUAAUUGAUAAUAAAAAAAAACCACAACAAAUUUACAAGCAUUCACACUCAAAUCCCAGAAAUCAAUAGUGAAGAAUGUGAAUCAAUGGGAAAACGAGAACAUAUGGGCUCGUACCAGACAACUCUCUCUUCUGGGUUUUUUCUUCUCCCUUCUUUUCUUUCCUCUGUUCCUCUGGUUCUUCGACCUUUCCUCCUUGCUUACCUCUUCAACCGAAGGCACCUGCCUUUGCUGCCUCUUGCCUCUCCCAACCUACGAAUCUAAAAAAACCCUAGCUUUCUCUCAUAUCUCCAUUCAUUUCCUUUCUCUCAAUCCAGCACCCAAAUAGUCAAAUCGGUGGAACAUCCAUGAAUGCUAUCUUCUUGAUUUGGAGUAAGAACUUCAUUUUCUCAAUCGAAAUUGGUUGGAGCUUGCUGGUUCAAUUAGAGACAGAUUUGGUAAUGAAACUUGAGUGUGGGCAUCGGGUAUGGAAAAACCUUUAUAUUACAUUUAUCUCUUUUUUUUUAAUUGAAAAAUGUGAGUAAUUAUAAAAUGAACAGAAAAUGACGCUUUUAAAAGCGCCAAGGUUGAGGUUCUCCUACAAUGGCACUUAAAAAAGCGUCAUUAUUUGAAAUGCAUUAUACAAUGACGCUUCUAAAAGCGCCAAGGUUGAGGUUCUCCUACAAUGACACUUAAAAAAGCGUCAUUAUUUGAAAUUCAUUGUACAAUGACACUUAAAAAAGCGUCAUUAUUUAAAAACGUCAUUAUUUCUCCCAUUAAAGCGCCAAGAUAAUGCAAGCGUCAUUAAUACCCAUUUUUGAGAAUAAAUAAUGGCACUUUAUAUAAGCGUCAAGAAAAAAAGCGUCAUAAAUUACAUUUUUUGUAGUAGUGUUGGCAUUAAGUACUAUUGGUUAUUGCAGGCUCAACUAUCCAAUUGCUAGGCCGAGCUACUUUAAUUAAGGAGAAUAUAUAUAUGUGUUUUUAUUUGAAAGUUUGAAAUAAAAUAGAAAAUAAGAAUAGUUGAAAAAAUAAUAAAAUUUAUGGACUUUCAAGUAGAAAAUAGUCCUUAUAUAUAUCAUUAAAAGGUUCAUAAUACUCAAAUAUUACUUUUGACUUAAAAAUGCAUCAAAUAACAAUUUUUUUUAAUUGCAUAGUGUGAAUCCAAAUAUGAAAAAAUGAGAUCUCAUUUUACAUAUAUUUUAAAAUAAGACUAUGAAAACAUAUUUUUCCUAUAUUAAACGGAGAAAACAUUUCAAAAGGGUGAAACAAUGUACUCUAUAAACAAAUGAUAAUUUCAAUCAGCCAAUUUUUCUUCUUGGGUUCUAGGAUCUUUAAACGUAUGAUUAGUGAGAUAUUUUGUGUUUAAAUUAACGGGGUUUAAACCAUGUUUUUAAAGUAUGGUUUUACAUGAUUGGUAUAAGAACACUUUAACAACCAAGGUUUUGUUCCAAUAUAGAAGUGUAUUUUUUUCUAUAUCCAUCAAAUAAACAUCACCAAUCAAAUGGUGCCACAUAUACAUUUUUAGGUUUCGUUGUUUAUACUCUCAUCUCAUUUGUUUGUAUUUAUCAUUAUACCUUAGUUUCAUUAAUUUGUACUAUUUUUUAACCGUCUAGAUCAUAUCAUAUAUAUUCAUGGGUUUGAAGUUUGUUUGGUAUAUACGCAUUACCAUGUUACUUUAGCAUUUUCCUAACAACCAUGACCCUAAGACAUGUCUAUGCAAUCUGCUUGUAAGCUUACCAUGCAUUCAUACCUCCAAAAGCCAGAAACCACAAUUUGGUAAAGCUCUAACUUUAUCACUCAACUAACAUAAGGGUAGGUUGAGAUCAUCAUGCAACGUUGGUUAUUAUAUUGAAUUCAAAUUGUCAAUUACAACAACCCAUGUGCAUUAUCUUUACUGUCUGGAAGCCAAGAAUAAUUUGUGGCAGUGUCUCUCGGGAGAACCAGAAGCAGUGUCUGAGCGGUUCGUUUCCAGCAACUGAAAGUCCUGAUUACCCGGGUCUAUCAGCCCUCCCACGGAAUUGUAACAUGUUGACUGGUAGAUAUCUCUAUCUCUCUUCAGAUUAAAAGCAUCAAUAUAUGGAUAUGCUCUUAGACAUACAGAGUUGACCCAGCAGGAGAAAGUAGCCACAGAGUAGCUAAACCCUAAGAAUUUUGAAUGAUGAAGAACACCAUUGUUCUGUAUCCUUCUUCAGGUUUAAGCCACCUUGUUCCCAUGGUAGAGAUUGGCCGACUCCUGCUCGCUAACUACCCUUCCUUUUCCAUCACCAUCCUCAUUGCCACCCUACCUUCUGACACCGCCUCCACUGCCACAUACAUCGCUUCCAUUGCUGCCACCACCCCUUCCAUUUCCUUCUACCACCUCCCCACUGUUUCUUUUUCCAACCCGUCCGGUUUUCCAGCUCUAUUCUUUGAAUUUAUAACCCUUAACAACAAUAAUCUCCGUCAAACCCUAGAAUCCAUGUCCCAGACCUCAAGUAUUAAAGCCUUCAUCAUCGACUUCUUCUGCAAUACCUCUUUCGAAAUUUCGGCAAAUCUUAACAUCCCAACAUACUAUUUGUGUACUUCAGGGGCAAAUGGGCUUGCGAUGUUCCUUUACCUCCCAACGAUUGAUAGACACAUUACAAAAAGCUUGAAAGAUGAUCUCAACAUGCAUAUCCAUGUCCCGGGAACACCAUCCAUUGCAGCUUCUGACAUGCCCUUGGCGUUGCUUGAUCGCAGGACUGAAGUCUAUCAAUACUUCAUUGACACCGGAAAUCAGAUGGCUAGAUCAUCUGGAAUCAUCAUAAACACUUUUGAAUCGCUUGAACCAAGAGCUAUUAAAGCGAUAUCAGAGUGCUUCUGCGUUCCAGAUGCACCGACUCCUCCAAUUUUCUGCAUCGGGCCAUUGGUCUUGAAUUCGAAUCGAGCUGGUGGUGGCGGUGAUGAACAUGACUGCUUGGGCUGGCUCAAUAUGCAGCCAAGUCGAAGCGUCGUGUUUCUGAGUUUUGGUAGCAUGGGGUUGUUCUCAUCGGAGCAGUUGAAGGAAAUCGCAACUGGGCUAGAAAGAAGUGGAGUGAGGUUCUUGUGGGUGGUGCGGAUGGAGAAGCUCAAUGGAGAAACACCUCAGCCAAGCUUGGAUUCAUGCUUGCCAGAAGGGUUCUUGGAGAGAACGAAAGAUAGAGGUUAUCUGGUGAAGUCUUGGGCACCACAGGUGGCGGUGCUGAGUCAUGACUCGGUUGGCGGGUUUGUGACUCAUUGCGGGUGGAAUUCGAUUCUGGAAUCUGUGUGUGCUGGAGUGCCUAUGGUGGCAUGGCCUCUGUAUGCAGAGCAAAAGAUGAACAGGGUGAUCUUGGUGGAGGAAUUCAAGGUCGCUUUGCCGGUGAACCAGUUGGAAAACGAUUUUGUGACUGCGACUGAGUUGGAGAACCGAGUGACCGAGUUGAUGAAUUCCGACAAAGGAAAAGCGUUGAGAGACCGAGUUAUAGCCAUGAGAGAUGGUGCCAAGGCGGCCAUGAGAGAGGACGGAUCAUCUCGGCUUGCACUAGCCAAGUUGGUUGAGUUAAUUACACGAGCUCCACCGACUUGAAAAACUUUAACUCAGUUGUAAUUAAAUUUGUUAAUUACAAUUAUAUUUAAAACAAAUUACAACUUUACCAAAUUAUAUUUAAAUCUACUUUGGUUUGUGGGCCUGGCUGGCCUUAGUCGCUGAAAGCCUCCAGGAUGGACUGGGUCCAGCACUGCCUGCCUGACUGGUCUGGCCUGACCCAAGAAUAUGUUCGGCCCAUCCCACGAGCAGCCGCAAACACCUACCUAUUUGGGAAUAUUUUCCAAAAUGAUUUUUGAAAAAUAAUUUAUGAGAACAGUUGUUGAAAAUAUGUAUCAAUUAUUUUUAGGAAUAAAAUUUUAUUGAAAACACUCAAAUAUAAAAAACAGAUUUUUGACUUAUUUUUCAUAGAAGUAUUGAUUUGCUUCAAGAAUUGUUAGUUUUACAAGAGUAAUUAACUCAUUGCCAAGUUAUUUUUUGUGUUAAUCAUCACCUUUAAUCACCUAUUUAAAUCACUUGGGUUGUUUGGUAAUUUAAUAUAAUAUUUUUAGUGGUUUGAAAGGUAAAGAUGGCAACGGAUGCCAAUUUAAUAAUGCAAGAUAAUGGAAGAUUAGGAAAAUAGAAAACCUGAAAAAACAAACGUUUGUACCCAUUAGGGUAAGAGUAUCUAUUGACAAUAAUUUUAGAAAGUAUUUUUAGUUUUUUUUUAAUAUUUAAAAAUUUUUAUUUUUCAAUUAUAAAAAAUAUUAUAAAUAUUUUAUAAAAUCCUUAUCAAAUACACUCUAUGAUUACCACUUAAAGGGGAGCAUGCCCGGUGUGGCAUGCCCAUCACCAAUUUUCAAAGUCAAAGCUUAUUUGGGGGUUCAUUUCUAUUUUUCAAUGCAUUAUGCAUUGCAUCCCAUAGAAUGACCUUGUAAUUCUCUCCUAGUGAUUAAUCCCUUUGUUUUUACCAACCCAAAUUUUAUUUCUUUUCCCUUUCCUAUCUACAACCCGGUUCGUGAAAAAUUUGAGGAAAAAUAUAAAUAAAAGAAAAUACAAAGAAAAAGUAGAACGAAAGAAAAAAUGAAGAAAAAUAAAAAAUAGAUUAAAAAUCGAUAAAUUAUUUUUAUUUGUUACUUUAAACUUAUUUUACUUAUUUUAACUCAUCAAUAUAAAGAUUAAAUAAUUUAAAAUAUAUAAAUUUUUAAUUAAUUUUAAUUAUAUUUGAUAUUUUUUUAUAAGAAAACAAAAUAUGAGAAAAUAAUUUUUCUUUAUAUAUAUAUAUAUAUAUAUAUUUUUCUUAGUAUUUUUUGGUAACCAAACAUAUUAAAGUGAAUUCCUACUCUUCUUCCACAAUCAACUAACGGAAUCAAAUUAUGACUUGCAAGUAGCAACUCUUCACUUUGGGUGGACACUAUACAAUAUCCUAUUUCAAGCACAUUCUACAAAUUAAUAUAUGAUACAAAAACUUUUCAAAAUUCUCCAUAUUUUCAAUUGUUACUCCAGACCCAUUAUGAAAAACAGUCAAAAGUAACUUUUAAAAAAUUACUUGUUUUUAGAAUAAAUUCAUAAAAAAAAUAAAAAUAAAAAAUUUAUUUCUAUUUAAAAAUUUAUUUCUAAAUUAAACCAGUCUAGGCUUUAAGAAGUAAUUAAUGUAGCAUUGUUUCUACCCAGCUGCAGGAGAGUUGGAACCCCAAAGAGGUGACAAGCUAGCAACACACCAAAGGGCCAUUUUCUCAAAAGAGAGACAGCUCAUUUAUGCUAGUUUGGCCCAUUCCUACUCGACUUUUGGGGUUUUUUUUUAAUAACUUAUACGGCAAUUUUAAAAGUAAUUCUUUAAAAAUGGCAAUUAGAAAAAUAUUGAUAGAUAUACGACACUUUCGUAAAAUAAAAUAUGUUUUUUGAAGAGACAUCUUUCAUCAUUUUCAAAUAUCUAAUAUUCACUUAGAAAAAUUGAAUUUAAACUAAAAGUGUUUAUUUAAGAGACAUUUUUUAGAAUUCUAAAAAAUUGGAUUUAUACUAAAAGUAUAUUUUGAAAAGACACUUUCCACAAUUUUAUAAAAUUCAAUGUAUACUAAUUUUUUUGAAAAUGUGUCUCUUGAAUAAACAUAUUUCAUAAUUUCACAAAUUUUAAUUUAUACUACAAGUGUCUCUUGAAUUUGAUUUUAUAUUGAAAGAGACAUCUUCUACAAUUCAAAAAAAAAAAAAUGAAUUUAUAUUAAAGGUAUCUCUUUAAAAAAUAUUUUUUCAUAAUUCCACAAAUUCCAAUAUAUACUAAAGGUGUCUUAAAUUUUAAUUUUAUUUUUAAUUUUCACAUUCAACAAUUUUACAAAUUUUAAUUUUAUAUUAUAAGUGUUUCUUAGAUUUUAAUUUAUAUAAAAAGUAUCUUUUAAAGAAAUACCUUUAGUAUAUAUUAGAUUUUGUGGAAUUGUAGAAGGUGUUUUUUUAAGAGACACCUUUACUAUAAAUCAUUUUUUUUUUUUUUAAUUGUAGAAAGUAUUUACCUUCAAUAUAAAAUCAAAAUUAAGAGACAAUUGUAGUAUAAAUUAAAAUUUGUGAAAUUAUGAAAGGUGUAGAGACACCUUUGGUAUAUAUUGGAUUUUUUUUGAAUUGUGGAAAGUGUCCCUUCAAAAGACACCUUCUAUUAAAAUUAAAUUUAGGAGACACUUAUAGUAUAAAUUACAAUUUUUGAAAAUGUAGAAGAUUUCUCUUCAAGAGAUACCUUUUAUAUAAAAUUAAAUUUAGGAGACACUUGUAAUAUAAUUUAAAAUUGAUGAAAUUGUGAAAGGUAUAUCUUCAAAAAACACAUUUUAAGUAUAUAUUAGAUUUUGUGAAAUUAUAAAAAUUGUCUUUUCAAAAAGACAUCUUUUACUAUAAAUCAAAUAUUUUAGAAUUGUAAAAAGUGUUUCUUGAAAUACUUUUAGUUUAAAUUCAAUUCUUUUAAGUGUAUAUUGUAAAUUUAAAAAUUAUGAAAGAUAUCUUUUGAAGGGAUAUCUUUAAUAUAAAAUCAUAUUCAAGAGAUAUGAAAAUAGGUUGUAUGAAAAAAGUUAAAAUAUAAUUUUUUUUCCACCUCUCUCUUAUAUAUUCAAAAAGUUUUAUAUAUUCAAAAAGUGUCCGUAAAAUUGGAAUUAUUUUCCUAUUUACGGUAUUUUAUAAAAUAAUUUUUUAAAAGUCCGUACAUUUAUCAAAAACCCAACUUUUUGGGUAUGGCAUUGAAUAUGCCUUUCCUACAAAUAUUCUGUCUCAAACCUCUUAGCAGUGCCAAAGCUCUGUUACAUCAAACCCUAAUCUUUAACAUAAUUUUGUUUGUCAAAUUAUUGUCACUUUUUUGCCUGAUUUGAAUGGAGGGUAUACUUGUUCUCUCUGUGAAAGGGAAGUUGAUAUUUUGAGCGGCCAUGACUGAUUUUUCUUCCUUCCUUUGAUUUCUUCUUUACGUCCUUUUCAUUAUCUUCCGGAUGUGCGUAUAGAUGUUGAUAUGGCAUCCUUGAAAACAAACCAUCUCCACAAACUAUUCCCUUUCCACAACCAACCCCCUCUGCUCUCCGGCCCUCUCAGCAAUGGAGAGUGUAGUAGUAUUGUAUCCAUCGCCAGGGAUGGGUCACCUGGUCUCAAUGGUGGAGCUUGGAAAGCUUAUAUUGAAACACCAUCCUUCAUUCUCCAUCAUCAUCUUCAUCGUAACCCCACCUUACAACACUGGCUCUACCGCUCCUUACAUCGCCCGCGUCUCCUCUUCCACUCCUUCCAUCACCUUCCACCACCUCCCCACCAUCUCUCUCCCUCUCGAUUCUUUCUCCUCGCCCAACCAUGAAACCCUUACUUUCGAGCUCCUCCACCUCAACAACCAUAACGUCCACCAGGCCCUUGUGUCCAUCUCCAACAAUUCAACUGUCAGUGCCCUUAUCAUCGACUUCUUCUGCACUUCUGCUCUUUCCGUCGCUAAUGAACUCAGCAUCUCAUGCUAUUAUUUCUUCACCUCCGGUGCUAAUUGCCUGGCUUGCUUUGCUUAUUUGCACACUAUUCACCAGAAUACCUCCAAAAGCUUCAAAGAACUCAACACCCACAUUCAUAUCCCAGGUCUACCGCCGAUACCAGCCUCUGACAUGGCGAAACCAAUACUUGACAGAACAGAUAAGGCCUAUGAGUUCUUCCUAGACAUGUCCUUCCACUUGCCCAAAUCAGCUGGAAUCAUUGUGAACACAUUUGAAGUGCUGGAAGCCAGAGCCUUGAAAGCGAUCUCGGAUGGACUUUGUGACCCACAGAGUCCAACCCCACCGAUUUUCUGUAUUGGACCAUUGAUCGCAGCUGAUGAUCGUCUCGGCGGUGACAUGCCCGAGUGUCUGACAUGGCUCGACUCACAGCCGAAGCGCAGUGUCUUGUUCCUGUGUUUUGGUAGCCUAGGCGUAUUCUCAGCAGAACAGUUGAAGGAAAUAGCGAUUGGGUUGGAGAGGAGUGGGCAGAGGUUCUUGUGGGUGGUCCGCAGUCCACCAAAUGAGGACCAAAGCAAGCGCUUCUUAGCACCACCAGACCCAGAUUUGGAUUUGCUCCUCCCAGACGGGUUCUUGGAUCGAACCAAGGAGAGGGGCCUAGUGGUGAAGUCAUGGGCACCUCAAGUGGCAGUUUUGAAUCAUGAAUCAGUAGGCGGGUUUGUAACUCACUGUGGGUGGAACUCUUUGCUUGAAGCCUUAUGUGCGGGCGUACCAAUGGUAGCGUGGCCACUAUAUGCCGAGCAAAGAUUUAAUAGGGUCAUACUAGUUGAGGAGAUGAAGCUAGCGUUGCCAAUGGAAGAGUUGGAAGAUGGGUUUGUGAAGGCAAGCGAGAUUGAGAAGCGAGCUAGACAGCUGAUGGAAUCAGAGGAAGGAAAGUCGAUUAGGAAUCAGAUCAUGGUAAUGAAAGAAGCUGCUGAGGCUGCAAUGAGCGAUGGUGGAUCAUCUCGCGUUGCAUUAAUGAAAUUGGUCCAAUCGUGGAAUUGAAGACAAGAUGAUUCUUAUUCUUAUUUUAUCUCAUUUAUUUAUGCCCAUAGAUGUCAUCAUUCAUGUUCAACGGUUGGGAAUUUUUUUUUCUUUUCUUCCUGUCAAUCUUGGCAUUAGUAGAUCGAAGCUACGUGAAGGUCUCGCAGGAUCAUUAAUAGGCUGUCUGUCUCCAUACUUGUUUGGUCCUUACCCUUUUAGUCGUCUAUAGACUUUAUUGAGUUAUGUAUUGGAAAAUAUCGAUAAAAGAAAAUGUUUAUAAACGAAAAUUAAUUAAAACUUAAAAAAAAAUAGCAAAAAUAAUAAUAUAUUCAUUGAGUUAUUUUAAGAAAGAAAUUGAUAUAUUUAUGAUAAAUCUAUAAAAUUAAACAAUAAUAUAUUGAAUUUAAAAAUAUGAUAAUAUUAAAAUGAGAAUGUAUUUAGUGUUUUUUUAUUUAAAAAUGUUGAAAAUUUUAUUUAUAAAUUUAUAAUUUUUCUUGUUUUUAAUUAUUAUAUAAUGUACAUAAUAAUAUAAUUAAAAUUAACUUAUUUAUAAAUAAUUUACUUUAAUUAAUUUUCAAAAAUAAUUUUUUCUAGUUUAUAGCUAAACACUAGUGAUUGUCUUUAAAAAAAUAUAAAUGAAAGUACUACUACUAAAAAUGCUACCGGCAAAAGAGGUUUUUUUUUUUAACUUGUACGGCUAUUUUAAAAAUAAUUCUUAAAAAAUGGUACUUUUUAAAAAAAUUCUUAAAAUAUGAUAUUUACAAAAAUAUUUUUAAAUUGAAUUUAUGUUAAAUGUGUCUCUUCAAAAGACAUUUUCUCAUCAUUUUUUUUAUUAAUCAUACAUGAGAAAAAAAAUUGAAUUUAUACUAAAGAAAUAUUUUUUUUCACAAUACCAUAAAAUCAAAUUUAUACUAAAGGUGACUCUUAAAAAGACAUUUUUGAUAAUUUUUAUAUCAGUCGAUCACACAAUAAAAAAAAUUUGAAUUUACAUUAAAGACGCCUCUACAAUUCCACAAAAUUGAAUUUAUACUAAAUGUGUCUUUUGAAUAAACACUUUUCAUAAUUUUUAUAUUAGUCACUUAUCGAAAAAAUUAAAUUUAUACUAAAAGUGUCUUUUGAAGAAAAACAUUUCAAUAUAAAUUUAAGUUUAUGAAAUUAUGAAAGAUAUAUUUUAAAAAUACACUUUUAGUAUAAAUUCAAUUAUUUCAAUGGAUGACUGAUACAAGAAUUGUUAAAAGUGUUUUUUCAAGAGACACCUUUAUUAUAAAUUUAAUUUUGUGAAAUUAUAAAAAAUAUGUUUUAAGAGACAUCUUUAAUAUAAAUUCAAUUUCUUUACUAUGCAACUAAUAUGAAAAUCAUGAAAAUGUCUCUCUUGAAGAAACACAUUUAAUAUAAAUUUAAAUUUUUUUAACAUAUGUUAUUGAUAUAAGAAUUGUGGAGAAAAAAACAUCUUCAAUGUAAAUUCAAUUUUUUUGAACGUGUAUUAUUGAUAUAAAAAUGAUGGAAGGUGUCUUUUCAAGAGACACCUUUCAAAAGUGAUAAAAAGUACCGUAGAUUUGAAAAUACUUUUCAUUGUACUCUAUUUAAAAAAAUUAAUUUUAAAUUUAUAAUCCGGGCAAAAGUGCAUUUAUCAAAAUCACUUUCAACGGCUUCUUUCAGCUCACAUAAUGGGCGACUGACUAGUUUUGAAGUAGGGGGAAAGUCAUUGUGAAGGAAGCCCAAAGCCCAUUGGGUUUAAAAUUGGGCUUCAAAAAUCUAAAUCUGGGCUCAACUAAUUGGUUUCGUCCAUUCAAUAAAUGGGCUGAUCAAAACCAACAACAGAGGGUUAAGAACUUUCUUCAUCCAGACGAGCAACCAGCAACCUUUACUCCGAAAAAUAAAGAACUUAUUACUGCCUCCUUUUAUUCACAUUAAUGUAAGCUUUAUUAGCUUUCACACAAUCUUCAAAGUUAUUAAUCAUCACUUUAAAAUUAUUAACAGUGUUGAUAGCUUCUCAAGAUGACUCUCAAUACUAAUUAUUUUGAAAAAUUAUGGCACGACAUCUAAGAUAAUUGUAGAAAUUAAGGUAAAAAGGAGAUCAUGCAUGGUUGUUCAUGGAAGAAGCCAAAUGCAUCCUAUUUUAUUCAGAACAGGCCAAAUCAUGGGGUGUUAGUUAAAUUCUUAAUCCUGUGCCCUUCCCAAAGGAAGCUGAGGCAUCUAUGAUCAAGCCACAAUAAAAAAUUUAAGUAUUCUGAUCCCUCUGAAGUACAAUUUUUUUUUUUUUUUUUGGAUCCCCCAAAUAAAUUUCUGGUUUGAUCACUGGUUCUUAAUGGUGAGAACAUGCAUGGCUCUAUUGUAUGGGAAAAUUCAUAAGAUUUUGCAAGGUAAUAUCACAUCAAUAAAAAGAUUAGAGUUUUGACGUUUAUUAGAUUCUAGUUGAUACUCAUAGAGUAGGGACUCUUUUCUUCUAAUGAUUCAACAAUUUAAAGGAUCGGGUAGUAUAGAUUAAGGAAAGUCGUGAUACAAUUAUUUUAUGGAAGGUUUUGGGAAUUUUUCCAAGAAAAAAAAUGGAAAGUAGACAUGACACCAACCAGUUCACGUGUUGACAGAAGAGAAACCCGUGACCAUGCACUGAUUAGGUUGAAGGAAGCAAACAAAUGAAGCAAUAUUACGCUAUCCGACAUGCCUUAUGGAAAUGACUAGGAUACCUUGGAUUUUUCACCCCUUUGGAUCAAAGGAUAGAGACCCGUGAACUUCAGGUCAAUCCAAAAGCCUGGUUGGCCUCUCAUCUCCAUUAUCUUCAAUCUUAACUCGCCUUCCCAACCUUCAUAAAAUGAUUUCAAUGGUUUUGGAGGACCCAUGUGAGUGGUUUGAGGGUUUCUUGCCAUGCUCUCUUUCAAAUGUGGCCCAAUGGUAGGAUUUGACGUUUCAUUAUGUAGGUCUUCGAAUCAAAUUCAUUGAACAGUUUCUGUGAAAGUAACAAUUCAUAAGUAUUUAUACCAUGCUUUUGUUGUGAUGACACAUAGGCUUUUGUUACGUCCAAUAAACUUGUCUAAAAAAAAGUUAGUUUAGAAAUGAAACCAGUCUAUUGGUGGGAUGGGCAGAGUAGAGAGUGAAAACAAUGCAAACCCAUGAACAAAACUAGCUUUAUUCACGCUAUUUUCAAUUUAUUAUAUGAUAGACCAAAUGAAGCUUCAGAAUGCAACACAUGAGCUUGAGUUUUGACACCAAAAUGAAAAUGGAAACUUACAUUUAACUUUAAGACAAUGAGUAAAUAGAAAUCACAUGAUUUAGCCAUGGCUUCAAUUCUUUGAUCUUCGAACCCUCCUGAUCAAAACCAGAAAGCAAAGCACACGAUAGAAGAAAAAGAAUCCAAUCAACAUGUAGAUGUUGGUCCAUCUCUGCCUCUCAUGGAGCCCUUUCUUCUGCAGCACAUCACGCCCAGUCGCCAUACAUGUCUUGUUCUCUUCGUACCAUAACAAACACCUUGAAACAAGGCAUGAGUACUCAUUGAUGAGGAAGGCAUCCAAGGCAUAUUUGUACAUGGAGAAGAAGUGCAUGAACAGCCAGUACUUGGGCAUGCUGUCUUUUGAGAUGAAGUAGCCGGAGAAGAGAAAGAAAGCGCCCAGAAAUAUUGUGACUAGUGAUGUUCCGGCGAUGUAGUUUGGAGCUACCGAACUCAGGAAGAGAACAAAUGAAUUUGCCAUGAGGACUAUUACCCAUAUCACCAAAACAAAGUAGGCAAAAGCUUGCCAUGUAGCACAGAGACCCACUAAGAAGUAUACGGAGACUGAGUAAAUGAUGGCGAUGGCCAGCAAGUAUGGCAAGAAAACCAAUGUGUUUGCGAUGAGAUAUGACGAGAGCCUGUACACCCCACUUGAAGUUUCCCUGAGUAGAAUUGGCCUUUCAUUGAUGAAAAUUGGGAGAGUUUCGGUUGUUGAAGAGAGGAGGAAGGUGAGAGUGAAGGCAAAGAGGCCUAAUCGCUUCUCCAUUCCUUGCUUGUCGAAUCCAAUGUUGAUGUAAAUGGUUCCUAGAACAAGGCCCACACCAAGAGCUUCCAAUGCGUUCACGAGGAGAAGCUGUCUGGUUCUGUAAACGAUCUUCCAAAACCUGUUGUACAAAGCGAGUACUUCAUGGAGUCUUGAGCUCCUAUAUCUGAUCAUUGAUCCGCUAUGAUUAGAAGGAGAAAUUUCAGGAAUUUCUGGUGAUGGAGGAAGUGAUGGUGGUGUAAGGGGUUUAUGCUCAUGGAGUUGGCUCAGUAUUUCCAUAGCGUAUUCAAGGGAAUUGAGCUGCGAAGGAACAGUGAAGCCAUGGGAGAGUAAGAACGUUUCAAGUGAAGAAAGAGUUCCAUGGUGGAUAACAGUUCCUUUUGAGAGCAAAAGGACUUUAUCAAUGGUGGAAAGGAUCUUGAAACUAGGUUGAUGAAUGGACAAGAUCACAGUGCGGUGGCGUGAUUGCGCAAUCGACUGCAGGGUCUGCAUCACAUUGAAAGCCGAAUUGCUGUCAAGCCCAGAUGUUGGCUCAUCAAGAAGCAACACGGCAGGGUCAUGGAGAAGGCUGAGGCCUAUAGAGACUCGUCGACGCUCACCGCCAGAUAGCCCAUGGGCGAGCCUGGUAUGUGCUAGGUGAGUUAGCCUGAGCUCACUGAGAAGAGAGGCUACUAUGAUGGCAAUUUUGGAAGAUUUGGGAACAAGGAGGCUGGCUGCGAAGGCAAAAGUUUCAGAAACAGUAAGCUGGGGUAAGCAUGCAUCAUGUUGAGGUACAUAAGCUGAGAGCUUCCUGAAUGAAGAACGGUUGAGAGGGGAAGAAUUGAGAAGGAGAGAGCCACUUGUAGGCGAGGUUCGAGCAGCUAAAAUGUCGAGAAGGGUGGACUUCCCUGCUCCACUUGGGCCAACAAUAGCGAGAACUUGAGAUGGAUAAGCAGUCAGGCAGAUGUCCCGGAGAAUGUAGGUUGGUGGAGUUGUAGUGCAGGGUUGGAAGAGGAAGGUGGGGACAAUGGUGUAGUUAUUGGUGGUUGGUUUGGUGUAAGAGAUUGAAGAGGCUGUUAUUCUAUAAGUUUUGUGUGGUGGGGGUGGUAAUGAAGAGUGGUCUUCCAUGGAGGAGGUGGUGGAGAUGGGUGGAGGAAGAGAGGUUUUGGUUCAGAGAGAGAGGUGUUGAGGGAUAUGUUGGUGACAGUUUCCAUGAGUUUGAAGAGUAUAAUGCUGGUGGAGGAUAAGUAGUUUGAGAAUUAAAAAGUUUAGGUGCCCAAGCAGUUAUAUUAAAUUGGAGUUUUAUAAUACUGAUAUAACACCUAGCUAAAAAAAUUAACAAAUGCUACUGUAUUUUCAGCUAUGUUUUCAUCAGAAAAACACCAUGCAUUAAUGAAAUUAACCAAAGACUUGUGGAAAUAAAAAGAGUAGAAGAUUGAGUUUAGACUGAGCUCACAAAGUGGCAAAGAGAAGUACCUUUCAAGUUAUAAGGUUUAUUUCACUUUUUCACAAGUAGAAUCUGUAUUCUAGUCCAUUUUGAACUAUUUUGUGCUCCAUUAUGAGCCAAGCAGAUCUCCUCCUCCAUCACUACACGCCCCUAUAGAAUCAAAAUACCACUCCACAGAGAAAUGCUAUUUACUCUGAAUGACCAAAUCUUCAUCCUUGAACUUCACCAAGAGAACAACCCAUUCUCAACAGAAAUUCAUAUGCUUCUUUUCAUUGAUGUGUACGAUAUAAGUUCCACAAGUUUUGUUCAAUAAAGGGCAUGUGCUGAAGCCAUAUGCAGGCAUUAAAUAGGGUUCAUAUUCAGCAAACUCUAUGGACUUGUGAAAUAUAAGAUUGGGAUUCAUCUCAAAUAAACUCCAGCAUUUGGGUUUCGGUACCCUCAUUAAAUAUAUUAAAUUUGUGGCCCUGUUGGAUGAAUAAGAAGCACAAACUUGUAGAUCAUAUGUUUCUGCUGAUUGGAUGAACAUGGAAUUGACAGCAUGUGCAAUAUUCUCUUUUGAUUGAUGCUGGUAGGUUAAAGGUCAGUGUCCAAAAUGGAAAAGGCAGCUAAAUAUAUAUGACCAAAUCCAACAUCGCAGCUAACAUUAAUUCACCCAUGACUAUUGGCCAGAGCCAAUUGAAUGGAUCCUCUAUUUCGUUAGGGUGGUGAAUCUAAAUCUUGGGGAGUUUAGUAAGGGAGGAUCAUGUGAACCAGCAUAUAUUAAAUUUAAUUCAGCGAUGGUUGACAGAAAUAUGCUAGUGGGAAGUGAUUGGAUUGAUUGGAAUUUGUUAGGAAGAUGGAAAAAGAGGAGAAGAAUCCAAGCAAUUCACGAGUUCACUGUUGUCCAUUUCUCUCAUGUAUCUGUCUGUACGUUGAUAAAAGCAUUGGGGCCAGAAAGGCAGGCUAGCCACACUUGACGACGAACUUUGCAUUUAAUAGUAAGCCAUCCGUGAUUCUUCCCUCCAUACGUAUGGUACAGUACUAGUUGCAUCACACAUAGCACAGGAUAAUGAGCCUUGGAUCAGUAGAGAGUCAAUACCUACUUCGCUAUUGAAAUAGGUAUCAGCAACUACUACUGGAUUGACUCUCUCGCACAAGUAGGUAUCACUCACUCUCUCUCUCUCUCUCUCUCUCUCUCACAUACAUAUAUUUUCAAGCGACCCUUUUAUUAGGGUGGUUCCCAGUUGCCUUGGACCUACAAACUUACUUUUCAAAGACCAAAAUGGAUUAGUGAGGUGUAUUCGUUACUUCAUCAAUAUAUGCAUGAGGACAGUAUAUGGUCCAUAAAAUAAAAGCAUGCAUGCAUGCUGCUGUCUGACCCUGGCCGCAUUCAUAUACAUACAUCUGUUGUAAGUGUUGUGUUCUUUUGUACAUAUAUAUCUUGAAUGGAAAAUUAGAUGGUUCAUGAUUCAUGUAGUACUGCAGAUUUGAGAUCGUGGUUGUAUAACUUCCAAGUAAUGAAUAGCAUAAUUUAUAGAAUGUAACACAAAAAAGUUCAAAUCUGUGUAUUAGAGUAAAAGAGGCAGGCAUUGACAGUCUGAUUCAUUGAAGAUGGAAGUACAACUUAUGUUAUUGAUUAGGGAUGACAAUAGGGUGGGUAUGGGAUGGGCCACCCCUACCCCAUUUCCAUCCCAGUUAUAUAUUUUUUUUCUCAUCCCCAUCCCAAACCCGGGGCGGGGUGAGUUGGUGUCCCUCAUACCCAUUUACAAAAGAGCUGAUAAUCUCAUCCCCGUCCCAAAUGUGUUUCCUGGAAUUAUGAAACAUGGGUCUUUGGAAUUUCAAUAAAUGCUAUCUAGGUCUUCUCAUCCACAUUUAAUCAAGCAUUUGUUGUGUAACAAAAUUGCAAACUACACAUACGAGAACAAAAUGCACAAAUCUACAAAUAAACAACAAAAAAAAAUCUCAAAUCCAUCAACUAAAACCAGAAAAUAUGAAAAACAAGACAUUUCUAACAAAGCCUCAAAACUUAGGGUUUUCUUACCUAGAAAUGAGGAAUCCAUAGAAACCCUAAUAAUUUAUUAUCUAUGAAUUUUGUAUUCUAGUUUUUAGAGCAAAAAUUGUGCUUUUAGGGUGAAAUGAGAAGAAACAAUUUAGGAAGAAACGAGAAAACGAAAGCCCUCUUAUGAGCAAAAGAACCUUGAGCAAUUUAGGAAGAAAUGAGAAAACGGGAAGAAGUGAAAACGAAAGCCCUCUGACUCUCUUAUGAGCGAAAGAACCCUAAAACUUUAGGAAGAAAUGAUUAUAUAUGGAUGACUUUUUGAGUAUUUUGUAAUGACAUAAUGAUAAAUUGGUAAUUCACAUACGGGACGGUGCGGAAAUUGCAAAACCCAUCCCCGCCCUAAACCCAAUUCGGGUUUUUACAUAUUCCUAAAACCCGUUCUAUCCCCGAAUAGGAUAUUCCCAUACCCGUCCCAAUAGGGGCGGGGUGGGAUGGGUGACCUGAAUUACCUGUAGUACUAACUUUGCCCAUUUACACCUUUUUUUUAAAAAUAUUUUUAUAAGGAAAGUUUCUUACUUUAAAAUUGAGGUUGAUAAAAAGACAAAUACAACAUUGAUUUUUGGGAAGGAGAUUCUCUAUCAAUCCCCAUUUUUCCAUUAAUAGCAAUUUUCAUUUUUGUUCCUCAUUGAAAAAUUAUAAAAUAUUUGAAGUGUCUUAAUCUUUAACCUCAUGCCUAUCCCUCCUGAAAUCUAUCAUGAUCGUCAUUUGUGGAUUUAGCUAGGGCAAUACACUAACAGAUGGGCCAAACAUUGCUUCUUGGCUUGUAUUUGUCCCCUUGAAAUUAACCUCUAUCCUAUUGCCUCCUGCGUCUUAUUUGUAGCUCCACCCCUACUAGUCGUGAUCGUGUUCGCUUCCUCAUGAUAUAAUAUUUGCACAAAAUUUAAGGAGACUUUCCUAUCUGUGUGGCAUUACUAGAAGGGGUAAAAUUAUCAGAAUGUUUGAAGAUUUAAAAACAUGGCCGGGUUUCUUCUUAGGCCGAGGCUUUGGGCUUUCUUGGAAAACAAACUCACACAUAUGAACUAAGUGAAAAUUGGAAACGGCCCAGUACAUGUUGAAUCCAACCCAAGAAGUGAACCCAGCACAAGCCCAGAUACAGGCCCACAAGUAUCUCCGGGAAAGAGGUGCUGGGUUCAUUUGAACCAAGCUCAAAUUUUAAAUUAAUUUGCUUCCAUUUGUAUUACUACUACUGUUUAGAAUCAAAUUAUAAAGAACAUGGGCCAGUUUGAAAACGUUUUCCAGAGAAGUUUUCAAAAAAAUAGUUUUCGAAAAUAUUUUUUAAAAACAAUUCUCUAAUGUUUUCUGACAACUUUGAAUGUUCUCAACUUAUUUUUCGUAUCUUCAAACAUUUUUUAAAAAAAAAAACAAAGAACGAGCAAUUUUAUUCAUGUACCUAUGUUUCAUAUGAGAAACACCAUGUGAAGCAAGUAACUCAUAGAAUGCAUUGGAAGUAUACUCCCCACCUAAAAAAGAGAAGGCUAUUUUUGCAUUGUUCUAUUCAAGAUCUUAGGAUAGUGAGCCUACCAGUGACUCUUCUACUUACAGUAUCUACGUUCAUCCAUGGGAACCUUUGGGUAAGGUUUGUUCUAUUGUUGGAAGAUGACCUAGAAGGUAUUGUCAAAAUAGAUGUAUAAGAUGUGACAAGAAUUCCUUGUCCUAUUUGAGACUUAGGACAUAUCCCUUCAUCCAACGAUUCACUAAUCAUUGAAUCAAUAGAGGGAAGUAGGCUACAAUGCAAAAUUAUCCCAUGCAAUGCCUUAAAAUCACUAUGAAUGACCAUAAAAAAUUGAACUAAUCAUUAUUACUCUCUAUGGAUGAUAUAAGGCACAAAAGCUUGGAUCUCUACAGAUUCCAUGAGAGUCAAUUGAUCUUAAAGAUCAAUCAUAAUGAAAUAAAAUUCCUAAAUACUCAUAUUCUUCUAUCAAAGGGCCGGCUUGAAUAUUUGUCUAAUUGAUACUGUUUAGCAAAAUUAUAUUGCUUAUAUAACCAUUCCAAAUGCUCCAGAUCUCCUUUUCAAUUUCAUACUUUGUUAGUUAUAUACCUAUCAAAUUCUCAAUAGGGUUUGUUGAUCUACGUGAUGUUUUUCAUUUUCUUCAUUCUUAAGUUUGCAUAAAUUUUUAAUAAUAUAACAUCACAUCUUUUUGCCCUCCAAAAAAAUUUUCAUCACAUAAUUCCAAUACAAAUAAUUUUUUUCAUUCAAUUUCACACGAUAGAAGGAAAUCAUUUAUUUUGCCAAUCAUAAUGACUAGUCAACAAAUAACUACCAAAUAAAAGGAAACAUGUAAGAACUAAAGAAAACAAAUGCAAAAUCAAAUACCAAGAUUCAACAGGAAAAACAAUGUGAUCACCUAUGGCAAAUAUCUAUGAUUAGACACAAUGAAAAAAUCAAUUAUGAUGUGAUACCAUGUGAAAUUCAAAUAAUCAUAGGGGGAAAAGAGAAAAUAAAAUCUACAGUUUCAUAUUCUAACCACUUGAAAAUUAGGAAAAAUACAAUUAGAAUAUAAAUAGCUUUACAAUCAAAAGAAAUAAAAGACAAAAAAUGACUAAUUUAUCCUUACUUCUAAAAAAAAGAUAUUAACUCUAAGUAUAAGAAACAAAUAACUCUAAUAAAUAUUUCUAACAAUAUAUUCAUAAGGUCCAAUUUUUUAGAAAUAGAAAAUUUUAGAAAACUCUCCUUAUAACCUUUAAAAUAAUCCCCUCUUUUUAAAAUCCACUUCAGAAUACAACAAAAUUAAGGAAUGAUUCAAAAACACUAUAAUUGAUUUUUAGAUUACCUGAUAAAACUAUUAGGCAAAUCUAAGUACUUUGACAUCAUAUCGUGGAUUAUUAUAUUAGAGAUCUUAGAUCCCAUGAUUUUUUUUCUUCAUAAUUUGUGUCCGAGUUUUUCACAUAAAAUUGAUUGUCUUGUAUGUAAUCGUGAUUUUAUUGUUUAUUCAUAUUCUUAUACAUGAUUCAAUUGAUUUAAAAUGACUUAGAUCUCUCUCAUAAAUUAAAUUAGGUAAAGAACUUCUUCAAUUCACAAAUUAAAAUUCUUUAUUUUCACUCUUAUACCCCUUUGGGUGUUACCCUACUAAUACAAACAUUUUUCAAAAAUGUUAUUUGAUAUUUUCUCAAUUUUAUUAUUGCUCUAUAAAAAUAACUUCUACUUUAAUUAUUUUUAAAAUUUAUUUAUUUUUUCAUUUUUUUUAGACAGAGUACCAUAUAUAUUUAAAAACAAUUUUUAGUUUAAUAACAACCUGUUUGAUCUUCAUAUUUCUUGAGUUUUACUUCUCUAAUAACACAUUUGUUGGGAUAAUCCUCUUAAGCAACUUUUGAUUAAUGUGGGUGCAUGCCCCAUUAUUGGUUUGUUGAAAGCAAGAACUAUAAAGCUAUGAACUCACCCAAAUCUGGAAUAACAUCCCCAGUUUUAUUAAACUCUUACUGGUGGCUUAUAUAACCUUACAAGAUAAGGAAUUAGAAAAACAUUGCAACCUAGGUCUUAUACCUAAAGACAUGGUAUUAGUUACUGAAAUAGUCAAAACCUAUCUACUGGUUCCUAACUAAUAGGAACUUAUUAACAGAACUUUGACAAAGCCAAACCUUAACAAAAACAAAUAAAUCCCAACAAUAAUUCAUCCCCUAAAUUGAAGCAAUACGCAUUCAGUUUAAGUUUGGUACCUCACAUACCCCAAGUUUCUCACGCAAAUUCAAGAACACUUCAAGCUUCAGUGGCUUUGUCAGGAUAUCAACCACUUGAUCAUUGGUGCCACAAUGAACCAACUUCACCACUUCCUCCUUAGUGAGAUCCCUCAAGAAAUGGAACCUCACAUCUAUAUGCUUGCUCCUACCAUGCAUAACCAGAUUCUUAGAUAGCUUGAUCGUUGAAUUGUUGUCACUCAUAAUAGUAGUACACUUACUUUGUGAGUGCCUAAUCUUUUCUAACACUCUCCUCAUCCAUAUACAUUGACAAGCACAGAAAGCUGCUGCCACAAAUUUUGCUUCAGUGGUAGACAGAGUCACCACUGGUUGUUUUUUUUAGGCCCAAGAAACUACUCUACCACUCAAUAAAAACACAUAACCAGAUGUGUUUUUCCUAUCAUCAGUGUCUCCAGCAAAAUCGUUGUCAGUGUAAGCCAAUAGUUCUCCAAUAUCUUCUCAUCUCUUAUAAAACACACCCAACUCCACAGUUCCCUUUAAAUAACGAAGAACUCUCUUUGCUGCUUGCAUAUGUAGGCCAGUAGGAUUGGCCAUAUACCUGCUUAAGAGACAUACUACGUACAUUAAAUCAGGUCUUGUAGUAGUAAUGUACACGAGACUCCCAAUUAAUUGCUUAUAAACUAUAGCAUCAAUCCUAGCACCUUCUCCUUCCUCUAAUAGCUUGAAAUCGGGCACAAUAGUAUUCUUCACCGAAUUGGCAUUUUGUAAACCAAACUUCUCAAGUAAUUCACAAGCAUACUUCUUUUGACUUAAGUAGAUACCCUCUAAAGUUUGCAAAACCUCAACACCAAGGAAGUACUUCAUCUUCCCUAAAUCCAUCAUAUCAAACUCAUCCUUCAUGGAACUCUUGAAGCUUUCAAACAUGCAUGCAUCAUUCCCAGUAAAGAUUAAGUCAUCCACAUACAAACUCACAAUUAAGAACCUCUUACCUCCUUCUUCUAUUUUGACAAAGAGAGUGUGCUCGUAAUCACAUCGUUCAAAUCCCUCAUUGACAAAAUAAGCUUCAAUUUUGCUAUACCAAGCACGUGGUGCUUGCUUCAACCCAUAUAAUGUCUUCUUAAACUUGUAUACCUUUUCUUCUUCACCCUUUCGAAUAUAACCUAGUGGCUGCUCCACAUACACAUCUUCUUUCAAUUCACCAUGAAAAAACGCACUUUUGAUAUCUAAUUGAUACACACUCCAUCCAUUUUGUGCUGCUAGGGCUAGAACCAUCCGAAUUGUGUCCCACCUUGCUACUGGAGCAAAGACUUCAUUAUAAUCAAUUCCUUGUCGCUGAGCAUAACCUUUAGCUACCAACCGGGCUUUGCACUUAUCAACCUCACCCUUUUCAUUCAAUUUGGUCUUAAAGACCCACUUCACACCAAUCUUCUUGGCACCAUUAAGCAAAGUAGUAAGCUGCCAGGUUUUAUUCUUCUCAAUUGCUUCAAUUUCCAAGUCCAUGGCCCUUAUCCAUUUCACAUCUCUCUUAGCUUCUUCAAAAGAGCCCGGAUCUUCAUGAGAGAUAAACAUUGCAAGAUUAUUCACAUCUGCAUUUUCUGAUAGUCCUUCACCCGUUACAUAGUCCUGCAAGUAAGGAGGUGCUCUUCGAAUCCUUGUUUCAGCUUGAAUUGGUGCAACUUCAUUGGAUGAUUCAAUCGAUGUUGGAGUUGUUGCUUCUGCCUCUUGAUCUGUAACCAUUGCUUCAAUACCUUCCACGACUUCUUCUUCACUCUAAGAGAAAGCCUCUUCACCUUCAACACUAUUUUCCCAGACCAGUAUAUCAAGCUUCACUUUUUCAAUCGUCCUCCCCCAAUUCCAGUCUUUAUCCUCUUCGAAACUCACAUCUCUACUCACUAUAAUUCUUCUAAUAGCUAGAUCAAACAACCGAUAAGCUUUAGAUUCAUGACUUACUUCAAGUAAGACGCACUGAAGACUUUUAUCAUCCAACUUUCUUCUCUUCUAAUCUGGCACAUGUACAUGAGCUAGGCACCUAAAAACCCUAAAGUAGUCCACUUUGGGUUUGACUCCACUCCACAUCUCUUCUAGGGUCUUGUCUUUCAGUACUAAUGUUGGACUCCUGUUGAGAACAUGCACUGUCCAUCUUGCAACUUCUGGCCAGAAUGCUUUUGGCACUUGUUUGUCACAAAGCAUGCACCGAACCAUAUUCAUGAUAGUUCAAUUUUUGCGUUCAGCUACCCCAUUUUGUUGUGGGGUAUAAGAUGCUAUUAGCUGCCUGCUUAUACUAUUGAUUCUACAAAACUCAUUAAACUCAUUGGAAGUGAAUUCUCUUCUUCUAUCAAUGCGUAAACAGCAGAUAAGUGCACCCGACUCCUUCUAAACCAAGCUCUUAUAGUUUUUGAAAGUUGUAAUUGCUUCAGACUUUGCAACCAAAAAAUUUAUCCACACCUUUCUACUAAAAUCAUUGAUAAAGGUUAUAAUAUACCUUUUGUUACUGUUGGAUUCAGGAGUAAUAGGGCCGCAAAUAUCAGCAUGAACGAGCUGGAAUUUUCAGGAAGCUCUCCACUAACUCUUCUUUGGAAUAGCAUUUAUGUGUUGCUUUCCCACAAAGCAUUCAUUGCAAGCUAUAGUUGACGCUUCACUAUCUUUUUGUAUUGCAAAGUCCUCAACCCUUUGUAACUCAAAUGCCUAAACCUACGGUGCCACAACUUUGAAUUAUCUUCUAUGACUGUUUGUAGGCAUGUCGAGGUCUCAAGCACCACAUUAGCCAAUAAUACAAACAUUUGAUUUGUUGUCAUCUUUGUCUGCAUAAUCAAUCCUCUUCUAGGGUGGUAUAACUUGCAUUCCCCAUUUUAUAUAAUUAUAGCUAAACCCCUUUCUUGAAGUUGGCCUAUACUUAGCAAAUUAUUCUUCAAAGCAAGAACAUAGUAAACAUUAGUGACUACCUGAGUUGAGCCAUUAAUCUCGAGUCGAAUGUUGCCUUUGCCCAUCACUCCCAUCCUUGUAUUAUUGUUGAGCUUCACUGAGUGUCUGAAAGCCUUAUCAAUGUUAGAGAACCACUGCCUGUUCCCUCACAUGUGAUUGCUGCAACCCGAGUCGAGGAACCACACAUUUUCUCGUUUCAAGUUGUUGACUUCAACAUAAGACAUGAAAAGGAUCUCUACUUCUUCAUUGAACUCAGCAUAGUUUGCACUCUUCUCCCAACUAGGGCAUUCGUAUUGGAAGUGCCCUAGUUUGUGGCAUUUAAAACACUCCACUAUGGCCUUGUUUGUAAAGUAGCUUCUUCUGCCUUUCAUGCAGCCUCGAACAAAACUUCGACCUCUGCAUCUUCCUUCAUACCUUUCGUCAUACGAAACCUUUAAAGCUUGUUCAUCCCUUGCAUUUCCACUAUGACAAUUCAUUCUCUAUUCAUGAACCAAAAGGCUACUUUGAAGCUCGUCAAUGGUCAUCAUGUCCACAUUAUUGGACUCUUCUAUUGAGUAUACCACAUAGUCUAACUUGGGAGUCAUUGAUCUCAAGAUUUUCUCCACAAUCACAUUCUGCCCCAUUCUUUCUUCAUGUGUUUUCAUCUUGUUUGCAAUAGUCAAAGCUUUGGUAAAGUACUCAUCAACCUUCUCACCCUCUUUCAUCUGCAGGAUCUCAAACUCUUUUCUAAGGGCUUGUAGUUGAGCUCGGUUAACUCUGGUGGAGCCCUGAUACUUCUACCUCAUUGAAUCCCAUAUACUCUUUGCUAUGUUAUUGUCAAGAAUUGUCUUCAUAAUGGUCUUGUCAAUCGAUUGAAACAGGUAGUUCUUGAUCUUCUUAUCCUUUAGCCUCGCCUCUUCAACUUCCUUUCUUUGUGCUUGAGUAGGCGUUGAUCCUUUGGCUAUUGAAGGAAUUCCAUUCUCUACUAUGCUCUAGUACUCCUUUGAACGGAGAAAAUUCUCCAUUAACAUGGCCCAAUGGUCAUAAUAACCAUCAAACCUUGGAACUGUUGGUUGAGCAAAGUUUUCUGUCGCCAUGUUCACUCAUUCCACCUUCCUUUCUUCUCUAUUCUCUCUUCUCACACUCUAUAAGAAAUUUGCAGUUUCUUACUUUCUUCAAUCAGGCCCCUUAGCGGAGCUCUGAUACCAGAUUGUUGAAAGCAAGAACUAUAAAGCUAUGAACUCACAUAAAUCUGGAAUAACAUCCCCAGUUUUAUUGAACACUUACUGGUGGCUUAUAUAGGCUUACAAGAUAAGGAAUUAGAAAAACAUUAUAGCCCAUGUCUUAUACAUAAAGACAUGGUAUUAGUUACUGAAAGAGUCAAAACCUAUCUACUGGUUCCUAACUAAUAGGAACUUAUUAACAGAACUUUGACAAAGCCAAACCUUAACAGAAACAAAUAAAUCCCAACUAUAAUUCCUCCCCUAAACUGAAGCAGUAUGCAUUCAGUUUAAGUUUGAUACCUCACAUACCCCAAGCUUCUCACGCAACUUCAAGAACACUUCAAGCUUCAGUGACUUUGUCAGGAUAUCAACCACUUGAUCAUUGGUGCCACAAUGAACCAACUUCACCACUUCCUCCUUAGUGAGAUCCCUCAAGAAAUGGAACCUCACAUCUAUAUGCUUGCUCCUACCAUGCAUAACCAGAUUCUUGGAUAGCUUGAUCGUUGAACUGUUGUCACACAUAAUAGUAGUACACUGGUUUAUACCCUAAGAAUCACAUGAAAAUAUACUUUUCUUCUUUCAAAAGAAAAAAAUUAAAAAAUGCCAGUCAUGGGACUAAACUAAUGGCCCUUACUACGAUACUUCCGCAUUAUCCUAUUUAAAUCGAUGUUUGGGGAUCUUGGACAUUGUUAUCAUUCUUUCCUAGUUUUUUAUUCCUUUCUUUUCUCUUGUCCAUUCUUUCCCAGUUUUUUUAAUUCUUUUCUUCUCCUUUAUCCAUCUUAAAGCAAACUUAUUCCAAAAGAUUUGGUACAUGUAACAGCUAGAACAUUGUCACAUGCAUGAUGGAGGCCGUCCCUGCAAAUUAUACCAUUUGUCUUUAGUAUGACCUUGCAAGUAGCUGCUGGCAAUAUCCACAAAACAAAAUUAAAUAAAAAUAAAAAUAAAAAUAAAAAUAGAAACAACAACAAAAAGUAAAACAAAGCUGAUAGUUUUGUGGAGAGAGAGAGAGAGAGAUGAAAAACACUUUUUAUGUUAAUUAAAAUGGCUUUAAGAGAGAGAUAUGAAAAACACUUUUUAUGCAAAUUAAAAUGGCUUUAAUGUUGCUAAUAAAUCACAAGAGAGAUUUUAAAAUGCGUUUGGAAAAAUUCUUUUGAUCACUUAAAACCUUAAUAGGGACCAAUAUAUGUAAUGUUCUAUUAAGUCACAAGAGAGAUUUUAAAAGAUUUUAAAAUACGAUUGGAAAAAUUCUUUUGAUCGCUCAAAACCUUAACAGGGACCAAUAUAUGUAAUGUUCUUUUUUAAUUAUUUUUAUUUUCUAUUGGCUCAAAGUGCUCUGAGAUGGAGUCUUCCUUCACAUCAGGUAAAUGGAAGAUAAAAUCAUAGGACGUGGAAAAUGAACCCAUCGAAGAUACCAUUUCCAAUUUUCCUUGGUCAAAUUUGGAGGUCACUUUGGCCUUGGAAUCUUAGAAAUUUUUUACCAAACUGCUUCCUUCCCCAUAAAAAAAGUUCAGUCACUUAAAAAAAUAAAAUAAAAAACUAUAUUUUAUAUAAAAUCAGUUAAUUACUUGAACUAUACCACAUAGAAAAUGACGAUAAGGGUGUUAUGAAAUGACGUGCAUUCAUUAUCUGAUUCCACUAAUAUUGUGUAAUAAUUUUAUUUCGGCAUGAAGCAUCAAACGCUUUGGUCAUGGUGGAACCCACAAUGAGGUAGCCGCCUUACAAGACCAGUCACCCAAAACCCUAGUUGAAUAAUCAACAUGACCUUGCCAAUUACAUCACACUCAAAAGCUUUUUUUUUUCUUUUUAAUUAUCUUGAUAUUUUAUGAUAUAAUCUUAUAUGAUGAACUGUCCAAUAACAUGGAUUUGACUCCUUAGACUGUUAGACAUAAUCCUUCCCCCUUUAUCCAAAUCCAAACUUUAUUAUUUCUUUGAGAAAUUCUAAGAGUAAUAAGAAAGAACUAUAUAACGAAUUUUGAUGGUUACUUUAGGUAAUACAUAGCUUUGUUGUUUUGUAUCUUAUUAAAAAUAAGAACAAUUUUAAUAUUUUAAGGUUAGGAGGGCUUACCUAGAGAAAUUAAUUGAAAAAGAUGGUAUUGAAAUAGAAGCAAUAGACAAAAAUGAAACUGAUUGUUUUCUCCCCCAGAAGGGAAAGAAAAUUGGAUUACUUGAGCUUAGGGUUUGAGUUGGUGUCAUUAGUACUUGGUGGAGGUCAUUAAAAUUAUGAAGAUUUAACAAACCCAAGAAGAGAAACCAUGUUUACAAGGUCUACAGAGAAGAUGAAGAGAUGCUUAAAGAUCAAUGACAAAUCUUUUUCUUCCCUACUUCACGGGAAGCUUGUCUCCUUACAACUGAGAGAAUAUUUGAAACUUGAUGGACUCAUUUUCAAUAAAAAAAAAAAAACAAAAUGUUUUUUUUUUUUUUUCUGACUCAUAGCUUCUGAGUGAAAUAUUCUAAAGUGGGCCUUUGAAAAUUGAAACUCUCCACAAGUCUCUUUCCAUCUAGAAGAAAACCCAACCCCGCCUUCAACACUCUUGCGUGUUACAUCCUGGAAAUUGACUUGAUAGUCAAUUUGUCAAAUUGGAAUAAAGAGUUGAUGAUAAUAAUAAUAUAUAGGUAUUUUGCUUACUGGGUCGGCCACGGCUGACUAGAUCUACCCACAAUGCUUCUAUGGUGAUGACUCUUAUGGUUUGAUUGGUGAUGAUUUUCAUCGGUUGGUUGAAAGCAAAGGAAUCUUGGAUUUAGCUUUACUAGGUCAAGUGCUUGAUCAUAUGGCUUCUAGGAAGGAAUUAAUUAAUCCUGUGCAUAUCUUCUUAAAGGUCCUCUUUUAAAGUGUUUCGAUUGAUCAAGGUUUUUGUACUACGAAAAUUUUAAAAGAUUCUUAUAUUCAUAGUUUCAUUUACAUUUAUCAAUGAAAUAAUUAAAUUGGGAAAGGAAAAUAAGAAUUCUAUUAGGAUUUGAGUUAGGGUUAAUCCACUCAUAUUGCCUAAUUAGCUCAACAAAAUCAAACUUCUAGGUUGAUUGAUAGCUUAACUUACCUUGGAAUUUGAUUUGCAUGAAGUCAAGUACAGAAAAGAGGUUUUCACUUCUUUUUUUUUUUUCAAUAAACAAUAUGUGCUUACAGAAUUCAGUAGAUUGACGAUUGGCUCAACUCAAUGGAGACUCAAAAACCUGUCCAGUUCAAACGACCUUUAGAAGCUUCUGUCCCCAGCAGGCAGUUUACUUAUUUUUAAAUUCAUCCCUGUCAAUGAAUAAGUCUUUGUAGACCCCACUCCAUGAAUAAAUUUGUGUAUACAAGUAUAUAUAAAUCCACCACAUAGCUAGCCUGCAGAUCACACCAUCCAUCUCCUAUAAGGCUUCUCCUCUCCAUAUCCAAUCCAGAAAAGGAAGGAAAGUGAAAGAAAAUUAUUAGGGCACUAUGACAAGCGACACCGGAUCAGUGCGCCGGAAGAAGAGCCUGAAGUGUCUAGCAUAUGUUGCUGCUUUUGUGGUGUUCCAAACUGGCAUCAUAUUGCUCUUUGUUCUACUAGUCCUGAAGAUCAGAGAUCCUAAAGUCCGCAUCGCCUCCAUCUCUGUGGAGAAUCAGCAUUUCUCUACAAAUUCCUUUAGCAUGGACCUCAAGGCUCGAGUUACAGUCAAGAACACGAAUUUCGGUCACUUCAAAUUCGAUAAUAGUACUGCAACUAUAUCGUAUUUUGGCACUGCAGUAGGGGAGGCAACUAUUCUUAAGGCGAGGGCUAGAUCAAGAUCCACCAAAAGGUUUAACAUAACUGUGCCCAUAUCUUCAUCCAAGGUAAAUAACCAUCGACAAUUGCGUAGGGAUUUAAAUUCUGGGGUUUUGAAUCUGAGCAGCACUGCAAAGUUGAGUGGAAAGAUACAUCUGUUCAAGAUUUUCAAGAAGAAGAAAUCUGCAGAAAUGAGUUGUACCAUGGAGCUUCAUACUAACACAAGCUCCAUUGAGAACUUGAGCUGCAAGUGAAAAUUCUACCACGCUUAAUUCACUAGUGUUUUUCUGUCAUGGGGGAGAGGCCAUAUGUGAUGGAAAGAAACUAUAGAAUUUGUAUUUUGCAUAUUCUUUAUAGUUUGUGUAUGUAUUUUUAAGAUAUUGGAAUUUCCUUUCAAGGCAUUUUAAAAAGAACAAGAGCUCUGGUUUUACUUAGUUCUUUGCUUUAACUUUAGGUUUUCUGUGAUUCCCCAUGGAAGUUUAAUAGAUCUGAUCUUGAUCUUCAAGUUUUUCUGGGAUUCCUCAGCUGGGAAAAUUUGUGACUUUAUAAGUCAAUGGGUCAUGGAUUUCAGGGCUUGUGAAAUGAGAGUGGACGUUGGCAAGCUUGCCCUCAUAUUUUUUUUCCCCUUGUAUGGAGCCAUUUGGUCCUCCGACUUUCAUUGACCCAAAAUAAAUUAUUAUCAGGGCAUUUACUUUUUCUUCGCCACCAAACAAAGUCUUCCUUUGACUUGAUGAGUUUAUUUUUGUUUCCUUUAAUUUCUAGGCCUAUUAUCUUGUUCAAUUAUUCCGGCGCACUUCAAAAAUGUGGUUAGACCAUGCAUGAAAAUAUAUGAAUAUAGUGAAAAUUAAAAGAAAAAAAAAUGUGAUUGACAUGAAAAUAUUUUUUUCAACUUAGUGAUUGACAUGCACUAAAGUUCAAUACUUUCCAAUCCAGUGGCAGCUAUGUGGAUGUACACUCAAAUUUGUUUCAUCUGCAACCUUGAAGCCUGUCUAGGAUGAUUACAACUAUAGUACAAAUUUCUGUAUGAAACAUUUUGGGUUUUUCAAAAGCAGUGAUCUUGAAGCAAGUUGUGGGAGUUUGGUGAAUUGUUUGUGGUUCCACAGCACUAAAUGCAAGCAGUAAAAGUAGGGUAAAAACUUGAGGUUCACCACACAAUUUGGUAGGUCCAAAUUGUCUUUGAUUUUGAGUGUGAAUCCAGAAAGGAAGCAACCAGCCACACUGCCAUGCUAACAUUGGCCCUACCAUAGAAGGAGUCAUACCACCAAAAUGCAUUUGGCUUGCAAGUAGACCUUAUCACCCAUUUUAGACGUUUGAUUAGAGACGUGUUGGACUUUUUUCUGUCCUAUAUAUAUAUAUAUUUUUUUGGGAAAAAUUAAUAAUAAUUAUUAUUCGUCUUUAUUAAUAAUCAUUGUGGGACAACAUUUGCCCGUGUCUGCAUUUUGUAGCAUUUCAAAUUUGGGUUAAGAUUUGUGUGACUUAAUAUCCAAAAAUGCACCCAAAAACCAUUAUUCUAAAAAGUUCUAAGGUAUCUUUAAUUUUAGGAAAAUUUAAGGGAAAACAGAGAGGAAAACUAUAUAAAAGAGAAAAAAAAUAAAAAAUAGAUUUAAAAUUAAUAAAUUAUUUUUAUAUAUAUUUUUAAAUUUAUUUUAUUUAUUUAAUUUUAUUAUAAAUAACUUAAAAUGUAAAUUUUUUUAAAAAAAAAUUAACAUUUUUUUUCAUUCCUAAUACUUUCCGAUACCAAACAUAAGCUACGGGUUUUUUUGGGAAAAAAACACUUACACAAUUCAAAACAAAACCCGUUAAGUCUACAUAAAGAGUCUCCUCUGUAUUUGGAGAGCACACUACACACUUUUCGACAAAAUGCAUUUCCCCACAAUAAGAAGAAGACCUCUCUUUUUAAUUUUUAUAUUUUUACUUUUAUUUUUAUUUUUGGGCACGACAAAAAAUGUGGAUGUAGCAAACCCCUUUUCAUAAAGUUAGAAACUUUUUUGGCAAAACUCUUCAUCAGCAAAGAACAAUAAGAGGUAACUUUGUUUUUAAAAGCAAAAAAGAAUAUUUCUUUUGAAAAAGAAGAUCAAAAUAUAUAUGGUGAUUUUGGUUAUUCUUUCUUCUCUUAAAGUUGGCUCUCACCAUGCAAAUUUUAUUUUUCAAUUAAGAAUAUUUACCUUAUUUUUACUCCAUCUCUUUAAUAUGAAAUAAGAUCUUUGAUUGGAAUAUGGGAUCAUAGUUUCAUAUUCCAAUCAUGCUAUUUGUAAUUUUGUUACAUUUAUAUGUAUUCUAACACUAUUUAUAUAUUUUUUUAUUUUGAUAAUUAUUUUUGUUAAAUUAUCAAUUUUCUAUAUAAAAAAAAAACCCAUAUCUUUAGAGAAACUAACCUAAUUUGGAUUUAUAUUCAAUAAAUAAAUAAAAAAUGUAAAUUAUAGAGAAAGAAAGGAAAAAUACGUACAAAUUGCAAAGAAGGGGAUCAAACCCGAAACCUCCCCCUCAAAUCAAGUUAUGAUAUAUAAAAUAAUUAUAUCUCGAAUAUUUUCUCAUUUUACACAUGACACUGAAGGUGAUGAUGGGUGUCAAACAAGAACCCUCAUCUCUGACUACCCUUAUCAUUCAAACUAAUGAUAUGAUAUAUAAAACAAGGUUAAUGCCUAACUGCCCAUGUUAAUCUAAGUGCCCGAGUCCACUUCAAUUUGGUGGAGAAAAACUACUCCCAGUAGCGGUAUCCUACUCAUUUCACAUUUGGCAUCUUCAUAAUUGCACAUUAGCUUUUGUACUUUGACUUUUAUUGCUUAACAGGUGUUUUUAGGUUUUGGAAAUUCUGGUGUCCAAAACUUCUACAUGCAUUCAUGUUAAAAUAAAAAGAGGUAAAUUUAAUGCCCUAGUUGGUUUAAUACUUUUAUUGAAGAUGAACCUUGUUACUUGUAAGAUAAGACAGCUUGUUUGAAUAUUAUUAUUAUUGUUAUCAUACCCACUACUACCAUUACUAUCACUAUUAGACCUUGUCUCUCUCUCUUUUUUUUUUUCUUCUUUUUUUUUUCUUUGUUCCUUCACACAAGAGGUUAGUAAGGAUCCAGUUCAAGUUUAUGUACAAUCUAAAUGUAUAUCUAAUAUAUAGAUUUAGCCCCUUUGUGGAUUAGAACACUUUUAUCUAUUAGGGUUUAAAGAAUUAAUUUUUUUAGUGUAUUUUCUAUCUUAAUUUAGAAAAAAUUUAAAAAUAUGUUUAGAUUUUACUUUCUAUAUUUAUUUUCUCUGGAAAUUAUUAUAUAUUUUUUCAUAUUUAUAAUAUUUCUAUUCCUUUUAUAUCAUAGUUCCUAUAAAAAAAAUUUAUAUCAUCAUUUUCCUUUUUUGUUUUCAAUCUUUUAGAAAAUAAUUUUCAUUUUUUUUAAUAAAAAUUUUAUUAUUGGCAAGCGUUUCUAGCUAUUGUUCCCUUCCAAAGAGUAGGUUUUUACACGUUACUCACUCAUGUGCCACCGAAAACACUACUUCUCACUUGCAUGUGUUAAGCAUGUCGUCAGCAUUCAUCUUGAAUCAGGAUCGAACCUUCCAUGAGAUUUAUAGUUACAUUACUUAUAACUUCCUUAUUCCUAGGCAAAGUGGAUUUAGAAUUUUCAUUCAUUUCAAGACAUAACUUGUAACAUGUGUUUUACUUAUGGAUCUUUUUGAUAGGAUAAAUAUAAAUAAUGCACAACCAGAUUUUAUCCCCUCUUAUGAGAACCUAAUAGGAAUCAAUCAAAUAGAGUAGCAAGAAGACACCCAAUCAACAAGUAUAUGAAUACCAUUAGCGUGAAAAACCUUCUCUAAUAUGAGAAGUAAAAACCACAGGACCCUUAGGCCACUUAAAAACUCCACUAAUAUAAUUAAUGGGUUACACAAUUCUUUCUAAAUAAAACUAGAAGCAUACAUCAACCAUAUCUCAAGACAAAUUGAUCUUGGCAAUUUCAACAACUUUGCAUAAAAACAAUAGAGAGAUCUCACCAAACACACCACAAAACUAAAAUAUAACUUUUCAGAACUCCAAAUCCAAUCUCCACCGUUCAGAAUGAAGAUUAAUAAGUCAUGAACGUGCUCUCCAAAAAUCGGCCCAAUCGAACCACAGAUUAACCUUGAUCGGAGUUCAUGAUCAAAAUUGUCCGAAUAGAAAACGCAUCAAAACAAAGGCUCUGUUCUUGGACUGAAAGACGACCUUCUGGAUCUCCAAAUCCGAUCUUCACCGUUAGAAUGAAGAUCAAUGAUUCACGAACUUCUCCCCCAAAUUUUAAGUCGAUCGGCCCACAAACGAAGCGGGAUUGGACCUUUGAUGAAAUCUGGGCAGUGAAGAAUAAACUGAAUUUUUCUCUCUAACUUCAAAAAUGGUGGUUCUCCCCUGUCUCUCUCUUUUCUCCUACCUCCGGUGGCUGUGAAAAAUUGGAAGAAGAAGAAGAAAAAAAAAAACAUGAUUAUUUUUCUAGCCCUUUUAUAUAAAGGCCUAAGAGGCCUUAAAUUUUGAGCUCUUAAUUUGGGCCUUCCACAUGAGGAAAAACUCAACAUUUUUUUCAAUUUACACCCAUUAUCUCAAGUUUUAGAUUGAACUAAUCCAUUGACACAAAUAGUUCAUGGGAAAAAAAUCGAGUUAUUUGAGCCCCAGUGGAUUGACAGGACAAAUUAUCAAUUUUUUGAUAUAGGAUAUCCAUCCUAGUCACUAUGGACGCAUUUGUCCAAUCGACAUGUUUGAAGGAAUCAAUGUUGGACUUAUUGGAUCUUUAGCAAUUCACGCAAUGAUUGAUCAUUUUCACUUUCUUAAUUUUUUGAAAUUAGUUUUGCAAAAAAAGAAAAUAGAAUGUUUCUUGGAAAAUAAAAACAAGAUUUCUAUUUUUCAAAAACAUUUUUUACUUUUUGUUAAUUAAACACAUUUUUAAAAGAGGAAAGACAAAAAUGAAAGCUAUUUUCAAAAAUUAAAAAUUAAAAUUAAAAAAUGUUUUCCAAACUAAAUGCUACCUAACUUUUUUUUUAUUUACUUUAAUUAUUAAAUUGAUAAAGAUGUUAGAAAUCAGUUAACGAAGAUCAGACAUUUUUUUCUUUAAUUUUUAUUCAACUUCAUUUUGAAUGUUGUUAAAAGAUUGAUUUUGAUUGAAGUAAACCAUCACAAUUAUCAAACUAACUUGGUUGAUCGAAUUAACGUUGGAGACAACAUCCAUCAUAUCAUAAAUCCCACUACUUCCUGAAGUUGAUUUUUAUUGAAAGCAUGUUAAUCCUGAAAAAGAUGAUGGGCAGAGAACUUCAGCCGAGACAGAUUGGUUUGGACAAAAAGAGAAAGACGUCCAACAACUUUAAGAUACCAUGUCAACAUGAUCACAUGACACCUCCGGUCAAUAAAAUGCUCAAGAAGCUAAACAAUUAUGCAAGUAAAAGAGUGUAUAAUUGGCCCAUGAUACCCACAUACUAAAGAGGAGGGACAGGAUUAAUGAGUGGGAGGGCCAUCAUAUACUUCUCACGUAUAACAAGCUUCUCUAAAGUCAAUUUGCAAUCUUUGUUCAAACGCCCUUGUGAAGACUUUCUAGCAUCUAAUUUCCAUAUAUAUAUAUAUAUAUAUAUAUAUGGAAAUUAAAUAUCAUAAAUGCAAUGAAAGUUUUUUCUUGUCCCAACUGGUAUGCAGGUGCAAAAGAGUCUUGAUUUUGUUCCAUAACACUACAUAUGAUCAUGUUGCUUUAUUUGUUACAAUUUGGCAAACAAAUGACCAUCCUUCUUGGAUUACAUCACCAGUGGACAUAUUGGCCAUGUAUCAUUUGUAGGUAUUCAUCAAACAAGAGUAAGCCCAAUCAUUUCCUUGGAUUAAUUCAUAGAACCCAUGAAUAGUGGGAAAGAUUCAACAGCGGCACCAACCAAUGGUGGAGGUACCGACUGUAACGGGGUGCAACUACUUGGGCCGACCCGGGUCAUAAGCACAACUAUUGGGGCCGGCCCGGGCCAAGCACACCCAUUGUGAACCUGACAACAAUGCAAUCAUCCCCCUUGGGCGACCGUGCCAUUCUCGAAAUUGAACCGACAUUGAGCUUCCACCUCCACUAACCUUUGCCUUCUGGUUUUUGAGCCUUAAGCCAAUCUGCUCCCAUCAAGCUUCUUUUUGGUUAUAACUUGAUAGUCAGUGGGGAAUAAUCGAGAAUCGCCUCGAUUACACCUUCGUGCAGGUGCCCGAGAGUGCCGGCAAACUCAUCAGUCACCAACUCACAUUGUUGGAUUGGACCAGCAGGCGAAUUUAACUCCCAGCGUUACAAACUCCAACAAAUUGUCAUCCCAGAAAGGACUUCGAGGCUAUCAUGGUGCAUGUUGGGAUAUUUAGUUUAGUGCAUAGCAUGACAUACAUAAGGCUACCCACUACUGAUGCAUAAGAUUACACGAGCUCUCAGAAUUUAGCACCAGAUUCGUCUUCUAUAAGACAUAAAAUCCGGUUUCCUAUAAAAAUGAAUCUCGUCUACUAAUAAUUUUUUUUUUUUUUAUAUAAAAAAAGUCGAAUAUUUUUUUAUCGUCCAUCCUUCAUCAGGAAUCACAACAUACUUCUUAGUAGAAGGCAUGCCUUAGAGGAGAGGAAGCCUAGUUCGGCUAAGCGCAAAAUAUCAACUUCCCAUUCCACAAUGUGACAGUCCAUAGACGAUUCAAAUGAUUUCUUUAGCAUGUUUGAAUUCUCCGAUCACCCUGACUCUAUUGAGUCAGAGGAGGUUAAUUUCUAUGGUCAAAAUAUGUGAGCCCCUAUGAGAUUGGAAGAGGUUGUGCUAAUGGCCUGUUGUAUCAUCUUCAGUUCGUCAUCCCUUUCUGCAGCUGUUACAAUCCCUUCUGCAUAACAAAGCCCUGUUUCUAUAGAAUCUAAUGAUGAAGAUAAGGUUACUGGGGAAGCACUAGUCCAUCAGUCACCUUGGGCGCUCUCUUAUAUCCCAGAUAAAGAGAAAGUUCUUAGAGAGACUGUUGUUCCAAUGAAACUUCAAACAUCAGUAAGCUAAAGCCUCAGACUCAGCUUCUUUAUUAUUCUAUGUGAGACCUUCAUUCCCAGAUGAAUUAGGCCUUUGAGAUAGGCGGCCAAGCUGCUUUGGUGGAGAAGCUUAGAUCGUCCUAGGUAGAUGGAUGUGGAUGUUGAUGAAAUAAUCCAUUUAAGCUAGUUUCCACAAUGUCAUGAUCAAUUCCCUUUAAAUAUUCAACAAAAUAUUAAUUAAGGUUUUGAAAAGAAUCGACCGAUUCAGUCCAAUCUGACCAUCAAUAGACCGUUCAAGGGUCAGACCGGACAAACUGUUUGGUUUUCCAUGAACCGGUCAACCAUUGAUUUGACCAAAAGGUACUAGGCUAUUCCCUCUUCUAAGCCCACUAAGAACCUUGCAUCUCUACACAAUAUGGAAGAGAACCAAAGAUUUAUUUUGUAAAAUUCCGAUGUGGGAUUAGUUAAAAUAGAAAAGAAACUUUCAAAACAUGGACCUUUGGUUGACAAAACAAGGUAGGUCCGGUAAGCUAUACUUAGUAAGAUUAUAAAACAAAUAUUUAUAUAUUCAAUUUUCAAAAUGUUAUUAUAUUAAACAUUUAAAUAAAUAUUAUAUUUACGUUUAUUUUAAUAAUGAUUAUUAAUGAUAAAUAUGAAAAUAGUAUAAAUUAAUUAAUAUAAUAAUUUUUAAAAAUUUUAAAAUAACAAAAUAGAUAGAUAUAUGGAUAAAAAUUAAAUAUUAUAAUUUUUUUCAUCUUAAAUAUAUCAUCAUCAUCAUAGUUAAAUAUUAUACAUAUUUUAUUUAAUAAAAUGUAAUAUAUUAAUAAAUUUGUAUCUAUAUUUAUCAUUUAAUUUAACAUAUAUAUUAAAUAUAAAAAAUGAGACAUCAUUAAAAAUUUUAAUUUUAUAUAUAUAUAUUAUUUUUUUUUAAAUUAUUUUUAAUUUUAAUAAAAUAUAAAUUAUAUAUUUAUGAUAUCAGUAGUUCAACGACAAUUCAACCAUUUGUCCGACCAUUAAACUGUGAACUAGUAAUUUUUCUUAUUCAAUGAUCUAUCCGAUUUUUAAAACAAUGAUUAUUAUAAUAACCCAAAUCAAAUUCCAACCAUAUAAUCCCAUGAUUUCUUAACGCUAAUUAAAAUUUCAAAUACUUUUCCUUUUUUAACCCAAACCUAGCGUAUACUUAUGAAUUCUUAAAUUUAUUUUUAAUAUUCCAUCCACUGAUAUUUUUUUGUAAGGUCAGAAUGAAAAAAAUUAACCCAUUUUUCUUUGAUCACAUGUUUGCCAAUUGAGUCCAUCAAUUGUGACUACCUCUACUUUGACAGCUAGCUCCGUUUAACUAUAUCUAUGAACAAUUUUACAAAAAAAAAAAAUUAUAGCUCAUAAAUGGAGAAACUAAAGCUGUGACGCUGCGUUACAAACGGAGAACUAGGAAACAACAUGGCUGUACAAGUGGGGUGAAUAGAAUGCAAACACGAUGUCGUUUUACUAGUAACACGACAAAAACGACAGCGUUUGGGACUGCAAAAACUUCCAAGAGGUCAUUAUUGAAGACGAAGAAAGACAAAAAGGAGUUAGCUUUUUCAGAACAUAAAAAAGAAUCCUAUACGUUUUUCUAUGCCUCUGAAUUCUUCUGAUACCUCCUUUGAUAUGACCAGCCCACACCCUCCUUCCGCAGAGAAAAAACAAACAAGUUAUGUGCUUCCAAAUAACGUAGUGACUCGUGACAUGUCGUAGGAAAAACCCUUCUUCCUUAAUUCUAAGAAUAUAUUUAUCACUAAGUUGAUUAUUUAACGUGCAUGGAAAAGUUUAGAUUUAUUUCCAUAUCAAAGCAUACAACUAUAGGGCGUACGUAAGUAAAUAAAUUAAACCAAGUCCAAGAUUCAAGAAAUAUGAUUCAUUUUUUGCCUCCAUGACUUGAUCAGCUUGUCUAGUUCAGCUAGAGAUGACCCUCCAUCGCUCAUUGCAGCCUUGGCUUCGUCUUUCAUUGCAGUGAUGCGAUUUCUAAUUGAAAAUCCUUUCUCAGUCUCCAUCAACUCUAUGACUCGCUUCUCGAGCUCUGUUGACGUCACCAGUCCUGCGGCUGACGACUCCAUUGGUAACGCUAUCUUCAUUUCUUUGACCAUCAUAACUUUGUUAAGCCUUUGCUCCGCGUAGAGGGGCCACGCCACCAUGGGCACGCCGGAGGAGAUAGCUUCGAGCACCGAGUUCCACCCGCAGUGAGUCACGAACCCGCCGACCGAGCCAUGACUCAGCACUGCCACCUGUGGAGCCCAUGACUUCACCACUAGUCCCCUCUCCUUGGUUCUAUCUAAGAAUCCAUCUGGUAGUAGCGAAUCCAAAUCCGGGUCGGGUGGUGCUAAAAAGCGCUGACUCUGGUCCUUGGACGGUGGACUGCGCACCACCCAUAGGAACCUCCGCCCGCUCGUCUCUAGCCCCACUGCUAUUUCCUUCAACUGCUCUUCUGAAAAGAAACCCAUGCUGCCAAAACACAGAAACACUACGCUGCGUUUCGGCUGCGAGUCCAGCCACUUUAAACACUCUUUUCCAUCUCCCCCACCGUCUCCGCUUUGUGUGGCUAUCAACGGCCCUAUGCUGAACAGCUGUGGUGUAGGACGGUCUCUUACACAAAGCCCGUCUUUGAUAGCCUUCACAGCUUUUGAUUCCAAGGAUUCAAACGAAUUCACUAUGAUUCCAGCCGAUUUCGUGAUAUGGGUAGUGUGAUACACAAAAGAUUCAUAUGCUUUGCUGGUGCGGUCAAGCACCGGUGUUGGCAUAUCCUCCGAUGGUAUCGGCGGCAAGCCCGGGGCUUGAUGAAGGGUGUUCAUAUCCUUGAAACUCUGAGUGAUGUUCUGGUGAAGAGUAGGGAAGUAAAGGAACAAAGCGAGGCCGGAGCAGGAGGAAGUGAAGAAAUAGUAGACCGGAACGUUAAGCUCUCCGGCGACGUCCAGAGCUGGGGUGCAGAACAUGUCGAUGACGAGAGCGAGGACGGUGGAGGUGUUAGAGAUGGAUUGGAGGGCUUGGUGGACAUUAGGGUUGCUGAGGGUUAAGAGAUCAAAUAUUAGGGCCUCAAAAGAGGGGUAGGAGGAGAGGUGUUGAGGAAGAGUUGGGAUGGGGAGGUGGCGGAAGGUGAUGGAGGGGGUGGUAGAAGAGACAGCGGAGAUGUAAGGGGCGGUGGCGCCAGUGUUAAAAGGUGGGUCGAGGAAGAAGAUGACGAUGGAGAGUGAAGGGUGGUGUCUGAGGAUGAGCUUCCCAAGCUCAACCAUGGCGAUAAGGUGUCCAAUCCCCGGUGAUGGGUACAACACUACACUCUCCAUUUUCCGACAAUCCAAACAGACUCUGAGUUUUCUCACACUUCUCAGUUUACCCUCUCCUCGGUUUAUAUGGCCAAGAAAAUAACAGCAAAGCUCCCUUUAACAUCCCUUUCAUUGAAAUUGAAUAAGCUAUGAAACCAUUGAAUUUUCUUUAUUUCAAUGGAGCUUGCCUAUCUAUCCAAUUCAUAAGAGAAAGAAAAUAGACAAAUAAGAAAAUUAAAAUUUAAGAAUAUUUUUAACACAUAUCUUUCGUCAUAUUCAUCUUUAAUUUUGAAAACUUCUUACAAGAAGAUAUUUUCUGUCGAGUAGGGAUUUCUGACACACAAUAAUACUGCCAUAUGAAUGCGGGAAUUCAGCAACAUAACUUUAGCAUAAUCAUUGGUACUAUGCUUCCGUUUCCCCUUUUAAUGGAAAAAACUUCCUUUUUCCUUAAUUGAACGAGGGAUUGGAAGUCAAGGGAGCAGGGAGAGUGAAAAGACCAGCGCAGCGUGAUCCAAACGUAUUGGAUCAUGAACCUUGUUUCAAUUUUGUUGCGUGUAUUAUUUAUACUUUCCCUUUUUUUUUAUUAUUAGUGGAUUUUUUCAGUAUAGGUAUACUUCGUGGUUUGAUCAUUCAACCAUGUUAAAAAUCUCGUUUGUUUUUAUAUUUUCUCUUUGAGGGUGUGCAUGGUUUGAUUGACAAAAGUUGGGAUAAAUUUUCGUGGAAUUGUAUAUCAUUGUGUUAUUCUUCUUUAUAUUGGUGAAAAUAUUUAGAGAUUUGUUUGGAAGAUGAUUCUGAUGUUUUAUAUAUUUGGAAUUAAAGUAUAUAUAUUUUUUAUAAAAAGUAUAAGAACAAAGUUC
rnacentral:lncRNA from 1 species